AAUUGGUAAGAGAGCUCACCCAUGGUCUAGUAAAACAACAUCUGUUAGAUAAGUAACCACCAUUCUAUUGUCCAGCUAAUGCAUUUAGAUCUAAGAUAACAUAUGGAAAAAUAGUCGAAAAUAGCUAAAGACAGUCCAAAAACUCAUUUGACUAAUAAUUUUUUAAAAACAGAAACAUAAAACCAGGAUGAAGAAUCCACCCCUCUCCUUGACACCACUUCAAUACCAAAUAAAAUGUUACAAUGACCAUUUAUGGUCUUAAGAGACAGUGGAUGUUGUUUGGGCUCAAGACAUAAGACAAGCCAAAAAUCAAGAAGAAAACAACAUCAAAAUUGGCACAGAAACAAGUACAUCAACUAUCUAAUAAAGAGAUUUAUGCAUGUAACAAAUGCAAAUGAAAUAUGAUACAAGAUUUUCAUGGAUUAAACAAAAAUAGAUGGCAAAAUAGAAGGAUAAGGUCACAGACAGGACAAUAUUAAAAGAAAUUAUUAUUUUUCCGACCUGAAAAUCGAGGCAUUCAGAACAGUACAAGUUUGUAAGUAGUCCAUGGAAACCAGGGAACAUAUGCAGAUGUUGUAUUCUAUUGCAUAAGGCAAACACUCAAUACUUACAAGCAUAAUCAUGCCCAGAAAGCCAUGAAUCCCUUUUUGUUUUGCUUUUUUACCUAUUCCCAUCUCUUAUGGCCAGAAGUGCCCAGGAUGAUAUAACCUCACCAAAUAAGUUAGAAACCAGCCCAUUCAGCAGGUUGAGUAGCCAGCUUGCCCUCAAUCUUCUUUGAGUCAACAAACAGCUGGGCAUUAUUGCCUCCAAUGGAGGGUCUGGAAAUAUUAGAGCCGGCAGCAGGGGUGGCUGUAAAACUCUCUGUUCCAAAACCCCAAGUUUCAGGGCCAGAAGUUCCUUCUGUGGCUGGUUUGUUGUGAUGGCCAUUUCGGGUCCUAACAGACUUGCUAUUGUUGUCUGGGCACCUGCCUCAGAGAAAGCCUGCCAAAGAUCAGAGUCUGGGCCAGGGGAAACGGAUUUUCUUUGCUGGAGUUCCCAGUCUGUUGCUUCAAUCUUUUCUCUGUGCUGUUAUGAGAAGAAAACCUAUCAGACACAUGAAUGGGUACAAAAAGGUAAACUUCAGGUUUUGGUUCUAUUGAAAAGCACAGGAAACUUCACAAGAGGCAAAUUAUACCCCAGAAAUUGACUUACCCAAAUGUCUACUUUCUCAUUUAUAGGUUUCCUCCUAAUCAAAUCCCCACAUCUAGGACAGGAAAAGGAAGAAACUGGGAGUCAACAUUUUUUCAACCAAAAGCACUAACUUACCAAAAAACAUAGUUUUCCAUUCAACCUCGGGAGCUGUAUGUGCAGGUGUACUGUACUUUCUGAUAUUGUCUUCUUCAAUGCCCAUUUCUUCAGGCUUCUUAAAGUGCUUAUGAUUGGUGGAGGUGCUUCCAAAAUUACACAACUUCCAUAAUCCAUUAGGGCCCAAUAGAAGAUUCUCAGCAUUUAUAUAAGAACUUUAGGGUUUAUACCAAUGAUCAUGUUACAGUAUAAAUCAUAGUGAACUGGUGGAAUUUGAUCAUUUAGCCAACCUCAUCAAAAAACUGUUUCACAGUUGAGGGGAUUGUUAACCUUCCCAUGGGCCAAGCAGCAAUUUCUGAAACUGAUCCUGAAAUCAAAAAUCCCACACAAGUAGAUAUUUAACAGAAGAGGAUCCGAAUCUCUUCAAUUGAUUAAUGUAUAAAUGAAAUAAUAAAAAAUUUUAGAGAUAAUUAUAGGGAGAUGAACCUUAUACCUCUGAGUUUCUUAGUCUUCUUGAACAGAGCAAUGAGCAUCAAGUGUUGAGCACCCAGGAAUCUCCCUUCCUCUACAGGGAAAAUCUGAACAAUCUAUCUUUCUUCAUAUUCCACUUCCUUGCAAAAGUCAAAACAUGAAGAAAAUAUCAUCAAAAUUGAGACAAAAAUAAGUGCAUCAACUGUCUCAAGAAGAGAUUUAUGCCUAUUGCUUACCUUUUGCAGAAGUCCACUUGGUUAGAGCACAUUUUACAUGGACGCCCAAUCACUGCAAGCUGCUGAACCAAAGGAGGUUCAAACAUCUAAAAAAUUUGACUAACUCAAGUAUCAUAAAAAUGCUUCACAUGAAUUCCAAAUGAUCUCAUAUCUAAAAAACAUUGGCAUAAAAUUAUUGUUGUUUACCUUACAUGUUUCUUCCAUGGUCAUAAUUGAAACUUUGUUUAUCAUAACAAAUCUUCUAUGCUCAUCCUGAUUACUUACAAUGAACACUGAAAUGAAAAGAAAAAAAAAACACAAAAAAUGACGAUUAGUUUGGUUUGAUAAAUUUAGCACACACAAUUCCCUUUUUCUUGUAUGAAAAAGGAAAGAGUAAAAAAAAAAAUGAAUUUAAUAAUUUUUUAAAACUAGCAAUUAUAAAACUAGUUUGGUUCUCAGAAAAUUUAUGGGAAAGCAGGGAAAAAAAAGUGUAAACUUUUUCUCUUGUUUGAUUGUUUAUGGGAAAAUUGAGGGAAAAACAAAUAUUUAUGAGGAAUCUAUUUAACACUUUUGAGGAACAAAAAAUGUUUUAGAUGUUGUCAAAUCGAUAAUUUAAAUGUAUUUAAUUCCAAUUAAAUAAGUUUAAUCAAACACAUGAAAUGAAAUUGUGAAUAAAAUUAUUUAAAAGCAUUGAAAUUCAUGUCAUUAAAGUUGUCCAUAAAAUUUGGUAUAUUAAAGCAAGAAAAAAACAAAGCAAUUUGAAUGACUUGCUAAUAAAGCAGCUAACUAGAAUAUGCCCUAGAGUUGUUCUAUGUAUAUAAGAAAUAAACAGAGAACACAAUAAAUAAAUAAAAAACCAGAAAAUAAAAUACAAACAAACGAAAAUAAACAGCGUUGUUCAAUGGUUAUAAAUGGUUAUUUUUGCAAACCACCAAAUCAAAACAGAGCAUGAAAACGUGUUCAAUAUUUGUUUCAGGCUUGAAGCAUCAAGAAAAAGAAAAUCUUAAAUCAAAUAAAUAGGACUAGCGAAUGAAUUGGAACUUGAAAGAAAAGUUCAAGUGCAAAAGAAUUACCUGACUCUAUAUUGGCGGAGUGGCACUUUGAUUAAUAUAGCACACCAUUGAUCAUUAUUUUUGGAAUGUGAGCUAUAUAACGCCAUUCUUCCCCUUUCUCAAAUUGACACCGUUUUUCCAGUAGAGGACACCCGUAGAUCCUCAGAAAAGAGAGGGAGUCUGAAAGUCUCUCUUUUGUCAAGUAUUUGAGCUUACGACAGAUCAUGAUCUCCAAUGUUUUAAGAGAGGUGAGGUGUUGAAGACCCACUUUUUUCAAGGAUUGGAGCAUUGGGCACUCAUGGAUCCACAAACUUUCAAGAGAGGUGAGGUGUUGAAGACCCGCUUCUGUCAAUGAUUGGAGCCUCGAGCAUUGACAAAUUACUAAUCGUUUUAGAGAGAUAAGGUGUUGAAGAACCGAUCCUGUCGAGAACUGGAGCUUUGGGCAGAAGUAGAUCCUUAAUUCUAAAAGAGAGGUGAGUUGUUGAAGACCCCCGCUGUCAAGAGACUUGAGAUUUGGAAGAUUCCAGAUUUGAAGAGAAGUCAGAGAAGAGGGCAGCAAACACUCUUUGGGAAAUAAUUCAAUGUCUUCACAUCCACCUUUGAUUAUGAAAUGAGUAAGAGAGGUCAGCCUUUGCAAACCCCACUCCACCUGGGGCGUGAGUUGGUUGCACUUCUUAAUUUCAAGUUCACGUAGGUUGGAAGGCAAACCCUCUCUCUGAAACAACAAUUCUGGACAAUCAUAUAAAUUCAAGUACUGUACAGAUGACUGUCUGUGUGCCAAUGACCUGAGCUUGGAGCACCUAUGAAUCGAACAAGACUUCAAGUUGAGAGCGCGUAAUUCGAUAGAUUCAAGAUCAGAGCAACCUCUUAGACGCAGGGAACAUAAAGAUGUGGGAUCACCCUCUGAAACCAAAAUCGAGAGCUUCUCAAGCCCAUUAAGACCAUUGAUUUCGAAAUCAGUCAACUUGGGGAAGAUGCCUAAUGAGAAGGAUAACGACAGAGAAUCAUCGAUAACACCACGUUCGAUGAUUAGACGUUCAAGGACUGGGAGAUGGCAUCUGAACAACUCAGGUACGAGAAACGCUAAUUUCGAGCAGUUAUAGAUUAACAGUGAUUUCAGUGUAGUGGGUAAACCAACUUUGUGCAGGGAUCUAGAAAAAAUACAAUCACAGAUUUUCAGAUCAUGAAUGUUGGUUUGCGAGAUUUCCUCCUCUAGCAGAGACUCCACAUAAUCACAUUUUCUAAUUGACAGCUGGUGUGGUGCCAUUGGAAGUUGACUCCACUGAGACACAUCUAAAAUUUCAAUUUCUGAAGUUUGAAGAGGUGUGAAGUCACAACCUGGCAUUUGCAACCGCAGUUUACCAAAAUCCACCAUCCUCAACUGACGAAUUGCAGGAACUGUGAGUGAAGCCAUAAGCAGCUGCGGACAUCCAUCAAUUUGAAGUUCCACCAAUGAAAGAAGCUGUUCUGGUAAUUUCCCAGUGAGUUUGGGACACUUUCGUAUAAAAAGCUUUUGGAGACGAGGGAAUUCUCCACAACAUAACCAUUUCUCCCAGUUCUUCAUAUCCUCAAAUGAUAGUGUUUCUAGGAAUUGAAAGGAAGCAUUCUCAUAUAACUCAUCACCCACACACUCUACUCCAUUCAUCCUUGAGAUUUGCAGAUAUUUAAGCUGGGUUAGCUGUCCAAGUGGUGGCAAUGUUGAGCAAUUGCCACAACCCCGAAGCUCAAGGGACACGAGAUUCAACACUGAAGGAUCUCCAAGCCAAUUUGGAAAUCCUUCACCAGGAUAGUUUGUGAUGGAGAGUUGUUUUAAAUUUGGAUGAGGUUGUAACUUGUUGAGUAUAUCAUGCGUUGUUGCACCACUUUGUGUAACACCACUGGUACCCCAACCAAAGAUUAACUCAUAAAGAUAACUUUUAUCCUUCAUAUUAGCCCUUAAUGCAUCAUUAACACUCACCACAUUCUCCAUGUUUGAAAUACAAAGUUUUCCUCGAAUCUCUGACAGCUCCCCCAAUUCUCCAAUUCUUAAUCCAUCGUUUUGGCCCACAAUAAAUUGAGUCAACCUUUGUAAACUUUUUAAUCGACCAAUUCCAUGACUUGACAUUUCUCUCAAUGAACCACAUCCAUCAAUAUCAAGAUAGCGCAAAUUAAUCAAUUUUCCCAUCUUUGAAGGCAAUUCAUCAAGUUUUGAACAAUUUCUCAGCAUCAUCGUUUGUAAAUUGCAUAAACAACAUGCUGAUUUAGGUAAUUUUUUAAUCCUCGUGGAAGACAAAUCCAAGUAACGCAAAUGUUUUAAAUUACCUAUCGAUUUAGGCAAAUCAGUUAUUGUAUAUGCACAUAAUGAUAACACGCGUAAACACCACAUUUUUGGUAAUAUAUCUUGCAAAACUCUUUUACUCAACUUAUACAAAGGAAGAUCAACCCAUGGCUUCACUCUUAAGAAUGUCCGAAGAGAUUUAGCUUUAGGGACAGCCUCAAAAUUCUUAAAUGCAACAAGCCUGGUAUCAUCACUAUUAAAGUACAAAAAGUGGCGAGCCUUCUCAGAUACUUCUGGUGGUAACUUAUCAUCAUCUUCCACUCGAGCACAAAAAUCUCCAGACACGUAUUGAGCCAAUUCAUGUAUUAGAUCAUGCAUUACAAAGCAUGAUCCUUCUAUUCCAAUAGAUUUUUGAAAGAAAGACUUGGCAAGAAGCUCAUCAAAAUAUGACUCACCGAUCUCUUCCAUUCUCCUUCCUUUGUUUUGUUGUGCAUGUAAAAGACCUUCUGCCAUCCAUAAUAAAAUCAGCUCCUCUUUGUUGAAUUGGUGGUCCUGGGGAAAAAUAGAACAAUAAGCAAAACAAUGCUUCAGAGGUAAAGAAAGAUGAUGGUAGCUUAAUAUCAAAGACGGAAGAAUUUCGGAGCCACGCUGCGGAUGCCAUAUUUCACUUCUCAACACAUCGUCCCAUUCCCUUUUUUCGUCCUUAGAAUACAAGAGACAGCCGAGUGCUUUCACAGCCAAAGGCAAUCCUUGGCACUUGUCCACAAUCUGUCUGCCUAUGCGUUGAAGCUCAAGGUAUGCGUUGGGGUCUCUAUCUUCAAAUGCAUGCUUUUUAAACAGGGACCAACUAUCUUCAGAGCUUAAUUCCCCAAGAUGAUGAGUAGGGACUGCUCGCAUGGUUGUUGCAACAGAUUGAUCACGACUGGUCACGACAAUCUUGCUUCCCUCUGCUGCGAGGAGUGGAGUUCGUAGAAUAUUCCAAACUUCACGAUCACUAAGCUCCAUAUAACCUUCAUCACGAGGCUUCAAAUUCCAGACGUCAUCAAGAACAAGCAGAAAUUUCUUGUUACGAAGUUGCUCUGUGAGUUGAAGCUGAAGCAAAUUUAGGUUGUCAGCGGAAGUAGGUGGAGAACCAAUUUCCUCAAGAAUUGUUUUGGUGAGUUUGAUAAGGAAAAACUCAGUGGAAACACAGACCCAUGCUUGCAAGUCGAAGUGUUUCUUCACUUCCUCAUUUUUAUAGAGACGCCGAGCAAGCGUGGUCUUGCCGCUGCCGCCCAUGCCCACUAUGGACAUCACCCCCAUUUUGUCGCCUGUUGUAUUGUCAGAACGCAACCACUCCACCAUCUCCUUCUGAAUUCCAUCCCUGCCGACAAAAAUGGAGUCAUGCUCCAAAGAAGUGGUUAUUGGUGAUCUUGGUCUUGGUGACCGUUUCUCGCCCCCACCUUCUGCCAGCCCCAACCCAACUUUUUCUAGUGCGAUUUUUUCCAGUUGAACAAUCAUGCCCCUGACCCUGGACUCCAUGCUUUUGAUAGCAAAUGGGGCCUUCACAGAAGCAGAGAACUUCUUCCAUUUCCACGCCUUAAGAGUUCCGUCGGUAACGAUCUCGUCCAGCAGGUCUUCCGCACCAUACACAGCAUCCUUGACAGGGACGAGCCACUCUUUGACAUUUGGGUUCGAAAAUUGCUUCACCUCCGCAUCAUCGAGCACAUUGUGAACAACCACGAGUUUCCUCUUCAACUCGUUGAGGAGUUCAUCGCUAAGGCUCCGUCGCCGAAUGAAGUUUAUGAGCUCUGGAGAAGCCAACCUUUCGAAUAGAACUUGAAGCGAAGUUGAGAGGAGGGCGUCCGCCAUAUCUGUGUCGACUGUUGCUUUGCAAUAGGAAUUCAGAGGAUUGGUUUCUGUUACCGCGAUACCACCAAACUGCAAAAGACUGGGUUUGGAUUACCACACUGCAGAAUGCUUGAAGGAAUCAUUAUUGGUGGUGGACCCAGCUGCCAGAUAUUGGUGGUGGACCCAGCUACACUGCAGAAUGCUUGAAGUUAUUGGUGGUGACCCAGCUGCCAAUAUUUGUCAAACACCAUAGUGGUGAGAAAAAGAACAGGAAAAGCGAGUGGGAGGUAGAUGCGCUUUCCCCAAGGAAAGCAGAAUCAACAACAGCAUUCGGUAUUUUUCUUUUUCAUCUACGCAUUUCUUCUUUCUUUCUUCUAGUAUUAUUAUUAGUAGACAUAUACACACAAAUAUUUGUUUAUAACAUUUUCAUUCUUAAUAUUAUAAAAUUUAUUAUUAAUAAUAUUUAUACUAAUAUUAUUUUUUAAUAAUUAUAUUAGUAUCAGGAUUUUAUAAUUAGUAUCCUUACUUUUAUUGCUUAUAAUAAUAAUUAUUAUUAUUAUAUUAUGUUAUUAUUAAAAUUUAUUAGUAUUUUCACAUAAACAAUGAUAUAUGCAUAAGACAUAUUAAAAUUUUGAAUAUUAUGGUUAUUAUUAUUUAAUAAUAAUAUUAUUAUUUGAUUCAAAAAAAGUUUAUAAUAUAAUAAUAACAAAAAUAAUUUUUUUAAUAAAAUAAAUUAUAAAAAUAUAAUAAUUUUAUUAUUUAUAAAAUACAUUUAUUUUAAUGCAAUUAAAAAAAUUAAAAUAAUUUUAAAAAAUUUAAAAAUUUUCAAAAAAAAGUUAAAUGGGACGGGAUUAGGAUGGGAUCGAUCCAUCCCAAUGUCGUCCCGUUGUCAUCCCUAACUCAUCUUGUGAUAAUUAAGGCCAUUUUUUAUCAUUGUUUUUUUAAAAUGGUCUUUUAUCCUUAAUAUAUAUAUAUAUAAUAAUUAGAAAUAAAACAUAAUUUUUGUUUUUAAAAAUAAAAAAUAAGGCAUUUUUAGAUCAUAUCCUUUUAGUUACUUUUAUUUGUUUUUAAAAAGUAAUUAUAUAAAUAUAAAAAAUAAAAUAAUUUAAAUAAAAUUUAUUUUUAAAAUAUAGAAAAUUAGUUAAUAACACUUUAUCUUCUCAAGCUCUUGUUUUAUAAAAUAUCAUAAAAUAAUUUUCAAAAACUUUUUUUUUUCACAAUUUUGACAAACAAAACGUGUUGCAAUAAUGCACUUAAAUUCAAUGAACCUAAAAGCCAAAUGUGCAGUGUUGACUUUUCAACAGAGAGUUCACACAUGCCCAUUUUUUUAAUUAAAGCACUAUUGAUAUAAAAUAUAUAUUUAAAUAAAAAUUAGACUUUUAAAAAAAUUAAAAUAUAUUUUUAAAAUUAAAAUAUAUUUUUAAAAUGUUAAAAAAAUAUUUACAAUAUUUCCUUAAAAAAAACAUCUUCCAAAAACAUUUCUUUAAAAAAUACUUCCACCGAUAACAAUUUAGACACACUUGUGAUUUAAUAGUUAAAUAUUCUUUCCAACAGGAAUUCAACUAUCAGUUUGUAUUACCACGAUACCACCAAACUGCAAAAGACUAAUUUUGGAUUACCAAAAUGCAGAAGAGCUGAAGGAAUCAUUGAUGGUGGACGACCCAGAUGUCCACAUUAUUUGUCAGACACCAUAAUUGAGUGAUGAGGAAAUGAAAGAAAAGAAAAUAAAAAACAAAAAAGGUGAUGCCAAACAUGGUCUUAUAAGGUGGGUGGAGCGAAAGCAACAAAGGAAACUAGCAGGAUUUUUCAUUGCUAUUCCAUACCUUAAAGGACAAAUUUUGAAUUACCAAAAUACAAAAGACUUGAAGGAAUCAUUGAUGGUGGUGGACCAGAUGUCCACAUUAUUUGCCAAACACCAUAAUUGAGUGAUGACAAAACAAAAGAAAAAGCAAAAAAGGUGAUGCCAACAUGGUCUUGUAAGGUGGGUGGAGCAAAAGCAACAAAACAAACUAGUAGGAUUUUUUUAUUGCUAUUCCAUAUCUCAAAUGACUAAUUUUGAAUUACCAAAAUAUAGAAGACAUGAAGGAAUCAUUGAUGGUGGUGGACCAAGAUGUUCACAUUAUUUGCCAAACACCAUAAUUGAGUGAUGAGAAAAUGAAAAACAAAAAAGGUGAUGACAAACAUGGUCUUGUAAGGUGGGUGGAGCGAAAGCAACAAAGUAAACUAGCAAGACUUUUCGUUGCUAUUCCAUACUUCAAAGGAUUGAUUUUGAAUCAUCAAAAUACAGAAUACUUGAUGGAAUCAUUGAUGGUGGUGGACCCCGAUGUCCAUAUUAUUUGCCAAACACCAUAAUUGAGUGAUGAGAAAAUGAAAAAAAAAAAAAAGUUAAGAAAAAACAAAGAAGUGAUGCCAAACAUGGUGUCGUGAGGUGGGUGGAGCAAAAACAACAAAACAAACUAGUAGGAUUUUUUGUUGUUAUUCCAUACUGAGAAAAUAAAGGGCUAUUCUAAAUAGAUAAAAACACCCAAGAGAGGAGGUGAAUAGAAGUUAAAAAAUUUCUUUUUAAACACAAUAAAAUUAAGCAUAAGAAGUACAAAUAUAAAGAAGUAAGGUUAUAGAAAGUAAACUCAAAUUUAUAGUGGUUCGACACUUCCUUACUUACAUCCACUCUCCUCAAGCUCCUAAUCGAGUGAGGGUUCCACUUAUACUUGAAGUUUCAACCAAACUUCUAAUCACUUUUUACACUUGGAUUCCAUCUCCAAUGGACUCUUACACAAUCUUUUCAAGUCUUUACUCACUUGAAGGUUUUAACACUCAAUUAACAAGUUUGAAUCUCUCAACCUAGCUCAACAAUGACUCAAAUACAACUCAAGGCUAGGAUGAAUCACUAAGGUGCACUAAAGAAUAUGCAAAUGAAAAUUUAAUGCACUAAUAAAAUAAUGAGAGCUUUUAUGGCAAUAAUAAGUAGGUAAACAAAUAAAUGCAAGUGUUCUCUUACUCAUAAAUGAGGUAGAGCUCUCAAUUUAUAGGUUUCUAACCUCAGGAGCUAAAAAGCCAAAAAACAGUCUCAACUGGUUGAACUGGGGGUUGACUGGUUCAUUAGCCGUUGGAACAUUAAAUGCUUGGCAGGUGACCGUUACCCUCGACCAAACCUUAACUGAGAAGGCAAAUCCAUCAACCAGGAAAGAAAGGCUACUAGAAGAGAGAGAAUGUUUUUCACAUCUCUCAACCGGACCUUGACAUAGAAAGAGUAAUCGGUAGACCGAUACCUUAGCUGAUUGAGCCGAUUGGCCAGUGCCUCGACUAGUUCACCAUUUUUAGUCUGAAAACCUAUCUUUUUCUGGUCUUUUUGCUUCUAGCACUUAGGUAAGGACUUUAGAUAAAAUAAUAUGUCAAUUUUGAAAUGUUUUGCCUAAGGUUCAUUUGAUAGAACUCGGAUUUUGAUGGAAAUGUAACUUUAAUGCAUAAACCGAGUUUUAAAGAUGUAUGAAAUGAUAUGAAUACCCUAAGUACACUCAUGCAUUCAUCUUACGUAUGUUUCCUAUGAUUAAAAGGUCGUUCAAAAGUCUUGAUCUUGCAUUCAUUAGGUCCUUUAAUGAAUUUCCAAAUUAACACCUGAAAUUCUUUAUAAUUCAAAUCAAUUAGUAACUUAACCAUGAUUUGUUAUAAUCAAAACAUGAUUAGGAGAAUCAUUGGGCUAACACAUACCUCAAAGGACUAAUUUUGAAUUACCAAAAUAUAGAAGACUUGAAGGAAUCACUAAUCUUUUUAUAAUUUAGAAAAAUAAGUAAAACGAGUUUGAAGAAAUGUAUAAAAAUAAUUUAUUAAAUUUAAAUUUAUUUCUUAUUUUCCUUCAUUUUUUCUUUUUUUCUACUUUUUCUUUCUAUUUUCUUUCCUUCUCGUUUUCCCUCAAAUUUUCCAAGAGCCAAAUAUAGCUUAAAGGUUUAGAAUCUUAUGCACAAGACUUUCAAUUUUUUUUACAAUAUUAUUUUAUUAGUUAAGAAUUAAAAUUUAAUGUACCAUAUCUAACACUAACAAAAAAAUUUAUAACAACCAAUCUUAUCUUUUAAGAAUAUAUUGUUUAAAUGAGAUUAAAAAUUAAAAAUAAAUUUUAAUUCAUUUAACAACUAAAUUAAAAUGAAAUUUAUAUAUAUAUAUCAUAAAUUUAUACAAUUUUGAAUCAUUUUAUAUGGAGGAUUGAGAAUGGAGAGAUUGAAGAAUUGUUUGGUGACGAGGAGAUUGAUCGAAGAUUUUAUAGUCUUAAGGUUCUAUGGGAUGAAAUUUUUUGUAAAGAGUUUAAAUUUUUGUAAAAAAUAAAAUUAGUUUUAUGUUAUUUGAUUUCAUGGAAAUACAAAGUUUUAAUUCAAAGAUUAUGUUUUAAAAAUAUUAUUUUUAAAAUAUAUUUAGUAAAGAUUUAUAAAAAUUUAAAAUUAAAAUUAGUUAAUCUAUCAACUAAAUUAAAAUAAGAUUUAUAUAUUAUUUUUAUAGAUUUACAUGUGUAAAAUCUUUAAAAUGCCUCAACUUAAAAUAUCCUUACAAAAUUUCAUUAAUCUACUAGCAAUCUGCAUAUUGUCUCUACAUAGAGUCAAUUUGCAUUAGGAUGAAUACCAUCAUAAUAAUAAUUACGCUCCACAUAUGAUGUAUCUUAACAUCCACUUGGAGGUUAAAAAAUAAUUAAAGUAAGGGAAACUAAUAUAUUUAAAAUUUAAAAAUCAUUAUGAAGAUUUGGACAAUAAUUCAAGUAGGCAUCUUUGAAAUUUGGCUUCCAAAUCCCUUUGUCAAUAUACACCACCCUAUGACAAUUAAAUAAAUUAAAAGAAGGAAAAAAAAUGUUAAAGGAAUGACAAAACAUAGGGAACAAUUAUAUUUAAGGAGUGGAUGGAGUUGAUAAUGACUAAAGGGUACAAAUCUUGCAUAAUUGAACUAAAAAGGUAGAAAAGGUUUGUAGAUUGUUGUGGAAGAUAUAAACCCACUUUGUGAGUCAAAAAUGCUCAAAAUACCCUUAAGGGUGUUUUUUAAAAAAGGACAAUUAAGUACUCAUGAUAAUUAAUAUAUUAAGAUUUCAAGAAAAAUUAAUAAUAAAUAAAAUCUUUUUCUAAAUCUAUUUAACAAUCAUAUAGUUUUUAUUUUAUUUUAUUUUUUCAAGUGGCAACUAUUAUCUUAAUUUAUUUUUCAUUUUAAGGUUCAAUUAUUAUUAUUCUUUAUUUUGAAAUUUAAUUAAAUGAAACUGUAUAAGACAUGUUUAUAUUAAUUAGCUAAAAAGGAUAGAUUUUUUAGCAAUAUGAUUAAAAUAAAUAAAAACAAGGAAUUUGAUUUUCUUUAUAAAAUAGAUUAGGAAAAGUAUAUUUCGAUACAUUCGUAUGAAAAAAAAAUUCAUAAAAUAGGAACUCAAGUUUAUAAAAUACAAAUUUUAAGCAUUCAUCUAAAAAUAAUUAUCAUUUCAUGCAUUUUUUUUGUCAAAUAUAUUAUAUUUGAUAAUUUAGGUAUUAUAUUUUAAUAAUAUAAGUAGUACCUUUGACCCCCAUAAAACUUGAAUUAUUUUAAAUAGUUUCUAUUAUAUAAUUAUUUAACCAUUUGAUAUAAAUAUUAAAUAAUAAAAAAUAUAUCAUUUUUUAAAGAAUUUUAAUUAUAUUUGACUUUCUUUUGUAUUUUCUAUGGUGUAAUUCACAUAUGAGAAAAUCAUUUUCUUUAACAUUUUUUUUUCUUUCCUUAAUAAUUUUCGAGAACCAAACAAGGCUUGUAGGUUUGAAUUAUAGGGUAUAGAUGCCAAAAAUACCAGAAUGAGUUUGGGUUUUCAUGCUAAAUGUCUUUAUUAUUAUUUGGUAGCACUUUUCCAAAAUUGUUCCAUUCCCAAAACCACUUAAUUUGCUUAAAUAUUUUUACCUCACGAUAUCAUAACAUUAUAAUGGAAUAGAUUUUGUUGGUGUUCAAAUCAUGUCAACUCAAUUUCCAAACCAUUCGGAUUGUCAUUUGGUGAAAAAUAGAAAGAAAUUUUACUUUAUUGAAAAGCAUUUCAUUUUGAUUUGAAUAUGCUGCAAUGAAAUAGUUACUAAACCAUGGGGUAGCAGAAGAAGUAAUCGAGAAAAUGAAGAAGGAUGUUCAAGAAUUCUUUAUGCUGCCAUUGGAGAAGUUUUCAAGAUUUCUCCUGAGUAGAAAACUUAAUGGUAAGAGUACAAUAAGUCAUAUGAAAUUGGAGAACUGAAAGAGCAUAAGAACCAUGUUUUAUUAAAAGACCUGUGAAAGUUUAAUCAGUCAUGGAACUACUAAGAGGGGAUGAAUUAACAGUUUUCUUAAAUUUUGUCCAAAGUUAUGAAUUUUUAUUUUUUAUAAUUUUUUUUUACUUAAAUUGAAACUUAUUAAUCAAGGUAAGAUUUCAGCCACAUCGAGAAACAAUUUACGUGAAAAGGGACUGAUAAAAUCUUGAGUUUACAGAUGUAAAAACCAUAAGGCCAAAGACUGUAGAACUCCAACCCACUGAAUCAAGAAUAGAAACACAAAUUUAUCUACCAACCUACACUAAUCUCAUAUCUACAAUGCAACACCAUCGUACUCUUAAGUGACUUGAAAGGAUGUGAAUAUUUCUCACAAACUUCAUAAUGAAAUUCAAAUUAGCUCUGAGAGUUUUGGGUUAGGCACAAAGAGUAAUAAUGCAUAGCUUUUGUGUGUGAGUUUUUAAGUGAACUUAAGACUCAAUUUAAAGCAUGUAUUUUACUAAAAAUAAAAAAAUAAAUUUAAGAAACUUCAAGAAUUUUGGAAAGAUAAAUUUUAAAAAAAAUUCAAAGAGAGUCAGAAAAUGUUUCCUUUUUAAAUUCUCAAUUUAAUUUAUUUUCAAAUUUAUUAAGAGUUUAAGAAAUAUUUUCUUUUUAAAUUAUCAAUUUAAAACUCUCUUUUAAAUUAAUUUUAUUAUUAAUUUUCAUGCAAGUCUACUCUAUACAUUUUACAUCGUUAUUCUCAAUUAACUCAACAAUAUUAGAGUGUAACAUCCCCAAUUGAUUUUGCACCAACCUUAAGUCUUCAAAGACAAUGAUUGAGGCAUUUCUUCUCCUAUUUUCUCCGAUGUAGAAAAAAAACUUGAAUAAGGUUAAAGCUGGUCUAUAGCAAAAAGUCUUAAUUUGAGUUAGCCUCUUUUUUUUUUUCCAAAUGAUAUGCAGGUCCAUCUAGCCUUCAACUCAAAUUUUUUAUUCAAAAAUCACAUGUGGAUAUGUGAACAAGUAAAAGUUGAGUUUUACCUAACAAAUCAUUUUGAAAAUUAGGAAAUUUAAAAGGUAUUAGUUUGUUAAACUCACCACCCCUGUCUAUUCUACAAAACAAGAAGAUUAGCAAAGAAAAAGUAUUCAUAUUUGUACUACAAAAUAAAAAGAUUAGCAAAGAGAGAAAUUGUACCCAUGAGUGCAGAGUUUUGGGUUAAAACAACCCUUUUGAUGGGAAAAAUAUUAAAUUUAACCACUUUGUCAAACUAAUGUGUAAAAUGAUCCUUUUAUUAUCACAUAGGAGUCAUAUCACUAAUAUAUAUAUAUAUAUAUAUAUAUAUAUUUAAUUUAAGUUGAAGCCUCAAUUGCCAAUUAAGGCUUCAAUUAUCAAUUAUGACUUUAUUUUUAACCCGAAACCUUACUUGCCAAUUGAGGUUUCAACUAAAAAAAGAAACCUCAAUCGUCAACUAAGACUUAAUUUUUUAAUUGAAGCCUCAAUUGACAAUUGCGGUUUUAUUUUAAAACUGAAAUCUCAAUUGUCAAUUGAGGCUUUACUUUUGUGGAAGGAUUAUGUGACACUCACGUUACUAGAAAAAAGCCAUACUGAAUAUAAGUUUCAAAAGUGGCUUAAAAGGUAUAAAUUUUAUGAUCAAAGAUGCCAUUUUGACCCAAAAUCCCAUGGGUGCAUGAGACUCUAGUUAAUCAUAGAUUUCAUAGAUAAAAAUCAGAGUUAGGAUGAUUCAACCCCUAAGCGUCAAGAAUUCUUUAACAUAAUGUUAGAACAUUUUCCAAUUUAAAUUCGAGAGUUGACUUUAUUUGAAUGUGCUUUUGAUUUUUUUUUUUAAAUAAGCUUCAGUGUUUUUUUUAAAAAGAAAUAAAAAUAAAUAAAAAUAGGAGCUUCUAUAUAGAAAGUAAAAAUUUUAUCCAACAAAUAUAAGGCUCACCUUAUAUCCUUAUAAAAUAAAAAAUUUUAAAUUUUUUAAUACCUCAAAAUUUUUAAUCAAUAUUUAAAUAUCAUUAUAUUUUCAAUAUGAUUCCUUUAAAAGUUAAAAUUACUUAUAUUUUUUAUUUUCAAAAAAAAAAUAUAUAUAUAUAAGUAAUUUUAUGUUUUUUAAUUAUUAAGAUGGAUGAAAUAAUCCCAAAUUUGCAAAAAUAACUUCUUCUAUGUUUGAAUUUGAAAAAUAACUCAUUUCCAACAUAAAUACUCUUCAAUAUUUGGAUUAUUUUAAUAUAAAUUUUAGAAGAAAGUGUUAUUUUGACAGGAAAACAUGAAAGACAUUUUUGUUAAAAAUUGAUCUUUUUUUAAGGCUAAAAUAUAUAUAGGUUUAUAUUUACAAAUUUGAGACUAUUUCGUCCUCUUAAUCAAAUAACUUAAAAAAGAAAAGAGUUAAUUCCACAAGUGGGUUUAAAAUACUCACAAAAUUGCAAUAUAUAUAUAUAUAUAUAUAUAUAUAUAUAUAUAUAUAUAUAUAUAUAUAUAUAUAUAUAUGAAAUUACAAAUUUACCCUCGUGUGUUGAGCACAUGACACUUCCAUUCAUUAAAGCUAACAUUGUUAAAUAACAAAUGUACAUUGCAACUAUUUAAGAAGUAUGAAGGGCACAUUGCUUGAUUUUAGUACAUGGUGAGAAACUUGUUGAACAAGUUAUGUGUAAAGUUUUAUGGUUCAUGUAUGAUAGAAAAUACAGAUCUACUACAACACUGGAUUUGCAAUUUGGGUUAAUAUUUAAAGAAAAGACCAUAGGACAAAAAGAAUUAAACUUUUGGUGGAAAACAAUAAAGAAAGGACUACAUGGAAAAAGGGAAGAGAUCAUUAUAAAGGAAGAUUAUUGAAUAGAAAUAAUUCCAAGAACCUAAGGCAAGACAUAGAGUAUCACUACUACUAUCACAAAAAGGGGUAUAUCAUAAAAUUUAUGAAAUUUUGAAAAAGACCUAAAAAAUGAAGAAAAAAAAAAACAAAUCAAAGAAGCCUACAAGUGUAACUAGUGUUCUUAAAGUUGCGAAAUGAAGGUAAUAAAUCAAAAGUAGAUUUGUUAAUAGUUUUUAAAAUGCUUGAAUUAGGAAUUGUCUACUUGUACCAUACAAGCCCUUGUAGAGACUGGUUUGACAUGUAAAUUGUUUGUAAAAUCAUUUUAAUGGGCAAUAAUGCACCAAGUUGCUCCACGAGAAGGGGAGGGGUUUGUGAAACCAUCACUUGUCAUGACAUACAUCGUCGGGUAAUCACGGAUGAGGGCAUCCACGGGAGGCCAAUGUCUACCCUCGCUCCACACCCCUCUAGUACAAGGCUCUAGGAGGGAGAGAGGCAACAAGUGUGUGACACCAAGGUAAAUAUGCUUGACCUUAUGGCUUUGGGAGCAACUUGCAUUGAAAGACUUGAUGAUUCACAAGAUUCUACAAUUCAUACAAAGUAUUGCAUUUUGCGACGUUCUUCAUCAAUAAGAGAGCCUAGAUAUCCAUUGUCAAGAAUUCUUUAUGUAUGAAAACAAAGGCGCCUAACCGACAUGCCCAAGAUCAAGGCAACUGGAGCGUGUUGCUUCGCCCAAGUUACUUAGCGCGUUUUGUGCCAAAGUUUGUUGUUCGCUCAAGAGGGCUUUUGUGAAUCUUUGUAAUAAAGGGAUAAUACAGAGUGGGCCGUAAUUUAGCAUCUUACACGCUUAGUUUCUUCCAUUGGUGGCAUAUAUUAUUUUGUCUGUCAUUGGUGAUUAUUUAAUAAAACUAUGAGAGUAUUUCAUGAAAUAUAAAUAAGAGGUUUUUAGGAUAUUUAAUCGAUGGUAAACAAAAGUUGAAAACUAAGUAGGGAGGAAGAUAAAAUAUUUUAGAUUUGAUAGUGGACUUGAGCAUUAGAACAAGAAGUUCACAAAGUAUUGCGAGAAUUCUUAUAUUACUUAACAUCACAUGUAAAGAAAUUACAAAGCAAAAUGGAGUGGUUGAAAAGAUGAAUAGAACACCAUUGGAAUGACUAGGUGGCUAAGAUUAACCAUUGGGUUACUUAAGAAUUUAAGGGCUAAAGCUAUCAACAUAACUUAUCAUGUAAUUACUUAGUUGUCAAGUUUUACAAUUAUUUUCAAUAUUCCAAAAGAAGUGUCAAGUAAAUCAAUUGACUUUUCAUCUAUUGAAAUAUUUGAUUGUUGCACUUAUAUUCAUAUAUAGGUGAAAAAAAAAUUCAAUCCAAAAUAAAAAAGGUAUAUAUUCCUUGGGUUUGAAAAAAGGAUUGAUUAAAGACUAUAGACUUUGGGAUCCAACAAUUAAAGAAAAAAAAGUGGUGAGCAGAGAUGAAUUCAAUGAAAAACAUAUGUUAAAGAAAGAUCAAGGACAAAUGAAAUUGGUAUUGAAAAAAAAUUCAACUACAUGACCAAUCAUCGAGAUGAAAUUUGAGAAAAAUGUCAUUAAAUAUGAAAUCCCUCCUAAUUGAUGUCCCUAUUAGAACUUUAUAUGGGCAUCUUUCUCUAUUGCUCUAAAGAAUCAUCGAAUUGGGUAAGGACAUCAAUUUUAAGAUUUUAAUUUUUUUUCAUUAUUUAUUGGAAUAGGAGAUCUUUAAAUUUUUUUGGGGCUCAAUUAGGAAGGAUGAUAGUUAUCAAUGUGUUGGUGCUAUGUCAAAUGAGAAUCCAAUGCACAUGUUGACUAAAGUUGUUCUUAAGGAUAAGUUCAAGCAUUGGUUGAAUGUCAUUAAUUUUUCAUUUUGUAGAACAUGGAAGGUCAAUUUUAUCGAAGAGCCAGGUCAAUCAACUUCUAUUAGGACUUCCAUUGAUUCUUGAUUUGACUAGAGGGACUCCUAGCAGUAAAUUUGUAUGAAGGGGCCCUACGGAGAUGCAAGAGCUGCCAAUCGGAUCGACCAAUAAAUGAUAGGCCCAUGCAGAGAUGUCCCUGAAAUAGGGGAUUGGUUGAUUGGAAAGCUUAGGCAGAGUAUAAAGGAGAACAAUUUAGCAUUUUGGGAAAAGCACAUAUGAAGAUGUUUACAAGUUUGGAAAUUUGAGUUAAAGAAGAGAUGGUCUAAAAAUGUUUCAAAUUUCAAUUUUAUGUUUUUCUAAGUUUGAUAUAUCCUAUUUGGAUAUUUGGGAAGUCUUCUCUUGUUACAUAAGGUAGUCCUAUGAUGAGAUUUGUUAUGAAAAUAGGUUCUUCCUCGUGUGAAAUAUUCCUAUGAAAUUAAGAAGGAAUAUAGGAAGAGUUUUUAUUGAAAUUAUGAAUCUUUUUUUUAUGUAAUUAGAACUAAAAUAUGAGAGUUUUAGAAUUGUAAUUACACCUUUGAAUAUAAAUAAUUGAUAAUAGUGAAUUAAUUUACCUUCUCCCUCUAGAUGUAGGUAAAUGCUAAAUUAUGUUAAAUCUUGUAUUCUCAUAUGAUUUUUUUUUUCAUUUAUUUUUCAUUUUCUUGCCCAUUUCUAACUUGCUACUACAUAAUAACAGGUGGUAUCAGGCUUUUUGUGUUUGCACAACAAAUGGUCUCAGUUUUUCCAGCACCACAAAAAUGAUAUUUUACUUAAUUGCUCCUCAGUGGAAAAGUUGGAAAGAAAAAUUAAAUCAUCGACUACACCUUUUUUUUUUUUUCCAAAACUUUUCUUGUCUUUGUGCAAGAAAAUUAGUAUAUUUUCUCUUUAGUAUUUGUUUCUCAUUUAUAUAUAUAUAUAUAUAUAUAUUCAAAUGGAACCUUAAUCAUCUUUUAUAUGAAGUAUAAAAGAAUUAGAAAAUAUUCAAAUUUUAAAUGAUUUUUAUUAUACUUUGUCCACUUCCUAUUUCAUAUAUCAAAUUACAAUAGAAUUUAAAAUUCUUUUAUAAGUUUUUUCUCCCUUUGCUACCACAUAAACGCAAAGACAGUAUGUGAGUUAAAUACCUUAAAAGAAAAAGAAAUUAAAAUGUGAUACAAAACAAAAGUAACCUCUUUAAAUUCAAGGAAACAAAACACUAAACUUUUUCAUGUAUUUUAUUCCAUUUAUAAAUGCAACAUGACAAAAAUAGACAAAAAUAUAAAUGGAAACCCUUUGGGUCCUUUAUUUUAUAUUUUAUCAACUUCAACCAAUUCUAUUUCUAUAGCACAACCGAUAUUAUAAAGUUCAAUGAGUAUAUAAUAUAUAAAGAUACUAAUCAAUACGAAUUAUUCUUUCUUUCAAAUGGCUACUUGUAUUAAAAAUUAAAUGUAAUUCCUCCUAAACAAUAAAAUAUGUUGACACGAUUUCAAUGAAUAUACAGUACAUAAAGAUAUGACCAAUUAGUACGAAUUAUUCUUUCUUUUAAAUAGCUACUUAUACUAAAAUAUAAGUAAACAUAAUUCCUCCUAGAUAAUAAAAUAUGUUGACACAAGGAGGAAUAUAUUUACUAAUUAUAUCAUUUGCAAUAGCCUCAAUCUCGUGACGUUCUUCGAACCAACCAUAGACUUUAUUGAGAUAGGUUAACCAAGGGAGCUUCCACUCUCAUAACUCGUAUAUGAAAAUUUCAUCUUGUACAACUCAAAUAGAAACCCAUAAAUACCAGUUGAAACCAAAAUGUAAUAAAUAAAUAAAAACAUAUUUCAAUGGAUCCAAUUAGUAUUUUUCUGAUCUCGGAUAAACAAACAAAUUUUUCUUCAUUUUGUUUUUUUUUCCAUUAAUCUUUGUAAGUAAAUUAUAUUUUAAUUUAACAAAGCACUAAACUUUACUUUAAUUUUCAUGCAGGAUCAACUAGCUUAUCAUAAUAAAAUUUAUCAAUAUAGCUGAGCAGAGAUUUGAUGUAAUAAUACCAUACAAAAUUCAAGUAAAAUUAAAUUAAUCAAAUAGGACACUACGGUCAUAUUUGGAUACAUAUUCUAUUUUUUAUUUUUAAAAUUAAAAUUUUGAUAUAAAAUAUGACAACCCUUUGUAUAAAAAAUAAAAAUUUAUCCUAUAAUCUUAAAACUACUUUUCAAUAUUAAAAAAAAAUGAGGACGUGUCCUAAAAUUUUAAACAAAUUUAAAAAUAUUUUUAAAUACCAAGAUAUCCACUUUUUUCUUUUUUAAUAAAAAUUCCUAUAUUUGAUAUAAAACUCUAUUUUAAAAAAUGAAAAAUAAAAAAUGUAUCCAAACAUAAGCAAAAUUGUUAGAUUUCAUUGUGAGAUUUCUUAGAUUCUACAAUUCAUAGUGAAAUGAAGACGAGAGAUAACUGACUGAAUUAUGAAAAAAAAAAUUAACAUUGAUGAGAUUCAAAAAUGCUAGUUAAUGAAAGAGUUUCUCCGCCAGGAUGACUAAGAAAAAUGCUGAAAAAUGUGUCAUGCCCAAAGCAAUGUUACAAUGAAGAAUAGAAUGAGAGCUAACCCGAAACAAAAUCCGACAAUCGCCAUGAAAGCCUGGAUGCAGAGGAAAUGUAACUAGAGACAUGUAAGGAAUCAUUAAGCAAGUGAGAACAAUAUCAAAAUCUCAUGUACGACUUACUUACCUUUCCCUGAGAUUCAAACUUGAAUUUUACUGUAAACCAUGACAAUCCUCUAUCUACAAUAGGUGCAAGUGCAAGGGCCCUGCAUGAGAAGCACCUCUACAAAAAUCACAGAAAACCCAAAGGAAAAAAAAAAAAAAAGAGUAAAUAAAUAGAAACUAGUCUAUCAGAAACCAGGAGGCUGCAACAAAUAAUCUCCAAAUGUCAGAUUUAAUAUUUAUUUACAAAUGCCACUAAAAGGCCUUUUCAUCAGAGAAAUCUAGAAUAAAAAAGGAUAAGGAGCCAUUUGGAUUACAGAGGUCAAAGAUUGGGUUGGAUGGGAGCAAGUUUAACCUCCUCAGUGAAAAUGAAAAUGCAAGGCCCAUCAUCAACGCUAGGUUCAAAAAUUGACACCAUUUCUUGAAGACUUUCUUUUUUCAUUCUUCAAUUGUCAUUUUGAUUCAAAGAAGCAGCAGCAUGAUAGACUAAACAAUCAUCAUAAACCCAGUUGCAAGUUAUAAGGAUAAGAAAGAAAAUGAACAGAAAACAUAUAUGAGAGAACUGAUAGGCCAAAAAAAUCAUUGUUGAAGGAAUCGAGCAUAAAUCUCUGAACAAAAUUUAGCUGAAAUUCACUGAUUUUGGGUUAUUUUGUGAUAAGAGCAUUGCAAUAUCCCAAUAAACUGUUACGCUAACUAAAGAUUUAAAACAGAAUUUAGCUGCUUACCCUCCAGCUCUGACAAGUUUAGUGACCUGGCUGCCUGCCCACACCAUAGCCAUGAUUUUGACAAAUCUGCCAAUUGGAUUCCAUGUCAAGAUAUUUUGAAAAACUUGUGCAAAAAGAAACUUUUUGGAAUAAGUUUUUACCUUUCAACUGCCGCCAAAUAACCCAUCCUUCCUGGUGCUGGAGCAAUAUAAAACCUAGAAGCAGCAUAGUGAAUUCAGAGUUAUACUGGUUAUUUGAAAUCUACUCUGAACACCUAUGAUAGAGACUGCAGGAUGUGGUAAAACACUAAGGCAUAUUUCAAACUACAUUAUAAGGUAUUUGAUUAGAAAAUUAAAUAAAUAAAUAAAUAAAUAAAAUAACAUAACAUAAAAUACAAAAAAGAAAAAAAAAAUUAACAAACUGAAUUUGUCCAUAUGCAACAAUAUGCAAUUGUUAGCCAUGAAUCCCAGUUAUGUCGGUUUCCAGUAUUAAUAAUUAAGCAUGAUGUUUAUGAACUAGACCAGCAUUCUAAUAACUCUAGAUUGAAGGGCAUGGAUGUCACAUUUGUAUUCCAUCAUGUGCAACUAACAUCACAUUGAAAUAAUAUCCACUAAAGCAAGUUAAGACCCAGUAUAUCAGAUUAAAUUUUUUCUACCAUGAACAUAAGCUUGAUAAAAAUGAAGAUGGAAAUGCAAUACUUCUUUAUAUGACAUAAUGAAGGGAACCAAAUACAAGGACUCCCCAUUCCAGAUGCAGAAAGCCAAGUUACAACCUUUGCCAAAUAAAGAGAUCCACCAUAAGUUCAUUUUUAGACAUGCUAUAGUUGAAUAUGCCAUCAGUAAGUGAUCAAAAGCCAAUUCAGAUGGGAAUAACAGCCACAAUGUUGGGAAGGUCAAUAACAAAAGCAUUGACUUGAAUGUUGGCAGUGUCAUUUACACUGGCCAUAAGAACCAGAGGUAAUGCAUACAGUUGGUAAGGUGGGGAGGAGGAGAUGAGAAAUUGAAAAGUCUUGAAUUUAUUUGUUUCAUGCAAUUCCGUUUUCCAAUACUCUAUACGAUAAUAUACAUUGUACAGCACAAGAAUAGGGUUGUUUUAAAAUUUUGAACAAAUAAAAAUUUCAUAUCAAUAUCUAAUAUUUAAUAAAAAAGAAUGAAACAAGAGUAAGUACAUUCUCUUCUCCUUAACAUGGUAUUAAAGCAGUCUCCAAACUCUUAACUCCUAGUUGCAUACUUGAUUUGCACUGGAAGUUGCAGUUUGCUCAUUUUGUUAUUCAAGUAAGUUACUUCAAUCUAUCAUAGUUUAAAUGACUUGGGACGGUAGUUGUCAUGGGCACGAAUUUUCCCACAAAUUUUUCGCAUUCACACAGCGCUUAGAAGCCCUCUAAGCCAACAUACUCAAACCCACAUGAGAUUGCAAUCAAGAAAAACCUCACAAAGACACACAAGGCUAUGGAGCUCAAUCCCUAACUUGUAUUUUAUUUCUUCUCUAAAUAACAAUACCAGACAUAGCUUAACAAGACUUCCACAAUCUCUUUGGUGAGUUCAUGCUCUCUCUCAAGCUAUGUAUAUUCUCUAUGAUCUCCAGAUUGCACGAUAAUUCAAAGGGCACUCCAGUCCUCCUUUUAUAGGUGUGACACCAACCACUCCCUAUUUGAUAAGGAGCAACGAAUCCUAGUUCUACUCAAACUACAAUUAAAAUAAGAAUCUAAACUCCUAUUCAAACUCAAAUUACAAUAACAAUUUGAAUUCAACUCUGAACUUUCAAAUGUCUUCGGCCCAUUCCUCUUUCAUUUGAAACUCCUUGUAUCAGGCCACAUAUCAGCCCUUCAAUUCCCUGGUUUGUGGUGCAAUAUAUCUUCCUUAAGCUUGUCCCAAUGCCAAGACAUCUUUGUUGUGUUCUGCCUGAAGUCUACCCACUCUUGUGCCUUGAGUCAGUCCAUUCAUGCAUUUGAAUCAGCUGAUGCAUCCGAUCAGCUUGCUAUAGCGUCUCUAGGCAGCCUACUACAUGUGUCUCUAUGCAACUAGUGUGCAUGCCAAGCCCUCUCUUAGCCUACAGAUCUAGCAAUUUUCCUUGGUGCCAAUCUUUCCUUUGGCUGUAGCCCCUUGUUGUUCCUUGAGCGUGUCAGUCAUGCUCAUAUGUGUUCCCGCAUCUGGAUCACGUCCAUGCUGAGGCAACCUGCCCAAGUUUGCUCUGCCUAGCUGUUGUUAUGGCAUCAUGCCAUGCCCAAGCCCUCUUCUUGGUGCAGCAACGAGUCAUGGCAUUGCACCCAUGACUCCUCAUCUCUAUGCACAAGGCAUUGUGCCCUUGUGCCACGCCACCUCAUUGCACAAGGCAUUUCCCCCUCAUGCUACCGUUGGGAAGGGAAGACUGCAUAGCACCCCAUGUCGUUGCAACCUUGAGUUGCACACCAUCACAUGUCAUGGAGCCCAUAUAUGGUUGCUAGCAAGGCUUGCCCAUGUGCCUUGCUCAUGUUUGAGGACUUGCACCAAAGCCCCUAAGUGUGGCCAUGCCCAUGCCACCUCGUCUCCCUUGAGUCACCCCCACCCUCACCCCCCUUAAAAGAGCAUUUUAAGCCCUUUUAAUUAAUUCAAGAAAAUCUAGAAAAUUUUGCUUCCACUUGGAGUCUCCCUUUUGAAGGUUCCUAUAAAUCUUUUAUCUCUAAGCGAAUUAACCAAGUCACUUAAUUGUUUUGCAACAUUCCUUCCCUUCCCAUAGUGUAUUUCAAGAUCUCUUAAUGAACAAGACAAUUGGUGGAGGGCAUGAAGUAAGUGGAAUUUAUCACCAUAUUGGCCCACCUUUUACUCCAAUUGCUCUACGUACUUCCAUUUCUUCUAUGUAGUGGCACACCUUUCACUACGCAUCUUUAGCAUAUGGGACUUCUAGUUAUAUUGGACUCCAAGUUAAAGCACCAAGUUUGUGAGUCAAGCAAAUAGCAUCACCAUAGUGUUGUUCUAGUCCUUUUUGUUCUAUAAUCAAUAAGAGGAGUACUAGUCCUUUUCAUCUUGUUCAUUUAGACAUUUACAGUUUAUGUAGUGUUGUUCCUAAUGUUGAACUAAACUUUUUUAUUGCUAUUUUAUUAAUUAGAUCAAUGAAAAUGGUAUGAGCAUAAAGAGGCUGAAUAAUAGGUACUAAUCUCUUAAAAAAAACUAUCUUGUAGAAACAUCAUCAGGUGACUAUGCACAAGUAAAUGGUCUGACAAGGCGUGAGAAAAACAUUCAUUUUUGUGCAACAACCAAGUAUUUGCAUCUUAAUCAACCAAAGAAUAAAUGGCUGAAGACAAUAAAUGACUGAACAAAAAGAAAAUCAUAAGUUUUAGGCCAGACACUUUUUUCAUCAAUUAUAUACAACAACAAUAAAUCAAAUAGUCCUAAAUUUCAAAAGAAUAAUGCUCAGCAGCUAUGCAUACUCACAAGUCACAAAUACCUCAUCCUUGACUAAUUUACAUGAAUGAAUUAUUUACUUACCAUACCAAGAGAAACGUUGUAAGAUAGUAUGCAGUAUUCAGGAGUCCAUAGGAUAAUAUUCCAGAAAUUCCAUAUCUCUUCAGUUUCUUUAGAAGACUGAAAGGUUAAGCAAGAAUGAGCUCUCAAUGUAAGUAGACAUGCAUUUCAGCAUACAAAGGGCAAAAGGAUUGAGGUAUCACUUCUUACAGAUUGUUUGCAUGAAAUUCAGUAGUAGAAGAGAAAUUAAAAUGAUUGGGACAAGAUCACUCAUCCAAACAAUAGUUUAUUUACAGAGAAAAGGUCUAAAGCAUAAUCAUGCAGUAGACAAAAUGAAUCUUUUGUGUCAUGUUCCAAUAAUGUUAACAAACUACAUUAAAUUCAUAAGGUUACAUAGAAAAAGAAAGAAAAGACAUUGUUGCAAUAGUUUGGUUGUUACACUGCUAGCACCCAGACUACGACCAAAUCCUUGCAUUGAAAUUGAAUUUCAAACUCCCAAUGUGAAAAAGGAAGAUACAAAAAAGAAAAGAAAAACAGGAGGAAAAAAAAAAAAACAGAGGGAAAGAAAAGAAACAUGGGAUUUCCAUGUAUAAUACAUACAUAUUAUAUCUAUAGAUAAAUGCAUGUAUGUGCAUAUGUCAUAGAGGCUGGUCAGACACAUUUCAAGAAGUUUCACAACUUGCUUUGGAAUGACAAACACGUGGAUCAAUAAAUGGCUUGUCUCCAUUAUUGAGAAAUUGCAGGUAAAUUUCAUCCACUACAGGCAUGGGGUGGCUGGACAAAGUUAUGCCAUUUGGUGGGAUGUAGUGGACUUAAGACAGAAAAUUCUCAAUCAUUCUUCUGUCCCUUGUGCAGUGUUGAAGCUGACAAUAUUAUUGAGCAUACAAGGAAUGUGAUGUAAAACAUCAUUGAGGACCAUGAGCUGCGAAGGCAGGGAGAAAUUAAGUUAUGAUUAAGUUUUGGUGAGGGAUUUUCAGAUGCAGAUCAUAUGGCAAAUUAACUUCAGAGAAUUGCAUGUUUUUAUUCAUUUCCAUACACAUUGAAUAAUCAUAUUUAAAAUCCCUCAUUCACUUGUUUCGCUUCCAUUAGUGCUCCUUCCACAUGCCUAUUAGCAGCAUAGACCUCAUGAUAGUUUGGUAAAGGUAAGACAAUAAAAUUGAAAAAUACAGCUAAAGCCUAAAAUAUUGGCUCAUAAAGAGAGAAACCAUCCAAGUUCUAUCUUAAAUGACUCUACAAGUUCUAAACAGGGAGACAAGGACUUCAACCUGGUCCAUCAAUGCAUAUAAAUGGGUAAUCAUUCCAACAACCAUUACGUUAGAAGUACACUAAAAGAAAAUUAUUAAACAAUGUUGUUUCCAAAAAUUCCAUGUUAAAGAAUAGAAGAACAUACUGCUAUAAAUGAAAUUCAUUCAAAACAGUUCAAACAGUAAAGUUAAGAAUUGUGACUGCAUAUUUUUUUUUAAAAGAAACAAGAAUUGUGACUGCAUAUCACCACACUUGUUUUAUUUAUAAUCCACACAAUGUAUUCUUCCCUAGCAUGUUAUCCCAUUAAGUAACCUCCAGAUAAAAUUCCCUUUCUGACUCUGUCAAUCAGCCAAAAAAUUUGAUGUAAAAUGUAAAAUACAUGGGUACACAAAAACAACUAUAUAAACUGCCAUCCCAUCAUUAAUAAAUCAUUUGUCUAUAACAUAGACUAAUAGCACUGUAAGGCAAGUAGGAAGUACUCUUUUGAUGUGUGCAGUUCUCCUUCACCAUUUUCGCCCUUUGCACUGGAGUCUAUAAAAAUAUGUAUAAGUAGAUUUUUAGAAAUAUCAAGUUUAUCAAAUGUAAAAUAUGGUAUCACAGAAAGCUACACCAUUUUUCUAGUUAUCAUUUGAAAGAUAUUGAUACCUUCAUGGUUGGCAGAGUAGUCAUGACCAUUUGACAUGCCAGAAGCCUAACCUACAACAAAGGCAAUGUUGAAAAAGCAAUAUUCAAAAUUCAAUGAAAAAAACAGAAGACAAACAAAUGAACAAAUAGCAAAUCAUCACACUCAAUUGUUUUCCAAAAAUGAAAAACCAAAUGAAAGGAACAAGGAAUAUAUUGAGAAAAAAACCUAUGAUCAAUGGAUAUGCAGUUGCAUUCUAGCACAUAUAUAGGAUCAAACAAGUAACUAAUCUAGACAUAGCUGCAGCAAAUUUGUGUAUCUCUGAAUGCGUGUCUGCUUUUUGUGGGGGGAUAUUUAUUAUGACAUGUUCUUAGUGCAGACAAACCAUCUGCAUUUACUUGAGGAUUAGGUAAACAUACUUUCCAUUUAAAAUGAGGCCUUGAACAUCAAGCCCCGGUGAGUUUUCAAAUAAGGAAAACAUAAUAGCUUUACAAUGAGUCCCAUAGCAAGAAGGCAUGCAAUUCCAUUCAUCAGCAUACCAGAAUAUAGAAUAGUGUGGACAUGUGGACACAUGCCAGAAUUAGCAUUGGACACACUAACAUGCCAGUCAUACAUAGAAAGACUUUCCAAAGAUAUUAAAGUAAAACACUGGUAGUAAGCAAAUUAGACCCAGAAAAACAUGCAAGUAUAGGCCAAGAUCAAAUCUUAAUUUUAAUUUCCAGAAAAAAAAUAAAAAAUUAUAUCAACCAAUAGAAAUGGUAUCAUCAGCAAUUAACACCAAAACACACCAACAUAUCGGAAUGCAUAUCACGUGUACCAAUCUCCAAUCAGCAUUACACCUGUACAAGUUAGCCUGUAGCAGGUCAUAAUAGGUUCAGACUAUAAAACCUUCCAAAUCUUCCUUUGCAGGGCUUAGAAACUAUUUUCUAAGUAAUUUGCAAUUUUAAAAGCCUGUGACAAAAUUUUGGAUGAAGAGCUUAAACUAUAUACUCACAAACCCACUCCAAAAUUUCCUUAAGGUAAUACACAUUUUUUGAAGUCCUUUCCAAUGUCUUCUCUUAUUUGAGUUAGAAAAGCCAAUGUUUUUAUGAAUUGACUACUACGGCUGUUGAGGUUUGAGGUGUAUAACUAAUUUCUUAAUAUAUCAUAAUUUACAUCAGUCAUUAGAAAUUAAGGUUCCAUCCUUUUACACUAAGAAAAUCCUGAGAGCAAUUAAAAAAUACCUUCUUUAAUAUUAUUAAAUUUAAGUUUCCUUUAGGUCUUUGAGUCUAAUAGAAAUUAGUAUAAAAGGAAUUUUAAUUUUCUUACACUAAGAAAAUAAAAAUAAUAGGCAAAAUAAUUUUCAAAUUUUGGAACUUUAUAGGUAAUGCUUAUUAAAAUAAAGCAACAAAGUUUGUCAUUUGCCAAUGAAUGAACCAAUUGUGGAAAACUAUGCAAAAAAUUUUAUUAGCAUGGAAUUUUUUUUUUCUGCCAAUAUAUAGAAUUCAAUUUCAAACCUGCCCCUCCCAACCCACCACUUGCUACUUGAGGCAAGCUUAGAGGCAGAAAACUAUUUACAAUUCUACGUAUGGAUAAAAAUUAUUUCUUAGAUUUUAUGCCAAUUCCAUAUUUAUAGGUAUCAAUUUAUUAUUCUACUGUUGUCAGAAGCUUCAAUUUUGGGCGUCCUCAUGGCUAUGCCACCCUUAAAUGAGAACAACUUUGGUCUUCUGUUUUUCUUUUUGAGCUCUUCAAAUUUUUGCAAGUUACUUCUAUCCAGGUUCUAGGAAACACCCAUUUUUUUAAAUCUCCAAUAAUUUAGGGUUCUGUGGCUGAGGGAAUAGACUUAUUUUUGGUUGAAGCACAUAAAAUUCUUGGCUAUUUUUUUAUUUUUUAUUUUGCCAUCAGGUCCUUUUAGGUUGAUUUUUCUACUUAUUUUUCACCCACCAAUUAACAUUGCCCUAACUCUGUUAUCUAUCCGAACAAAUGUUUAUGAACUAGCAAAUCAUACUAAAAUUUCUUACUAGUUGACAUGUGCAUCAUCUCAGCAUGUCAUUCCAACACCAAACUACAACCAUAAUCUCACUAACAUCCUAACUGCCUCAAUGAGUAUGGAUUACAGAAAUGCAAUUAAAAUAUACUUCCCUAUUUAAUUUCAUAAUUUUUAUAAUAAUAUUUCAGCAAUAUUUCCACAUAGUAGCUUAUGUGAGAAAUCCCCAUUUCCGUAUAAAAUCGAAAAACCCUAUAGCUUGCGCAUGUAAAUAGAAAAAAAAAAAAAAAAGACAGAUUUUGCAGAAUUGGGAGAGCAGACUCACACCAGCAUGGCCAUUGAUUGAGCAGAAACGCAGAUGACGAUGAUGGUGGUGGAAUUGGGAGAAAUUGUUGAGUUUGUGGAAUGUGGGAACCCUAGGAAUGCUGGGAUUGAAACCCUGGAUUGAAACAAGAGGAUUGUGAGAGAGAAUUGGAAAUUGAAGAAUCAAACACAAAAAAUAAAUCCAAGAAAUAAAAAAGAAGCGUAAAAAUGAAAUAGAGAAGAGUGUGUAUGACGCACCUGAUGAUGUGAAAGCAGCUUCAGCUGGUGAAGGCAAACUUUCGACGGGAGAGACAUGAGCAUACCGGCCUCCGACAACAAUCCCUCCAAAAUAUUCUUUCUAUACCAUUUAUUAUUAUUAUUAUUAUUAUUAUUAUUAUUUUCAGGUUAUUUGAAGUGCAAUGUCUAGCUAUACCAUUUAUUAUUAUUAUUAUUAUUUUAUUGCUAUUAUUAUUUUCAGGUUAUUGAAGUGUAAUGUCCACCAUACCUUAUAUGCCAUCCAUGAUGAAGGCCUUAGAACUCUCCAUGGAGCCUAAAUCUCGGGAUGCUAAUCACCCUAUAAUAACCAGCAUAGAGUAUAUUCAAAGUAUCAUUAAUGACAAAUUUCGAACUUAGGACCAUAUGUCAUUUACUGAGACCACACUUCUUAAUGUUCAUCCUUAGCGACACACUCAUAUGUACCAAAUCAUCCGAUAACCUGUUUUUCCUAUUUUCUCAUUUUUACAAAAAAAAAGAAAAAAUAAGAAUAACUUCUAUUUUUAAAAUUUUAAUUUUUUUUAUAAGUAAAUUUUUGUUCUCAUUAGGACCUGUGGAACCUCCCACAAGUCCUCCCGAAUCAUUUACCACUUGAGUCAUGCCUUAAUGGCUUGUUUUUUUAAAAAAUAAUAACAACUUUUAUAUAAAAAAAAAUACUUAUAAAAAAUAUAUACAUGUCAUUAAAAGUUUAAAGAAAUUUAAAUUUGAUAAUAAUUUUUUAAAUAAUUUAAUGUGUUAAUUGUUCUUAAAAACCGUAAAUAACCUAAAAAAGAACAGUAUGUUUGUAAAUUGACCAAAUUGUUAUAUGGUUUUAAAUAGUCACCUUAACAAUGUUACAAGUGAGUUGAUUAAUUUAUGGUAGAGAAGAAUUACAAUAGAAUUCAAUUAGUUAUCGCAUUUGAAGUCUUUGAUUAUUUGUUGAAUAAUAUUUGCAGCCAAUUAGCUAGGGUUGGCUAACCCAAGCCAAACCUAGUUACCAAUAUGUCCAACCUAUGCUAAACUCGAUUCAAAGUAAGGUUGGUAGUUACUAAACUCAUUAACAACUAAAGUUUCUAUGGAUUCCCACGAGUUUUCAUGGAUUAUCAAAUAAACCACAUAUAAUGGAAUCUCCUAAUAUAUAAAAGACAUAUUUCAAAUUAUAAAUUAAACCAUAUUAUAAAAUAAAAUUUUAAAAGCUAAGUAUAUAUCAAAGUCAUAAAUUAUAUUACUAUUCACUAAUUUUAAUGGUAACAUGAAACACAAGUGUGAAUAUUUAAAAAUAUUUUAGUAAUUAAACAAAAAUGAUAGACUUAUAGUGUAAUGUAAUAAAACUAGCAAAAGUUAUAGUUAUUUCAUUAUCCCUUUUAUAAAUUUCAUAUUUUAAAUAAACUAAUAAAUAAUAUAAUAGUAAUGAAUUUGCUUAGUCUUCAUCAUGUAGAACCAAUUUGAAGAAUUUUUUUUUAACAGGACUGAUUAAUGACUUAAUUAAGGGUAGGUUACAGCUAAAAUAUUUAGUAGGACUGAUUAGUGACUUAAUUAAGGGUAAACUACAGCUAAAAUUUUCCUAGUAGUCUUCCACUAUGGCAAAUUGUGGGAACUAGUAGUGGCCUGUCCAACCUAUAGAGGAAACAAAUAGGUGAGUGAGUUAUUGAAUAUGUGGCUGAGAGUGACCAACCAUUGAGGCUCACAUGAAGUUGUAGUGGCUGAAAGGAAGGGAUAAGAGACCAAAAACAUGCUCAGAGAGAUUCUUGUUAGGAUCAAAUUGGGGGCAUAGAUAUAUCUCUUUGGUAAGAGUUCCCAUAAUUUAGGUAUUAAUGAAAUAGGUAUAAAAUAAUUAUAUAUCUUGAUAUGAUCAUGUUGUUAAUGAUGAUCUAAUGAGUUGAAAUAUUAUGUUUUCAACUGUGUAUAUCUAAUAAAUACAUCAAGUGCUUAAACUUUAAUAUAGAAAUGGUCCACAAUGGCUUGUAUGACUCAUCGUCUUAUAAACAUAUUAUUUAGAUUAGGCUAAAGUGGUCAAAGUAAGAAGAAAAAUUGAUACUUGAUUUGAAGUAUGAAGAAUUCUUCUUAGACUUUGUGUGUAGUGUUGUUAGCUUAUUGUUGUGUUAAAGUCUAUUUUGAUGUAUUUUGGAAAGAAUGACCAACUAGAACCACAAUAAGAUGUUGCAAAACUUAUUUAAACAAGGGCUUGUGAGCAAGAUUUUUUUUUUUCCCUUUCAUGUACAAAUAGUAUGAUGAAUGAAAAUUUGAUUCUCGAUUGUAAUUAGUGUUUUCUUUAAGUUUUAAAUCAUGCAAUGAAUACUUAAAAUUAGCUUACGAUGUCAAAGAAUGUAAGUAAACAAGGUUUUACAUGUUGGAUAUAUAAUAAAUUCAAAACCUUUACCUUCCACAUUGAAUGAUUACAUUUUUUCUUUAAGUGCCCUUUAAUCAUUCUCAUUUUGUUUAAUCAUUUUCUAUAAUGUCUCGAGCAUAGUAGAUUUCUAUAAAUUUACAUGAGCAUUCCUUAACUCUUCUUGAGUGAUCCUAAACUUAGCAUUGAAACAAUCAUAAUUUAGGCGAAGAUGCUUAUACGUCUUCAUAAUCAUCCUUGGUUGCUAGCCAUUUUUCCUUAAUUACUUUAGGAUGUUUAGUGAAGAUGAUUACAAAUAUUAACUAGUUCACUCAAACAUUUUUGUAUGAGUGUAGAACAAUUUUGCAUUCUUUCCACAUCACUUAUGCAUCUUCGUUCCAAGAAAUAAGAUAUAGAACUCUUAUGUUUUGCCUACACCACUUGGUUCUCCAACCCAUUGUGCUUAUGCAUCCUUUUUAUAUCACAUAUGCGACUUGCUUCUCAUUAAGAUAUUUCACUUACAUGUUCUUGUAUAUGCAUAAUUUAGGAAAAAAUAUUUAAAAAUAGAAAAAUAGAUUUUAAUACAUAUAUUUGGAACAAUUAAACUCAAACUAUGCAAGUGACCUUGUCUACUAUGUAGGUGACUUUGUUUACUACAUAGGCAAAGUAUAUGACAGUGAUAGUCAAGGAAGCUAUGUGGUUGCAUGGUUUAGUGGAGAAUUUAAGAGUAAAGCAAGAUCACAUUGUGAUUUAUUAUGAUAAUGGGAGUGCCCUAAAUUUAUUUAAGAAUAAAAUUCAUCACUCAUUGGUAAGGCAUAUUGAUGUCUAAUUUCAUUUUAUUUAAGAGAUUCUAGAAGAAAGUCAUACCUUAUUUUAGAAAAUUACUGAUGUUAAUGAGGUAGGUCAUAUUUAAAUGUGAUCCAUGUUGAAAGGAUCAAUGUACCUUUAGGUGUGUAGUAGCAAAAUCUUUAAAGAUUGUUUGGUUAGCUUCAUUUAAAUUACUUAGUUAAAUAUUACAUAGUCAAUUAUAUGUUUGACUUUUUGAACUAGAACAUUUAGAUUUUGGUUGUUGUAGUUGUUAUAAUUACUAUUUAGGUUUUUAAAAAGGUAUAAAUUUAUAAUUUUAGUUGGUUUUAUUAGUUUCAUUUAAAAUUCCCAAGAAACUUCAGUGAAGGAAAACAGAGCAAGAGAGUUUUUGAGAAUUGCUUAUAAUUCUUGUAUAUUAUUUUGAUAUCUUUAGUGCAUUCAUCUUAUCAUUACCAUAGAUGAAGGCAUAUUGUCAAACCAUAUAAAUUGUUUAUCUCUUUGUCUAUAUUGAGCUGCCAAGAUCAGUUCCUUGUAAUCCAAUGGCUUAUUUUGAUUCCACGAUGCUACAAUGUAUUGAAUUAAGCAUAGGGAUUAACAAUUCCAAUCAUAAACAAUAAGAGAUCCUCCCCAACAGCAUAAAAAACUUGAGAGACCCGAGGCUCGCAUCUCAGAAUAUGCUCUUGAACUAACACUAAAGAUGCCUAGAUUCACCACCACCCUUUCCACCCCAAUGUUGUUAGAAGUAGAAUCUAAUCAAAUGAAGAGUUCCUGAUAGUUGCGAGUUCUUAUGAUUUUUUUCCAUCAUUUUCUGACUUUUUUUUCAUCCAUUACGUACGUCCUUCUGAGUGGAGUUCUCCUUUCAUGGUAUCAGAAAAUCAUACUCAAUGAAUUCGUUAUAACCAGACCAUAACCAGAACCUCCAUGGCGUGUUUUUCCUGUGUUUUUUCUGAAAAUAUAGCUACAUUUAUACAUAUUUUUAAGAAUAUUAAAGGCAUUAUCAAAGGAAGAAACCGAGAAAACUGAUUGUAUAGAAAUCUAUAAUUGUGCUUACUUUCAGUCCUAGUCACAAAGUUUCAACCAGAUAAAUCAUGUCGAGAGAUGCCCAGCAAGUGGUGGUGGUCCAGGAUGCAUCCAGAGAUGUUAGUUCAAGAGCAAUCCUUAGGAUUCUCCAUGACUUAACACUUAAGCCUGGAGAUGACCUUACACUCCUCGGAGUUCUUCACCAGGUUAAUAAUCCUUGUACGCUUUCUUUCAUGGGAGGUAGGAAAAUACGUAAAAAUUCAUGCCUUUUUUUUCUUUUGAGUACAGAAGAAAAAUCCAAGAAGAAAGAAAUAUUAAACAUAGCACCAGGAAAAUGAUAUAUACCAAAAGGGAAAUUGUGCAGGUUUAUAGAUUGAUGAAUGAUGUGUCAGAUUUCCCAAUACAACUAUUUUAUUCUAAGGUAUACUUUGAUAAUAGAGACAACUAUUUUAUGAUCAAAUGAAAAAAUGAGGUAUAACAAUUAACCCAAGACAAAUCCUUAAGUGAUACUUUAGUUUUUUAUGAAAUAAAUGUUCUUUUUAUAUUAGUAUAAAAGAUUAUUUUUUCUUAGUUUCAUUUAGGGAAAAUUUUGAUUUUUUAAAGUUUUAAAGUUGGUUAAUGUAAAAUUUGUUUUUUAUCUUUUAGAUUUUCUUUUCCAUAUUUACAAAAAUAGAUAAUUAAAUAAACUUAGAUAAAAAUAGAAUUUUCAUGUUCACUUGUUUGCCUUAUGAAUUUAUUUUACUAUUAAAAUAGGUGCUUCUUAUUAUUUAAUUUUAAAAGUGAAGAUGCAUGUUUUAAUAAAUUCUAAGAGAGGACAAUGUUUAAAAUAAAAAAUUGAAAUAUCGUGGAAAUUAAUAUUUUAUUUUAAAUACAGACAAUUUCCAUGUAAUUUUGUUUGUAUAUUAUCACUACAAAUCAACGAUGACUCCAAAUAGCCAUUGGCCUUAAGAGAUGUCAAGCUCACAACAAAAAUAAUGUUCUAAGUUCUCUAAAAAUAUUUUAAUUAAACACAAAGGUAGUCCAUCAUCUAAUCAACAUUUGCAUAUACAAAACCAUUUUAGCAAAAGUUACAUCAUCCGUUAGUAUAAGCAAACAUGAAUAAGUAUUUCCUAAUUAAGAAAAAUAUUAAUUCAAAUAUUUUAAAUUGGCCAACAAAUUAGGAUAUUGAAAUAAUGGUCUCUAUAUCAAAUGAGUUAUAAGAAAAGGUAACAUUAUCUUUCAUCUAAAUUUCUAUGCUUUCACAAUCUUCAAAAUUAAUAAAACAAUAAGUUAUCUUUCAUUUGAUGCCAUUGGCUAUAUUGUAUUUUCUCGUGACAAAGUGAUGAUUAUCUUUUUUUUUUUUUUAUGCACUUGAUUGAUUUGGUUUCCACCAAUGUGACUUUAGUGAUUUAUCCUUCGCCGGUUGUUAGGAUAAUGGUAGUGGUUAAUAUGAUGUCGUCAAUAGAAUAACUACCUACUCUAGGUAGUAUGUUGGAUAUGAUGUUAUAAACCUACUUAUAGAUUAAUAUAGUUCAACAAAUACUAAUUUGAGAGAGAGAGAGAUAGGUCUAUGGUGAGUUGUAGUGAAAGGGAAGGAUUAAGGCUAGGGUUUGUGUGGGUAUGAAAAAGAUAAAAACAUUUUUAUUUUCAUAUCCAUUUUUGGAUUUUAAAAAAUAAAAAUAAAUAGGUGGAUAUAGAAAGAGUUCAAGUGGUUCGUUUGCAAUUUCCCUUCAUAAAACAUCACAGUUGUCAAUGAGAUCUAUGCACUAAGUAAUUUUAACAACCUUUGUUUGUGAAUUGCUUGUUACUGCAUUAAGUUUUGGUAUUCUCCUCCAUGUAGGUGAAACAUAUCAUGUUUAUGUAGAAUCAUUAAUAUAGUGUUUAACAGCUUCCAUGAAAAAGAAAGCGUGAGAGCUUGGGGAUAUACUUCCCAACUUAGAGGACAUCUCAAUAGCAAUGAAUAGAUUUUCAUAUAAAUGGUUAAAUAGUAUAUAAAAUAAUCGAAGAUGUCUUGUUUUAGUUUACCUCCUAGGUAGAUAGCCUAGUUACUUCAAGUAGUUUUGGCAACACCAUUUACUAUCAUCUUCAACGAGUAUAUAUCCUUCAAGGCAAGGCCUCACUUUCUUAGCUCAACAAAAAGUUUAUUAUGAUAAGUUAUCUUGAUAACUAAUGACUAAUCUUGGUGUAUAUAUAUAUAGUUAAGAGGGAUGUGAAUCAAUGAGAAAUAGUUUCCACUUUGUGCUAAUGAUAGGUUUGAGUCAAGGUUCAAAUUUUCAUCCAUGGAAGUAUGAAUGUUGAUCAAUAUGAAAUUCUGGUCCAUCUUGUGAUAACAAAUAGUUUAUCAUAUGUAACUCAAAAUUAUUCUUUCUAUACAUUCAUCUUGUGCACCCACCUUUCUGUUUCUUUAUUGUACGUAUCACUUUCUCUUAUUCCAUAAGGAGAAGCCACUAGACUUGAGAAAUCAAUUAGAGAAUGAUACAAUUCCAACAAGAUCGAGUAUGAAACAUUUCUUAUCAAUCUUUUCAUAGUGACUCAUAGCUUGUAGUAAAUUAAUGGGCUAUUUGUUUUUUAACUUGAGUUUUGAAGCAAGUUGUUUUAAGAUUUAAGAUAAAAGUAAAAAAGAAAUUUACUUUUUCUAUUAACACAAAAUUAUCUUAGAAAAUAUGAUACGUUAAAAAAUAACCAUUUUAAAAAUGACAAAUCUUAUAGAAAAAAAUAAUAUAAAAAAAUAACACUUAACACUAUUAAAUAGUAUUUAGUUUUGAGUUAUAUUAAGGUAUAUAUAUAUAUAGACACACACCACCUAAGGUGAUGUUUUACUUGUUUGUUUGUUUUUUCUAAAAUCUAAAUAGAUUUGAAUUUGGAUUGAAUUUAAAUAGAGCAAAAUGUCAUAAGUGUUUAGACUCUUUGUGCUUUAUUGUAUUUGAAAUAUGUUAAGUGUUAAAUUGUUUAUUUUUACUUAUGUCAAAAUACUAUAAGUAUUAAAUUUAUUUAUUUCACUUGUUAAAAAUGUCUACAAAAUUAAUUAUAGUAUUUGUUAUUAUUUUAGUUUUAAAAAUUUACAAUUUUUAAAAUAUAUAGUAAUUUAAAUAUUUCCAAAAUAUCAAAAUUAUUACGAUAAUAAACAUUUUAUAAUAAUUAAUAUUGUAAUUAUUUAAGCAUAAUUGGAUAAUAACAAGGAUUUCCUAUUAUGCUUGGUUACUAAAAAAAUAUUUUAAAAAAUUUCUAAUUUGACACUUAUUUCUAUAUGGUGUGUCUUCAUAUUUAAAUUUAAAUAUUUUCCAAAAUAUCAAAAUUUAUUACUAUAAUAAAAAUUUUACAAUAACUAAUAUUGUAAUUAGUUAAGAAUAAUUAUAUAAUAAUGAGACUUUCUAAUUAUGCUUGAUUACUAAGAAAAUAUUAAACAAAACUUCUAAGUUAACAAUUAUUUCUAUCUGGUGUAUCUUUGGAUUUAUGGAUUUGUAAUUGAAAAAUGUGUUUUAUUAUUGAGAUUAAUUCAUUAAUUUUUAUAUUUUAGAUUUUCAACAUUAAAUCCUAACAUUUUAUUUUUCAAAAUUAAUUAUUAUUGCUUAUUCUAAUAAUGUGGACCCCGCAUUUCGGCUCAUGCACUUCCACUCGAUGGCGAGCUCGAUUUUUAUUUGAAAAACGAUUUUAUUUAUUAGAAAAUGACUUGGAGUCACCACUUAUUUUUGUUUUAUUUUUAAAGGGUAAACAAAAUACGAAAGAAAACCCUAAGUGUGACUCCUUAUUUUGGAAAAGAUAAUCCACGAAAAACCGGAUCGGGCUCGGGGGUCAGGUUACUUAUCGGGAAGGUAUGGUAAAGACCGUAGCACCCCUCUAAGUCCCUAAAGUCGGGUCUCUACUAAUAAAAUGAAGCUAACGUGGCAAUUGAUGAGGGAAUCAAUGAAUACUUAGUGUAAUCAUGCACAAGUGAGAAUUAAAACAUACAUAUAGAAAGACCAGAAUGGGAGUAGAUGCGUACCUGGGUGAUGAGCCACAAUGCGCUAUCAAGAAAUGGGAUUAGUGCAUAGUAAUGAACAUAAAAUGUGUCAAUCUUAUCACCAAACAAGAGAAAGAACCACCAAUAGCACGCAUGACAUUUCGUUCAAAUUCAUUUUUAUUUUAAAGAAAAUUUAUUUGAUGUUGGGCCCCCACCAUAGCCCAUCUACUUUUGAGUGAAUCGAUUUCGUAAAUUCCAUCAUCAAGAAUUACGAAAAAUAAAUUCACACUUAUUUUGAAACAUUUUGAAAAUCAUGGAAAAUUCAAAAGUGGCUCGCCGGAAAGGAAAUGGUGGCCAAAUUUCAUUGAAAAUGGGAUUUUUAGGUCCUAAAAAUAAACUAAGGAUGAAAACUUAAAAAAAAUGUCAAAAUUAUUUGAAGAAUUUAAAAUUUGAGAAACCAUUUGAAAACUGGAAUAUGAUGGAUUAUUUUAAAAUCAAGGAUGAUGAAAUGAAAAGAGGUGGUACGUGGUCACCAAGACUACAUGUCAAAAGUGACCAUGCAACUCAUGCAAGAGUAGGUCUACGGGUAAGAGUACUGGAAUUGGGUAUAAGAUAACCAAUAGGAAUGGGGUAAAUUAAGAGACCCCAGCGGCAAGCAACUUCAUGAGGCCUUCCUUUGUUGAUGUGUACCAGAACCAACCUUCUUUUUGCCUUUUACAAACUUCUGUAAAGAUCCACCUCUACAAUUCUGAGCUUUUAUGCAUGAUUCAAAGAUAGCAUGAUGUUGUGCUUGGAUGUUCUCUUGGCUAUUACUGCCUUUUCUCCUUGUUGACCGAGAAUUAGUACCAUCAGGCAUCAAGUUAUGCAUUUCUUCCCUCAUCCAAACAAACAAGUUUUCUCUUGCAACUUUAAGAUCCUCUAAUAAGGACUCCAUGAAGAUUUUAAAAUCAUCCAAUGUUGCAGGAUCACAUGCAUUGCUCUUACUCUUCUUCUUAUUAACUUUCUUGAAAGAAUCCCUCUUCGUCUCUUUACUAUAUAAAUUAUUCCUCUUGCUUGAUCCAAUCUGCAUUUUGUUAGCUUUCCCAAUUUUGAAUUGAUCCCCUGAACUACGAUCAGACUUACCUUCUUGUUGAGAUCUAGGAGUACCACUGGUUUCAUCAUUUUCAGGCGAAAUAAGAGAGGAAACCAGUUUGUGCUUCUUGAGAACUGGCUCACCACUGGAACUCGAUUUGGAAUUAUCACUUGAAGAAUCAACGUCACUGUCUCUCCUCCUGAACUCCCACCUCUGCUGAAAUUUCAGGUCUUCACUCAUGUUAGUACUUGGGGAUAUAAUCACAACUGUAUAACUAUGUGCUCAAUCCUCGGGAGAGUCCGACCAUAAACGACUAGACCCACUUAUCAUCAAAGUUUCAACUGCUUGUUUGGAGAAUGAAAUCAGUUUGAUGGAAGGAUUUCCACUGCAACUGCACCUUGAACUCGUUUGAAAGAUUGUACCAGUGAUUCUAGCAGCACCCCUCCUCACAAAUCAAAUUUUGUGAAGAGACACCAUGAUUAAACCGCUCCAUCAUUCUCUUUCAUACACCCAGCACAAGAGCAUCCUCUGUGGAUGAAGCCCAACCAUUGCUCUGCAUCCACUUGGAACAAUCUUCUUAGCCCCAGAUGGGAGCUUGAUCCUGCUGGUGCCAUUAUCAGGGUUGUGGCUGACGACAAUAGCUCACUUGCCGGAUGCCCUGGCGAAGACACCUCGAUCACCAACGUGAUCUUCAACGUUACAGACCUCGGCACCUUCGGGAGUAGAGCGCAGGGGCAGAACGUUAUCGGCAAUGAGGGUGGCUUUCUUACUGCAGCAAACGAACUGGCCCGUGUAUAUGCUCUCAGCCACCACGAUAGGUUCAUCAUGACUGCAACUCCUACUAAACCAUAUCCCUGUCUCAGCAUCAAUAACCAGCUAGGUACUGCAUGUAUCACCAACACCACUAUCGAGGUCCAGGCUAUCACAAGUUCUGUUGCUAGGCAGAGCAGCAGGAAGUUGGUUAUCAAAGACAUGGUAAAUUUUAUCACCACCUAGGCGCACGCCAUCGAGAUGCUCUUUGUAUGUCUGAUCGAAGACACAAGAAAUUUCCAUGAUCAUGUAUAACUUUCUUCCAUUCUUCUUCAGUUGCACCAGUACCAAAUCCAUAUCAGCCAAGGACCCUUCACGCACAAGUAGCCACAGAUCUGUCAGAGAUGCACUUGAUACAAUUUUGCGAGCAACUGUAUGAUGAUUCUGCUUUUGGCCUGGAGGUGGAACUAAACCUUCCACUAAUCUAUAUUUUUCUCAAUAAUAUAUAUCCUCUAACCUUGACAAAAUAAUAACUUAAAUCCCAGUGUUGACUCCUUGCUUCUCGCCACUUAAGCUAACAAUGAUUAUGCCUUGUCACCAGAUGACUUCAAGAGCUAGGUUGUCCAAAAUCCUGUUAAGAAAUUAGUCCACACCAACUGAUAACAAGCUGAUGUGGCCCUCGAAGACAUUGAUUGAACCUAGUCCAUGUUGUAGUCACUUUUUGAAUUUCAUGAUCAAGAAAAUGAAGAGGAAGCCAUUUAGAUGCAUGGUUGAAAAUGGUCAACUGUUAUGCCCCCAUCAUCAUCACCUCUAGUAUUAUGAACACAAACCAGUUGCAACCGCCAUUCACAGACUCCCAUCACAGUUCAUGGGCCUGAAAUGAAUCUCCAACUAAUGGUGUAAGCAACAAGCUGAAUGUUGUUAAAAAUAUGAGAAAUGGGUGGAGAGUUGUGCGUUAAGAAGCAGAGAAUGGAAUAAGGGAAUAUACCCCUUCCCUCAAAGGCACAGAGAUGGAAUCAAGUAAUUGAAGCCGAAGGAAAGCCUUUCGGGUAGCCAAGAAAGCUUGAUUUACAUAUUCUGCAUUACUUUCAGCAACAUUGGCAAUCACAUCCCUGUCUGAGAGGCCAACUGGUUGUCCUUUGUGGUGAGUUCAGUGUCAUUUUAAACUUCUCCAUUGUAUCAAGGGAUAGCCAGCACAAGAAAGAAAUGAUACAAUGAAGCAGACAUGAGGCAUCUUUAGAAAUCCUCUGUGGAUGACAUUUUAAAGGCUCUGUGAUAUUCUGAAGCAUUGCUACUCAACUAUGACCUCCAUCCCUGAUAUAAAACACUAAACCAACCUCAAUCUACUUAACAUGCAUCUCGGGUACUCCAUAGAGAUUAAGCAUCUGUAAUCAUAGCUUCCGCUCCUUGAAUUUGCGUUCUCAGAUGGAGAUGCACCAAUCAAAGCAAACCACAGACAAACACCAAAAACAGAGACGUAUAGAGAAGAAAAUUGAUAAAACAAAACAGGGAUAGGUGAAAUGAGAGUUUGUUAAGCAAAACCUGGUCCCAUAAAUUAUCAACAGGCUUACCAGUUAGUGGGAGGGGAAAUGGGUUUAAGGAGAAAUGAUAGGAGAGAUACAUUCAGACAUCACGCAAUAAAACUGGACAAGAUUCAUACUAUUUCUCUCAACUAAAACCCAUAAACAAUAGAUGGAUAUAUAGUCAUAGCAAAUCCAGUGGAUGCUCAGAGAUCAACAAAAGUAGCCAUAUGAUAUCCACACACAAAUAGCUAAAUAACACCCACUAAUGAACAAAAGAGAAUGAAUAGCAAGAGAAAAAAAUAGAGAUGGAUAAGAAACAUACCUGGAAAUACCCCUCUCCAGUAAAAUCAGCUGAACUGCUAGUCCAUUGCUCUCUCCCCCUUCCUCUGGUUCCCCUCAAGUUAAAACAAUACCCUUCUCAAAUAUCUCCGACCAAAAAACCUUCUCCAAAAACUUCCCUUUCUCCUCUGCCAACCCCCCUCCAAAAAGCAUCUCCCUCUUCUCUACAACUGGCAGAUACGCUCCUCCCAUAACAGAAACGUUCUUCUCUAAACGUCCCUUUGGGAUCUCUUAUCAAACCUCUAAUGACUCUCAAGACUAGGUCACCGAUAUGUAGUGGUAUGGGCUUGACCCGCUUUUUGAAAGCGCGGGCCAUCUUCCUCUAUUAUGCACGAACAUGGUCUGUUGCUCUCAAUCUCAUCUCAUAUAGGAGAUUGAGCUGAUCAAAUCGAGCCUGAGCCCAAUCCGCCUCGGGAAUCUGCUACUUUAGUGCUACUCUCAAUGAACUCAUCUCGAUCUCAACUGGUAGCACUGUCUCCAUACCGUAUACCAAUGAAUAAGGUGUGGCUCCUGUAGAGGUGCGAAAAGAAGUCCGAUAUGCCCACAAUGCGAAAGGGAGCUUCUCUGACCAAUCCCGAGAAGUCUCAACCAUCCUCCGCAAUAUCCUCUUAAUAUUCUUAUUCGCAGCCUCUACUGCCUCAUUCGUCUACGACCUAUACGCAAACGACCUAUGAUGUCGGAUGUCGUAUCUCUGUACUAAGGUAUCAACCUCUGCUCUGAAAUGUACCCCUCUAUCUGAAAUCAACUCAUGAGGGACUCCAUAGCGACAGAUAAUGUGUGAUCUGAUGAAACUAGCAACUCCAGCUGAUGUCAAUCUCUCAUAUGAGGCGGCCUCCACCCACUUGGUGAAGUAAUCGAUGGCGACCAGGAUGAACUCAUGACCACUGGAAGAUUUCGGUGAAAUCUUUUCGAUGAUGUUAAUACCCCAUAUAGAAAAUGGCCAUGGUGAAGUCAAUGCGUGCAACUCAGAGGACGGCACGUGAAUGAGAUCUCCAUGUAUUUGACUCUUGGGACAUCUCUGAACAAACUGACAACAAUCUGUCUCCAUGGUCAACCAAAAAUAGCCAAUCCUCAUGAUUUUACGGGCCAACAUAUGCCCUCCCAUAUGUGGUCCGCAGACUCCCGCAUGAACCUCUCACAUCACUCUAUCGACAGAAGCGUAGUCCAAGCAUAAUAACAGCAUCCCAUCAGGUGAUCGUCUGUAUAGUGUCUUGCCACAAAUCACGAAUCAUGCAGCCAACUGUCUCAAUGUUCUCUUAUCCUUGGCCGUGGCGGCCUUAAGAUAUAUGCCAAGUCUCAAAAAGUGAUAUAUGUCAUGAUACCAUGGCAAACCAUCGUCUAUCUCCGUAUCAUCGAUCAGAAAACAAUAUGUAGGAGCAAAUCUGGACUUAAUCAGUAAAUGACGAAUAGUGGCAUCAGCAGGAAUGUCAAUCAUGGAAGUUAGAGUAGCUAAGGCAUCAGAAAACUAGUUAUGCGCUCUAAGCAGAUGUGUGUAUCUCAAAUCAUCAAAUCUCCCAACCAGUAGCUCCAAAUAUGGCGGUAAGGCCUAAGUUUCACAUCUCUAGUCUUCCACUCGCCCUGAAUCUGUCUCAAAACCAGAUUGAAGUCGCCAAACACCUCUAUCUAUCUAAUCCCGAGCUCAAGGGCCGUCUCUAAUCCCAAGAUACAGACCUCAUACUCAACAAUGUUGUUUGUGGCCGGAUGUCGAUCCAAGAAUGCCAAACAAAUAGAUCGGGGAAUGUGAUCACCAUGAGGGGAUAUCAACAAGACGCCUAUCCCGUAUCCAGAAUGGUUGGCUGCACCAUCAAAGUACAUGUGUCAACCUGAUAAACUAGUCACAACAGCGACAUCCUCGCCUGGGAAGUCAUCAUCAAUGGCUCUACCAUUGGAAACUAGUAAUGAGGCUAAGUGAUCUACAACAAUGCUCCCUCUUAUGGACUUCUGAGUGACAUAAUGGAUGUCAAACUCGGUCAGAAGUACCAGCCAUCUCAUGAGACGACCGAUCAAAGCGGGUCUGUCAAAAAAAUAUCUCAGAAGAUCUAGAUGGGAUAUCAAGUGCACUGAAUACUCGGUCAUGUAAUGUCUUAGUCGGUGAGUGGCCCAAACCAAUGCCAAACAGUAGCGCUCAAUCAUGACAUUCCUUGCCUCAUAGUCUAGCAUCCUCUUACUCAAAUAAUAAAUGGCUUAGUCAUUGCCUGAAUCAUCAAGCUGAGCUAACAUGCACCACAAUGCUACAUCUGAAAUUGACAGAUAUAGGAGUAAGGGACAACCUGGUGUAGGAGGCGCCAAGACUGGAGGUGACAACAAGUACUUUCUGAUCCUCUCAAAUGCACGCUGACACUGAUCAUCCCAAACAGUAGGUUGACUCUUCCUCAAGAGUCGGAAAAUGGGCUCAUAGAUGUCUGUCAAUCUGAUGAUGAAUCUACUGAUAUACUGAAGUCUACCCAAGAAGCCCCUGACCUCUCUCUCUGUCCUCGAUGCAGGCAUGUCAAGGAUGGCUCUGAUCUUAUCCGAGUCUACCUCUAUGCCUCUCUCUCUGACCAUAUACCCCAAGAGUUUCCCAGAAGUCACUCCGAAAGUGCACUUCUUGGGAUUCAGUCUCAAUUUGAACCGUCGGAUCCUCUCAAAGAACCUCUCUAGAGUUGCUAGGUGAUUUGGUCUGUCUUGGGAUUUCACUAUCAUGUUGUCUACAUAAACCUUGACAUCCCGAUGCAUCAUGUCAUGGAAGAGGGUGGUCGUCGUUCUCUAAUGGGUGGUUCCUGCAUUCUUCAAUCCGAAUGGCAUGACUCUAUAGCAAUAAGUACCCUACUCGGUAAUGAAGGACGUCUUCUCCAUGUCCUUUGGAGCCAUCAAGAUCUUAUUGUACCAAGAAAAUCCGUCCAUAAAGGACAACAUCGAAUGACCUGUCAUACUAUCAACCAACAUAUCGAUGUGUGGGAGAGGAAAAUCAUCCUUAGGACUGGCCUUGUUGAGAUCUCGGAAAUCAACACAAACUCUCACCUUGUCGUCCUUUUUGGGAACAAGGACUACAUUGGCCAGCCACUCCGGAUACUCGACCACUGACAAAAAUCCUACACUGAGUUGCUUCUGGAUCUCCUCCUUCACUUGCAAGCUCCAACGAGGGUGCAAUCAUCUCAACUUCUACUUAACCGGUCUAGCAUGGGGCAGAAGUGGCAAACGAUGUUGGACGAUAGAUGGAUCAAGGCCUGGCAUGUCCUCAUAGGACCAUGCGAAAACGUCCAAGUAUGCUCUGAGCAACUGGAUGAGGUUGUCCCUCUCAUCAUCAGAUAAAUCUGAUCUGAUCCUCAACUCCCUAGGCUGAUAUAUUGUGCCGAAAUCAACAAUCUCCAUGUCCUCUAUAGCAGGUGAAACUCUCUGAUCAAAGGGAUCCGAAUCGGAAAUAGAAGAUGAGUCAUCAUCUGAGUCGUGUUGUGCAAUCUCAUCAUCAAUAUCAAAAAUCUGUGAUGUGGGUGAAGAUGGUGCAGAUAAAACAAUAUCGUAAAAGAGAGGCAAAUUUUAAAAAAUGCUCAAAUCCAUAGAUGAAAAGUCAGAAACAUAGUCAUGAUGGGAGACAAAUCCCGAUAAAACAUCAAAUGAAAGAGGUGAGUCUACAAAGUCGAACAUUCCCUCAACUAGGCCAAUAGGGCCAUCAAGAAAAUCAUCAACAGCUAUAAUGUCCUCAGUAAUCUCCGAAGUAGGGGCAGUCUGGAUCUCCUCAGCGAUCUCAAUGAAAGACACCCCGAAGAGAUCAAAUGGUGAAGUGAGCUCAGGCUGGACUAUCUCCUCAAUCUGGCUCAAGCUCAAUGCAAGCAUCUCAUCGACGUACUCGUCACAUGGCAUAGCUCCGUCUACUAUGUCGCUAAUCUCAACAAAUGUCUUGUGAUCAUCGAUCUCAUCCAAUAAGCAAAGCGUCAUAAGGCUCGUGCGAUCUGGAGAGGCAGGAGCGAUCAACGCAGAAGUCGAAGGAUCAAGGGCUCCGUUACUCAAUUGUAACUGCUGGACGAGGCGCUGAAGCUCGGCCUCCUUGGUGGUGUUGAAUCCUCUGAUGAUCCCAUCAGAUGGUGCAUGUGACUCCGAUGCCCUCACAAAGUAAUCUGCCAGGCUCAUGGUGUAUGGGCGAACAGGAUAAUAAAAGAGCGUAUGAGUCAGUCGAGCCCUCACCCUCUCCUUGCUCAAUCGCGCCAUAUAACGAUAAUCGGCCUCAGUGGGGAUGAACCUGAGUCCGAAUGGUACGUCGUGAUCAGGGAUGGCUAUGAACUCACUAGGCCCAUGCUGACACUACCCUAACCCUAUGCCGGGAAAAUAAGGCAUACUCUGCAUCAUAUCGAGCACCACCGUGCUACUAUGCUGGUCAAAGGACAUGGCUACGAAAUCUCGGUAGAAAUCUUCUAUCUCCACGGUUUGUACCUCAUCAAAGGUGAAUCCAGUCAGAAAAAGAUCGUCAUCAGUGUGACUAAUCUCAAGCACAGGCUUGGCAAAAAUGAACAUAUCUCCCACAGACUGCACCACGACGACCUGGCCAUCGUGAAUAAACUUCACCUUUUGAUGAAGGGAAGAAUGAAUGGCCCCAGCUCUGUGGAUUCACGGUCGGCCCAGAAACAGGUUAAAGGAUGUAGGAAUCCUCAAAACCUGAAACACGGUGACAAAAGUGGCCAGAUCAAUUAGUAGUUCAAUCUCUAGUGUGCCCAUGACCUCCCUUCGAGUACUGUCAUACGCGCGAACGGUCUAAGUGGAGGGACAGAAAUCAGAUGGUGCAUAGCCGAGGGCAGUGAUGGUGGCCAGAGGACAAACGUUCAGGGUCGAGCCAUUGUCCAGAAGGACAGAUGGGACUCGACGGCCUGAACAACCAACAGAUAUAUAGAGUAGACGCGUGUGGUCUGAGCCCUCUGGUGGCAAGUCAUCAUCGGAGAAUACAAUGCAUGUGGCUCUACCGACCGUCAUCAUAUGAAUCAAUCCCUCAUGGGAGGUGGUAGUCUUAACUCUAAUCUGGCUCAGGGCUCAAAUCAGAGCAUCAUGGUGAGUGGUCAAGGAUGCCAACAAACUCCAGAUGGAAAUACGAGCCUGAGUGCUCUAUAGCUGCCUCAAAAUCUCGGCGUCCUCUACUCUGACCUCAUCGGGAACAGAUGUACCCUCAACUGGCUUAGCUGCUGCGCGAGGUGGCUAUCGCAACACUCUACCUCCUCAAAGAAUAUACUAAACAUCCAAAGUUUGAGAAUCAUCAACAUGCGGAGCUUGAACCUCCUCAACAUUCGAGAUCAAGAUGAAUGGCGUCUGGACGCUGUAAUAUGGAAAAAUCAAUGGCUCAACAGUGGUAGUCUGUACUAAUGCCACCUGGGGAACUAAUCCGAAUGAAAUGGGCAUCUGAGGCCCCAAAGUCGCUCCGUCCAUCUCAUAAAUCCCAUUUGACAUGAUAGGCUCUGGCUCAAUGUCAUCACAGCUCAACAUAUGGAUAUAGUCAUCAUGAUCAAAGAACUCCAGGAAAUGUAUGCUAUCGACCGGUGGGGGGACCACAUGUGUAGUGUGGGCAAGUAAUGGGUUUGUGGUUACACUCGGCUGACCCAAGUGCACCAAACCCUGGUCGAUCAGAUCCUGGAUGGCAUGCCUCAAAGUGGUGCAGCGAUCGGUCUCGUGUCCAGGCCCUUGAUGGUAUGCACAGUGCAAAUCCAUCCUGAAUUAAGGUGGAAUCGGCUGAGGUGGCAGCCUGGGAGUGAGAACGGUCAAUAACCCGGCCUCUGUAAGCUUCCGAAGAGCCUAGCUCAAUGGCAUGCUUAAUUGCGAGAACUACCUCUGUGUCCUCAAAGCAGAUGGAGCAAAAGUCUGCUGAGCUUUGGGUUGAGGAUAAGGCGUUGUGGGUCUCGCAGUGAAUUGAGCAGCAUAGCAUGGCUGUCCUAUGGCCGUGUAGGAAAUUGGGGGUCUCUCAAUGUCCUGGGUGGCAUAAUAAGGCAAAGCCAAAGUCUGUGGCAUGUAGACUGAUCAUAAGUCGGGUGAGGCGCUCGUGGCCUAUACUGCUGAGGUGGAUAUGAAGAAUGAGCCUCAGGAAGCUAUGGGAUCGGCUGAUGGCGCCUGGGAGGUCUCUAACUGGAAGAACUAAUGGCGCUCACGUCAACUGAUCUUUGUCCUCCAAAGGGCUUCUUCCCCUUAACAUCACUAGGGGAAGAAUCUGUCCACAAUCCUCUAGAGAUGUCGUCCUCGACAUCGUAUAAAGUCAAAACCAAUGAACCAAAAUCUGUGAAUGGUACCCUAACCACGUGUCUGGCGAUCCUGGGCUGUAAACUCCUCAAGACCAUCUAUAUCUGAUCUCUCUCUGAAGGUCUAUCAAUGAUCUCGACAAUCUUCCCACGCCAGCGGGAAAUGAAUGAAGAAACUAACUCAUCUAUUAUCUACCUCAGAGCCUCGAGCUUUCUCCUCGAUACAUCCACGACAGUGUUAAAUGAAAACUGUCGUAAGAACUCCUGGGCCAAGUCGUCCCAUGUUCGGCGUCGUGAGGACUUCAAGGAUGCAAACCAACGUUGGGCCGUCCCACUCAGAGAUAGUGGAAAUAAAGUGAUCAUCUGAGACUCAUCCAAUCCAUGAGCCCUCAUCACUGUGCUAUAGAGUCUGAGGUGGAUGCGUGGACAACUAAUGAUCGUAUAUCUCUUGAUGUCUGGCAUCCUAAACUUAGCCGGCAAACUGGCUAUCGGCAUACCCUCGAAAUCAUCCCAAACAAUUGAUCUAUCUGACACUCUCAUCUGCCUCAUACGCUGUUUAAGACAGUCCAUACGUGCAUGAGCAUCAUCAACGACAGUGGUCUGGACAACAGCGGGUGGAACAAUCUCAGAAUGUCCAUGUAAUAUAUAGGGUGAGGCCUGAGGCACUGAAGGAACGGGUGGUGGUGGUGGAUGUGGAUGUGAGUCAUACGACGUCUCAUCCUGAACUGUUGGUGGUCUACUUUGCUGACCACUGAUCUCCUGCCUGAGGCUAGCCAAAGCCUCCUGGAUAGAAGCCAUGGUAGCCGUAAACUGAUCCAUUGUAACAACCUGCUGAUCCAUACUCGGUCUCUCUGAAUACCGGACUAAUCUCCCCUCUACUCUGACCCAAGAAGGCGUAUCCAGACUGUGAACGAAGAUCCGAUCCUGAUCGAUUCUUCUCCUACUCCUCUCCUCAAGUCUCUCAAAACCAGCAUCCAAAAGCACCUCCUUCGACCUCUCCUAUCUUCACUCCCCUCAAAAGCACCAGAAGUCUCUCAAAAAUCUCUUUUGCCCCUUGCCAAAAAGCCCCCUCCUCUCCAAAAUAUCUCCCCACAAAACGCCCCCUACGCUUGCCAGAAUAUCCUCUCUCUCAUCCGAUCCUCCUAACAGACUGCGGCCUCUCUAGAAUGUUCUUUCCACGUGUUCAACUCUCAUUUGCUCCUCGAUUCCACUACCUAAUUCUCUGUCCACCAACCACGAGGUGAUACGUGGCUCCUUGAGAGCCUUCCACCUGGCAAAAUGAGUUGCAGAAAAUGCAUGAAAGUGAGGCCCCAAAAUGAGGGUCUACAAAUAGGUUUUUAGAUGAGUGUGAAUUGUGUUUUGGAAUUCUAACUAAAAAAAAUUCAUUAGAAUUGAUGAUAGUUUAUUUUAGUCUUGUUCUACUAUAAGAGGUUGAAUUAUAAAAAUUUGUAGUACAUACAUUUCUAAUAAAAAUGUUUAUGAUUUAAGUAUUGUUAAUUUUAUUAUUAAAUGAGGAAUCUACAAAAAUUUAUGAAAUUUAAUUUUGUUGAGAAUUUGAUGAAUUAUGAAGCAGAAACAGUAGCUAAAUGUGGUAGAAUUUUGAUUCAAGUUUUGGAAUUUAUGAAUUUAUUUAGAUUAAUUUGUUACCCAAAUUAAGUUACUUUUAUGUUGUUGGGCUUCUUUUAAUAAAAAAAAAAAAUCAUUAAAAUUUAUAUCUAAAUUUUAUCAAGAAUCAAGAGGAAAAAUGGACAAAAACAAAGCAUAUUUCAAUCAUUUCAUUUUUUUUUCUUGAUGACAACUUUGUUAAUUUAUAAUAUAUUCAUUUUUCUUCCAAAUUACACAAAAUUGAAAUAGUUUAAUUCUUUCUUCAGAUAAAAGUUAUCUAAAGUCAUAAAAAAAAAUGAAAUUGAUUUUAUUUUAUGUGAGGAAUUAGGUCUAAAUAUCAUAACACAGUUAGAGAUCAAAAAAAUAUAAAGAGAAAAAAAAUGACUUUUUCUAUUAAUAUAAAAGUUAAAAUUAAUUCAUUUUUUCCUUAAGUAUAUAUAUAUAUAUAUAUAUAUAUAUAUAUAUAUAUAUAUAUAUAUAUAUAUAUUUUAAAAAAAAAAGUAAUAAGCUGAAAAAUAAAUAGUUCUAAAAUGUAUUCAGUCUUGAAGCAACUUACUUUAACAUUUGAGUAAAAAAACUAAAUAAAAAAUAAAAAUAGAAAAAAUCAAGCCCUAAAGCAUUGGAUGAGCCAAUGAUCGGAUACUUGAUUUUAACUAAGCAGUUACUUGUCAAUAAUUGUGUUCAUGUUCAUCUCUGCCAAGUACCUUAAAAUGAAAAGGAACAAGUUCAUAUAAAAUCCAAUUUGUCUUUCUCACCCAACACAAUUGCAACCAUCCACCACCAAUUCAAUAUCUCGAAAAACCUUCAAUGUCUCUAAUAGAACCAAAAUCAUGUUAUAUUUGGGAACAUUAAAAUCUUGAUGUAAUGCAACAUUUCAAAAGAAUUUUUCACUUUGAUCUAUGCUCAUAUCAACAUUUCUCUUUGAUAUAGGCAUUUUUCAAAAGAAUUCACCUAUCUUUUCUUGCUAAAGCCUUAAAUUUCUCUCUUCUCUCCAUAACAAACCUUGAGCAUGCAACUUACUAAAUAGACAUUACAUAGGAUUCAAAAUUAAUUUUCAACAAUUCUCAAGUAUAGUGCCUAUUGCAUAAGCAAAUAUACUUUUAAAGAUAUUGUUGAUAGCCUUCUCUAUGCUAAUAGCACUUUUAAUGCUUGGGUUGAUCUUUAUGAUUGAUUCCACCAAAGCAAUGCCCCACGAAUCUUCCAAAUCGAGAAGCACAUAGUUGUUCUUGAGCAAAGAUCUAUGGAUGUCAACACAUACUACACUAAGCUCAAGGUCCUCUAGGAUGAGCUCAAAAAUUAUCAACCCAUUCUUGUCUAUCACUAUGGAGGCACAAAGUCUUGGUUAGACACCAACAAUAGGAGUACAUCAUGCAAUUUCUUAUGGGUUUGAUUGAGUCAAAUGCUUAAACUUGAACACAGAUCUUAAUGAUGUCUUUGCACUAGUUGUCCAAGAAGAAUGCCAAUGUACUAUUAAUCAAGGCUCUUUUUUUCCUAUCGAUUCUCUUAUGCCCAACAUUUCAAAUUCCUCUGCUUUUGUUACAACAACAAAUUUUUCUCGAAAUUCAACUUUAAAACCCAAGUGUGAGUGACCCUAAUAUUCCCACUGUGGCUUGCAAGAACAUAUUGUAAAUAAAUGCUAUCAUCCUGGCUAUAAGUCAAAAUCAAAGAAACCUGAAGUAAAAAAUUCAAGCCACCUAGGCCAAUGCAACUAUUAAUGAGACUAUUAACUCUGGUUCACCCCUUGGAUCUCUUACUUUAGCUCAGUGUCAUCAAUUGUUUGCAUUCUUGAGCUCUCAACUUCAUAACAACUUUCUUGUUAUGCUAGAAUCUCAAUAGCUAGAACCCUUUGUUUCCCAGUUCAAUGGUAUACUAUCUUUUUCUUCUGUCUCAUAAUUUUCCAAUUUCUUUUUCCACCUGGAUUUUGGACAUAGAAGUCGCACAUCAUGUUUGUUGUUCAUUAAGCACAUUUACACAAUCUACUCCAGCACAAAAUUCUUUUGUAACUUUGCCUAAUGGUCAAUCUGUUGUUAUUAAUCGUAUUGGUUAUGUGUUUUUGUCUCCUGAUCUCAUCCUUAAUAAUGUCAUGUUUGUUUCUAAUUUCCAUUUCAAUCUCCUCUUUAUCUGUUCGCUCACUCAAAGUUAUAAAUCUUCUAUUAAUUUUAUGGUUGAUUCUUGUACUAUUCAAGGCCAUACACGGACCAAAAUGAUUGGGAUGAGUAGAAGACAUGGUAGCCUAUACUUCUUAAAUAUAGUCAAUUUUCAUUCCACUACACCACAAAUUUUCAGUCCUUGUAAUAAUGUUUCGUUGUCUCAAAAUGAAAUUUGGUUUUACCAUUUAGGUCAUCCUUCUUAUGUAACAUUACAAACAUUCAAAAAUGAAAUAGAAGUUAAACCAAAUUCUGGUGAUUCAAGUCAUUGUUUAGUUUUCCAUUUAGUCAAAAGAUGCAAAUUACAUUUUAUUUCUCACAAUUAUUUGUCUGUUUUGCCUUUUCAACUCAUACAUUGUGAUGUUUAAGGUCUCCUUCACACAUUUACCAUUGAAGGUUAUAGAUAUUUUUUUUACUAUUGUUAAUGAUUGUACUCAUUUUAUUUGGGUGUAUCUUUUGCGUGCUGAGCCUGAUGUUACUGAAGUUAUUCCUAUUUUUUUUUCUCAUUGAUUCAAACUCAAUUUGGAACACAAAUAAAAUUUGUUCACUCAGAUAAUCCUCCUGAAUUGGCAUUUUUUGACUUCUUUCAUGCAAAAUGAGUCAUCUCAUUUCAUUCUUGUGUUGAUUAGCCUCAACAAAAUUCAAUAGCAGAAAGAAAGCAUCAACAUAUCUUAAAUGUUGUAUGGUCUUUAUGUUUCCAAUCACAUAUUCCAUUGGUUUAUUGGGGGGAUUGCAUUCUUAUUAUUGUACACUUAAGAAAUAAAACUGCAUUCCCACUUUUGUCCAAUAAAACAACCUUUGAACUUCUUUGGAAAAAGAAGCUUGCAUAUUCACAUCUUUGUAAUUUUGGUUGCCUAUGUUAUGCAUCUACUUUAGAUCGUCAUAGGACAAAUUUCUCACCUCAUGUCAUUCCUUUUGUCUUUCUUAGGUACCCAUCUGGUUAUAAAGAAUACAAAUUAUUGAAUCUAGUCACUAAUUCUGUGUUUAUCUCCCAUAAUGUGGUAUUUCAUGAGUCUAUAUUUUCUUUCAAAACUAUUCAAACUUAUUCUCCUCUUCCAAAUAUUUUCUCUGAUACUGUUUUACUAUUUCCUUCUUUUUCUUCCAUUCUUGAAUCUACAUCUUUGCCAAUAUCAACAAUUCCUACUGUUUUCAUACCUUCUACGUCUCAUUGUCAUCCUAAUCGUGUUCGUAGGCCUCCUUUUUAUCUAGCAUAUUACUACUGCUAUUCUUGUUCCCACAGCACAUCUUCUACCUCACAUCCUCUCACACAUGUCCUUGAUUACACAAAAUUGUCAAAUUCAUAAAAAUAAAAAAAUGAAUAAAAGUUUGUGUUAUUUCCUAUAAUUUUGAACCCACCACAUACUUCAAGGCUGCUACUAUUCUAGAUUGGCAAGAUGCAAUGUCUGCUGAGUUAGGAGCUCUUGAACAAAAUGACACUUGGUCUUUAACUACUUUGCCACAAGGAAAACAUGCUAUUAGGUGCAAAUGGGUGUACAAAAAUAAGUAUAGAGUUGAUGGAACUAUUGAACAAUACAAAGCUCACCUUGUAGCUAAAGGCUGCACACAACAAGAGGGCAUAGACUAUCUAGGUACCUUCUCUCAUGUUUUCAAAUUGGUUACUGUUAAGGUUUUGCUUGCUUUGGCUACCAUUAAUGGUUGGAGCCUUCCUUAGAUGGAUGUCAAUAAUGUGUUCUUACAUGGUGAUCUUUUUAAGGAAGUUUAUAUGACUCUCCUAGUUAUCACCUGAAGGAAAAUCAUUAUCCUCACACUCUGUUUACAAAAUUCAAAAGUCUUUAUAUGGCUUGAAACAAGCAUACGACAAUGGUUUUCCAAACUCUCCAAUUUCUUACUUGUUGAAGGUUUUUAAACAUUCUAAUGCAAAUCACUCUCUUUUUGUCAAAGUUGUCAGUACUCACUUCAUUGCUCUGUUAGUUUAUAUGGAUGACAUUGUCAUUGUUAGUAAUAGUGAUGAGCGAGUUGAGAAAUUAAAAGUUCUAUUUAGGAAAGCUUAAAUACUUCUAAGGCCUUGAGGUGGUGAGGUCUAAUAAGGAAAUUUCCCUUAGUUAGCACCAUUAUGCCUUACAAUUACUAUCAGAUAUAGGCUAUGUUGGUUGUAAAUCAAGGAAAACACUUAUAAAUCCAAAUGUGAAGCUCACACAAGACAAAGGUGAUCUAUUAAAAGAUCUUUUAUUUUACAGAAGAAUGAUAGGCAAAUUGCUUUAUCUAACCGUAGCAAAUCCAGAUUUAUCAUUUUCAGUACAUAAAUUCAAUCAAUUUCUUGCAAAGCCCAGAGUUCUUCAUAUGUGGGCAAUACAACAUGUGCUUCAGUACUUGAAAGCAUGGUUUGAAAUAUUGGUAAACACGGAUAUAUCGAUACUUGGAUUUUAUGAAUAUGUUGGAAAUAUUGGUAAAAUAUCGGUAAAUAUUGGUAAAAUAUCGGUGGAUAUUUUGGCAAAAAUAUUGGUGAAACAAAAAUUAUUCAAAAUUCAUGGAAAUGUUUGGAAAACUCUAAAAAAAAUGAUAAAAUAAGCAAGAAUACAUAUGUUAAAGUUAUUGUAAGUGGAAUUGACAUAAAUAUGGUCAAUGAGAAAAAUAUGGAGGGAUAUAUCAAACUUAAUAAUUUAUUAUUUAUCUUAUCAAAUUAAUUUUAAUUUAUAAAAUAUUAGAACUUCAUUAUUUUUUUUAUUUUAGUAAUGUUUUGAAUACAUUUAUAUUUUUAAUAUUUGUAAAAUAAAAACAUUCAAAAUUAAAUAAAAUUAAAAGGAUAAACAUAAAAAAAGUGAACUGAUAGCAAUUUUUAAAAAUAAGAUUAAUGAGAUAAAUGAUGAUACAUUUAAUAUUAAAACUAUAAUUUAUUUAAUUCAAAUACAUUCAACAAUGUAAAAUAAAUUAUGAUGCAUAUAUAAUUUUUUUGAUAUUUAUAUUUUUUUUAUAUAAUUGUCAUAUAAAUGAUAUAAAAAAUAAAAUAAAAUAAAAGACUUGUUAAGAAAAUUAUAAUGAUGGUUUUAUACUUUUAUUAAAUAAUUAAAUAAAAUUUUAAAUAAAAUAAUUAGAAUUAAUUUAUUUAUUCUUUUAAUGAUGAAUUUUACCAUAUUUAUUGUGAACAUAUAUUUACAAAUGUGGACUUGGCCCAAUAGUAGUCAGGCUUCACCCAAGCCUUUUGGCCUAGGUUUGAAUCCCCUUGGAUGCAAUAGAAAAAAAUUUGAAGGAAUUUACCCGAAUAUCGACAUCUUUUCGAUGAAGUUGAUUGACUUUCGGUGUACAAUAUCAUGUCGACUCUCCCUGAUAUUUUGACGAUCAACUUUUAGUGUGGAAUAUUGUGUUAGCUCUCCCUGAUAAGCAAAAUAUCGACAAUAUUUCAUCAAAAUUUUGCAACAUUUUAGUGUGGAAUAUCAUGUCGACUCUCCCCAAUAUUUCAACAAUCGACUUUCAGUGUGGAAUAUCGUGUUAGCUCUCCCUGAUAAGCAAAAUAUCGACAAUAUUUCGCCAAAAUUUUGCAACAUUUCAAACCAUGCUUGAAAGUUAUGCAGGACAAGGUUUUUUUUUUUUUUUUUUCAUUAAUAGAGUUGAAAAGGUUUGUUGAUUCAAAUUGGGCAACUUGUGUGGUCUGUUAAUGAGUUUUGCUUUUUUUUAUUUAUUUAUUGUUGAUUCCUUAAUUUCCCAGAAAUAAAAAAGGCAGCAUACAGUUUCAAGAUCUUUUGUUGAAGUUGAGGACAAAUUUAUGGCAAAUGCAACAUGUGAAUUGAUGUGGUUACUUUCUUUAUUUAGAGAUUUGCAUGUAUCUCGUCCUAAGCCUGCCUUGCUAUUUUGCAACAAUCAAGCAACUCUUUAUAUUGUAGCUAAUCCAAUUUUUCACAAGCACACUAAGCACAUUAAGAUCGAUUAUCACUUGGUUAGAAAGAAACUGCAAAAUGGAAGCUUGAAGACACUACAUAUUUCAUCUAAACAUCAAGUGAGAGACUUGUUGACCAAACCUUUUUCUUCACCUCAAUUUCUUUUUCUUCUUAGUAAAAUCGAAAUUCACAAUAUUCAUUCUCCAUUUUGAGGGGGAGUAUUAGAAUAUUUGGGUAUCUUGCAGUAUGGUUACAAGUUAAGUAAAGAAUUGUUAGUUUGUUAAAUAAUUGUUAGCUUUUUUUUUUUUUUUUUUUUUGCAACUAGAUGUGUCUAUUCAAUAACUUCAUAUGGUUAUAGUUAAUUAAAGAAUCCUUUACGUAUUAACUGUUAAAAUAAUUUGUUUCCAACUUUCCUAUUAAAUUUUCUUCUGCUCAAGAUUUCAAAAAUUAUAGUUCAAGAAAGCUCUUUCGAUUUCUAUGUUGCACUGUAUCUUCUUAUAUGUUAGUACAAAUCAUACUCCUCUUUUUACCUCUUCAAUGAAUCCUUUUAGGAGUAAGACCACCAAGUGAGCACCCUUAUAUUGAUCCACAAGCUUUUUAUUACAUAUUUUUUGUUUGUGCACACCACCUCAAAUUUAAGUGGCCCAUAAAUUUUAUACUUUGGAUACCUUACCAUCCAAUCAUAAGCAUAAACUAAAUUUGAAAGGAUAAGAUUAGUUUAUUUUAGAGAAAUUGAGCUCCAAGUCCCCUAGCCAAACAUGAAGUUUUGAAGCAUGAAAUUUUUGUGAUGGGACAUAAUUGCAAUCCUUAUUAAAUUGAUCAAUUGUGUUAUGCCAAGAAUGCAAAUUAUGCAUGGCAAAGUGGUUAGAAAGUGUACAAAUGCACCAUCUUUUUACUUGUUUGUUUACUCAAAUUUCUCGGUCAAUUUUUUUUUUUCAUUCUUAUCCCUCUUGAUUGAGGCAAACAUGUUUUGGCUAGUGCUCUCAAAUUCCUUAAAUAUAUUCUUUUCAAUAUUGUAAACAUUUGGCUUGGUCAUUGUUAUAGUUAUCAAUUGUGUCAACUUUUACUUUCUCUCAUCCCCAAUUACAUAUGCACUUUGUAGCUUUAAUUUUUUUUUAGUGAUUAAUCUUAGUUUUUAUCUAAUUGUUUGCCUUAUAGUCUUUGACAUAACUAUAAGUGUAACAUGUACCUCUCACAAACCAAAAGACAUCACUUGUCUUCUUUAAUUUAAACAUUUUUGCAUCUGUGUAAGAUCUGAAACUAGAAUUUCACAACAUCGCGUAGUCAUUUUCUCUAGUUGUUUCUCAAAGCUCUCUUCAAGAUUUAGUUCAUGUUCAAUUACCAACUUUGAGUUUUCACUUUUUUUUUUUCCCAUGAGUCAUGAGGAAAUGAAUUUCAACUGUGUUUCAUCUAUCCAUCUCUCUUAAAUUGUUUUAUUCGAUAGUUACCAAUUGUAGAAUUGUUUUUAUAUAUUCUUUUCAUAGAUAUUGUUAAUAAAUUAUGCUAAAUGAGUAGCUUCCUGAUGUGGUGAGAGCUAAUUUUGUUAUUGCUAGGAUAAUAUCUUUUUAACUUUCUUAACUUUUUCCGAAUUAUAAACCACUCAUGCUUUGACCAAUCUCCAUGUGUUUUUCAUUUGUUUGGAUUUAUGGGCUUUUGAUUCUAUUUGGUGAAUAGAUAAUAAGGAAUUAAGGAUCUGAGAUUGACAUUACUUUAAGGAUGUUUGAAGAUGACAUAGUGAAGCAUAGAAUAUUUUUUUGGGUUGUAUCUCCUCAUUUCCCAUACUUAUGGUGGACAUUGAUGAGUUGGAUUAUUUGAAUGAAAUGAGCUUUGGAAAAAUACUAGUAAUUACAUGAAUUGUUGCAAUAUAUUUGAGUGAAAAUAUUAUGUUAGUGUCUCUCCAUGUCACUAAUUCAAACCUGUUACUUUCCAUUGUAAGUGGUAGAAAUAUAUUUUUUAUUUUCUAGAAAACAUUACUCUAACUUGUGAAAAAGGUUCUUAUGCCUCCAUAUUAAAUGUUAUAUGAUGGAAAAAAAACUUGAAUCUCUCUGUUUCCUCAGUCUGGAUCAGGUUAGGAAUAUGCAUAACUAUCCUAGGCUUUUUCUAAAUUCUAUGCACAACAAAAAAAUUAAUUUUUUUUAUACUUUAUAAGGAUCUAGAAAGUGCUAACGAAAACUAUACCUCAAAUUCGGAUGCUCCCGAGUCUUCCGCUCGAUGACUCAAACCUUGAUCUUGGCACACUUCUAAUGGGGAGGAAAUGAGGGUGGAGGCUAUAGUUUUCUCUCUCUCUGGAUGGUGGACGAUAAAAGCUAUGGAACCCCUAACCUCUAGGGGGUAUUUAUAGGGUUCCUAAGUGGGCUUAAGUGACUUGAGCCCAUACAGGCUUGGGUCACUUAAUCUAACCCAAAAUGAGUUCUAACUGAUUAAUUAACCCAAUAAGGCUUACUAAUUAAUCAAUUAGCCCAAUCAAGAGACCUUGUUCACUUACCCCUAUACAACCUUGCGUAAUUAUCAAAAUGCCCUUAUGCACAGAAGUGAACUUAGAGUCAAUUCAACCCUCAUAACCCAUGCCAACAAGGUAUAUGAGUUCAAAGUGGGGACCAUUGGGACCCAUAGAAAUACUGACUCCCUCAAAAUCAAAUUCUAAAGUUGAUUCAAUAUCACACUAUAGAGAAUCAACUAAACUCCAAUAUCUUAUGUAAAUAACAACGAGACACUAAGUGAUCGGGUCUGUGACUUGCUAUCCAUUGUGUUCAGUCUCCCCAUGAACUAAUGUCCGUAGUUUAAUAAGGUGAAAGCUAUUAGUCUUUCAAGACUACCUCUACCUUCUAUUUUGUGUUCAAUUGACAUAUCUUAGCUCUCAAAGAGCCUAUGUCAAGUUCCAUUUAAUGAACUACAUGACCAUAGUUUCCAUGAACACACCUCCUUAAGAUCACCCAAGGGGACACACUAUCUCAAUCCUAAGAGAUAUCAUAGUGCCUCUAUUGAAAAUACCUAUUACUACCAGCUUCUAUCAACAAUGACCCAAUCCAUACGGAAUAUAUGAUCAGCUUACGAUUUCACCUGUAGGUCAAAGUCAUUGCCAACUUUAGCACAAGCUUAAUAUUCUCUCAAGGUUGAGAGACAACACAAUGAAACAGCUUGGUGAGGUCAUGACUCAAUAAUAGCCUUAAGUCAUGACUCACCAUAAGUCUUGUCCAAUGUGUAACCAUACAUACUAGUGCACUCACCAUGGGAAACCCAUCCUGAUAACCAAGACCAGUGAUCCCUCCAAUUAGGAGGUGGUGCACUACAACCUUUAAUGGGUUGCCUAGACCCAUGAACCAAUUGUAAACAAGUCAUCUAUUUGCAAGGAACCCAUGACUUAGAUCUUCUGUGCAACUCCUAAUGCACCUAAGUCACGUACAAUACAAAAAAUGCAGACAAGAAUGCUCAUAAAGUAUAAUAUAUGGAAUAAGAAUAGAUAAAAGUGAAACUGGAACAUCAUUAAAUAAAUAAUGAAUUCCAAAUUUAUUACAUCAUGUCAUGAUUUUAAGUGCUUUAUCCUAACAUUAUAUAUUUGAGAUAAACAUGAUAUAAUGAGAUUUAUGUUUCUUUGUUAUAAUAUUUCAAUAAGUAAUUGUGUUUUAAUUUUAAUAAACUAUGCAUGCAUGAAACAAUUCAAGUAUCAUUAGCAUCAUUGGUAUCAUUGUGAGACAAAAGUUUCUCUUAUUACAUACUAAAGAGAUUUAAGUUAUCAAAAAGUGAAAACGGUUUUAUCUAGGCUAGUUUCAAGUUGACAACUUUUAAAUUGUUUAUCAUGUGAUAAAGAACUUUUCCCUACAAAUGAUACUUGAAUUGUAUAAUUAGACAGUGUAGGAAAACAUAAUAUCUAUGAAGUUAACUGUUUAUUCUUAAUUCAAUUUUUAGAAAUUUUGGUAGUCUUUCCUCUUAUUCUCUGGGUGCAUAUUUGGAUAAAGUUGCAUAGUAUGCCUUGUCCAUUUUACAUACUUAGAGAACUAUAAGGAAAUUCUACUAAAACUUCUUUAAAAUGAAAUUGACCACAUUGGUCAUUGACACAUAGAGAUUAUGUAUUUCUAUAUGGGAUAGGAACUACUACCGAAUUUAGGAUGUUGGAGAUGUUAGAAUGCAUAAAACAUGCAUCAAAAUUUGACAUACUCAAAUGAUUUUCUUUAUUUAGUAAAUUAGUAUAGAUAAUGUUUGAUGCAAAGGUCAUGGACAAACCCAAUAUAAUAAUAUUAAUAUGCACUAGUUUUAUUGAGGUUAUACAUCCCUUUUAAUGCAAGUAUUCAUGGUCAACAACAUUUAUAACUUAUUAGUCACUACUACAAAUAAGAUAUACCAUGACCUUGUUUUUUCCUUGGCACUUUUAAAAAUGUUAAUAAUUAGCGUGAUAUUUCAAAAGUGUAGAUCUAUGUUCAUAGAUCAAAAUGGUUAGAACAAUGCUUACUUUUUUUCUUUUAAAUUUGGCAUCUUAAAGAAAUGUUGAACUACACUUUCUUGAUUAUUAUUUGAACAAAAAAAAAAGGUUGUUAAACGAAUAGCAUAGAAAAUGUUGCUAUUUUCUUCAAUUUGAAGUUUGAUCACUAUUGAAAGUUUGUUCUUAAAAAAUGGAUCAUUUGUGGAUUUCAAAGGAUAGAGGACUAAAGGAGUAUGGGGAUGGGGUAGAACAUUUUUAUCACAUUUGCAAUAUAAAAUUCUGCAUAUAAAAACUCCAUUAAAUGUCCAUGCUUGUAGAGUGGUAAUAUGAUAUUUCAUACUCCUCAAAGAUUUCCUCAAAGAUUUCCUCAAAAUAUUAGAGAGCAUAUGUUUUUCUAUAGAAUUAAUCAGAAUUACCAUAUAUGUUAUUGGCAUGGGGAAGCAACUCCAAGUGAACCACCAACUAGAAGGGUAGAACAUUAUAAUAUGGUUCAAUUUAAUGAUGUAGAUAGUACAAUAGAAAUGGUUGAAGUUGUACAAGUUGAAUGUCAAAAUGACCUAAAAUUGCUUGAAAGAUUACUUCAAAUUGUUGAAAAACCUUUUAUAUCCUAGUUGUAGAAAAUUCACACAAUUGUUUGCAUUGGUUAAAUUAUACAACUUGAAAACACACUAUGAGUGGUCUGAUAAAAGCUUUUCAGAGCUUUUAAAAAUGCUUAGAUAUAUGUUGCCUCUAAAUAAUGAGUUACCCUUGUCUAUGUAUGAGACAAAAAUGGCAUUGAAUACAUUAGGAAUGGAAUAAGAAAAAAUACACGCAUGCCCCAUGAUUGUAUACUUUACAGGAAUAAGUUGAAAGAUGCAUUUCAUGUCCUAUCUAUGGAACUUCAAGGUGAAAGGUAGAUAAUAUAGGAACUAAAAAAAUGACAGGAACUCCUGGGAAAGUAAUGUGGUAUUUUCCUCCAAUUCCAAGAUUUAGAAGAAGGUUUCAAUCAUAAAAAAUCGUAAAAGACCUCAUAUGGCAUACCUAAGGAAGAGAUUUAGAUGACAAAAUGUGUUAUCCAGCUGACUCUCUAUCAUAGCUAAUUGAUCAUAAAUGGCCCAACUUUGUUUCAAAACCUAGAAACUUGAGACUUCCCAUUUUAGCAGAUGGUAUAAAAUCCUCACAAUUCAUUGAUUAGCAAAUAUAGUUGUUUGUCCUAAAGAGCUCGAAGCAGCAACUAUGGACAAUGUUUUUUUUAUCAUAAAGAGUAAGUUAUGGGCAACACUAUGGCUGUAAAUAGAGGUAAAACCUUUAACUUGUUUUUAGUUUGAUUUUUCUUUUCUUUCAUAAUGGAAAUAGAAAAUCAUCUAAACAAAUAGGACCUUAAUAAUUUUUUUUUUCUACAAUUUAUUUUUGAAUAAAAUAAUUUAAAAGAUUCCAUUCUUAUAUUUGUUAGACUUUUUUUUAAUGAAGAAAAAAAUAGUCUCCCUUUUAGCAUAUAUAUUAUAUAUGAUUAACAAUGGGUAUAAUAAAAUUUAUUUAAUAAAUAAUUGAUGUGACAUUCUAAAUUGAAAGUCAUAAAUUAGCUCAUUAGUUUGAUGUUGGCCCUAAAACUACAAGACUUGAUUACAUACUUAGAUUUUAUUCUUGAAAUUUAAGAGAUAAUUGAUGUGACAUCUUGAAUUGAAAGUCAUAAAUUAGCUUAUUAGUUUUAUGUUGGCACUAAAACUACAAAACCCAAUUACAUAAAUUUUGUUCUUGAGAAAUGUCAUUAUGGUUCAUAGUAAGGCUUAGUUUGGUGUGUUAGACCAUGCAUGCAUGAUAUCUCUUCACAUUCUCUUGUUUUUUGACAAACAUGCUACCAUACUUAAGGUGUUUGUCAAGGCUCAUCUUGGACUACUCAAAACUUUGGGGUCCUUUCUUUGAGUUCACAAGCUUCUUUCCCCUAGUGUCAACCCCAACUCCCAAAAUCCACUCCUUAGUAGUGCACUGACGAAAUCUACAAAUGCACUAUAAAGUGAGAAUGGCAUCAUGAAAAUGUAUUAAUGCAUCGUAGAUGUGGGAACUUAAAAAUAUAUAUAUAUAUAUAUAUAUAUAUCUAGAGUUUAGACUUGUUUCUAUUAAUUAGAAAUUACUAAGCAAUGAAUCUUGCUAGUGUGGAAAGUACCAAUAGAUUGACCAAGGAAGGUAUAUGUAAAAAAGAUUGACAUUGUCAAUUGGAAAAAUUCCUUUACAAACGUCAACCCUAUCUUCCUAACCAUCAUGGAUGUUGAGAAGUAGAUAUCGAUGACUAUGAUGAGGAUCACAAAGGAUUAUCAUACCAAGGAGUUAGACAUUUGUUGGGUUAUCAACAAUUUUAAUGAGGGUGGUAUUAACUAUUUGGUUGUUGAUAGUGUAUUGCGUAGUUCCACCAAGCCAAUCUGCUCCUGCAUUGAGAUCAAUCUCGAUGAAAAGGUAGCAUAUAUUUUUCAUUUCCUAAUUCUAUCAAUUGCUUCAUGGUGCCUUUGUCUAAUAAGCUUAACAGGUUCUUCUACAUUUUCACCAUUUAAUUCUCUAACGUUCAUCAUGAUAGGGUUGAAAUUUCAUCAUCAAAUCAAAACAUAUCCUCCUAUAAGAGGCCUUUGAAUUCUGAAAUAAUCAAUUCACUUUAUUCUCAUAUUGGCAAAGACAAGCUUACACUAUUGGAAAGACUACCCCUAACCUUUGCCCUCCCAAAUAGCAAAGAUGAGAGAGAACCUUUCACAAAAUCACAAGAAUUAUUCAAGUUUGGAAUUCAUAGGCAUUGUUAUUGAAUUUCAUUUGUAUAAAAUUGGUGUGUUGUGUUUAUUUUGUUGGUAUUAAAAUUGAAUUUUUUUUAAUUGCAAAUUGAUGAUUUUUUUUCUCUCUCACAUUUAUACCCAUUAGAGUUUCUUAUUAGGGUUUGUGUUUGAAAUUUGGAGAAAGUAUGGUGCAAUUGUUCAUCGGUGUGGUGUACCAUUUUGUUUGUUGUAUCUAAUAUUUGGGUAUUUGAUUUAAUUUUAUUGUUGUUGAAAUUGAAAGUUGAAAUCCAAGUUAAUUGUUUAACUAGCUAUUUGUAGUUGACUUGUUUUGCACCAAUCUUGAUUACCCAUUUCAUGGGAAUAAUCGAUUCCAAUUUUCCUUCAUGGUUACUAAAAAUAUAUUGUAGGUGAAGGACUAUUAUGGAGUAUAUUAAUUCACAAGAAAAAUGUUCCUUUAGUUAGUAAAAACUUCAUUCAUGUGGUCAUUUAUGAGCAUCAUAAUAAUCCAUAUUAAAAAUAUUUAAAAACAUUAAUGCACUAAAACAUUGAUUUCAUCAACAAAAAUACACUCAUUCUUUUGACUUAUAGCAUUCAAAGAUGUUUAAAAAUAUAUAUGUACAAUAAAACAUCAUCGAAUUUAUUAACAAUUAAACUUUUAACCCCAAAACAAUCCGUUACUUUAGUAGAUAAGACACUAUUGGAAUAACAUUAUUUUUAGCUCAAGUUAGAAGUUAAAAUGAUAAGGUUAAAAGAACAAAACCAACAAAAAAAAAAAGUUAUUUUUUGUCAAACUUGACACUAGUACAAUUUAAAUAAUGUAGCUCAAUGCCCUAUUGAAUUGAGUCAUAUAACUAGACUCCCUAAUUAUAUAUUAUGAUACACACACAACCUUUGGUCUAGUAUACAUGAUUAAAUUAAAUGCCAACCUAGUUUGCAAAGCUAAACUGGAAUCCCAAAUCUAGUUCAUUAUAAAUACUCUUCAACCAACUUGCUACAACAUUCAAAUAAGACAAUGACAAUGAUAGAAAACCAAAAAAAUACCUAAUAUAUCAUUGAAAACUCCUUCCUAAAGGAGGUAAAAAAAAUCAUGAAGUAACUUUCUUCUAUUAAUAAAAAUGGGAAUACAAUGAUCUAUAUAGUGUUUUAACUCGAAACUGAUGGUAUUACAAAUAUUAAAGAAGAAAUUUAAAACACACACACACACACACACAACAAGCAUGUUGUCAAGCUUAUAAGAGUUGGAGAAAUUUCUCCAUAUAAAUCUUCAAAACAUGAUGGAGAGUAACCUUGACAUUUAAGUCAAUAAUAUACAAGGAAAGACAACCCAAAAAGAUACAACUUUGAGAACAAACUCUCCUUUUUGCUUUUUUACAUAACCUUUUUUUUUUUUUUUUCCUUUUUGAAAACUUCUCUCCUUUCCUCUAAUUGUUACACCAUACAACAAUCCUAAAAAAACAGAGUUUAAAGGCUUGUUUGAUAACUGUUUUUAAAAAUAAUUUUGAAAAAUAGUUUUUGAAAAUUAUUCUCUAAUGUUUAAUUUGUAGAACAAAAGUUUGUUUGGAAACCCAAAAUAUUUUUAACAUGUUUUUAAUGUUGUUAAAUAUGUUUUAAAAAUAAUUUUUAUGUUUAGUAUUUUAUUUUUAAUCAUUUUAUAUGUUUAUAUAAUUAUUUUUUAAGGCAAACCUUAAAAAAUAAGUGAAAAUAACAUAAAACACUUAAAAGAUAUUAUCUGAAAACACCUUAUUUUAUUGUAACAGAAAAUAAAAAGCGGUUUUUGGUUGUCAAACAUGUUUUCUUAAUUUUUUAUUUUGAAGAAUAGAAAUUUGUUCUUGAAAAUAUCUAGUUAUCACAUUAGUUAUUGCCCAUUUUAUGAUUUUAAUUAUUGCUUAAAAACUAGUUUUUCAGCUAAAAAAGAAGGUCCACUACUUAUGGGUCAAACCUUCAACUUUCAAACCCGAACACAAAGUUAUAGUCAAGACUAAUAUUCACAUAUUAGUAUUAAUAUAGUUCAUUAAAUAUGAAUUUCUAUUGAAGCCAAAAUCGAGUUUUUAGGGGAAGUAACAUUCACUUUCAAUUAAGCAAUUUUUAACUCAUAAGUUAGUACUUGUAACAAAAUUUCUUAAUAGAGACUUUAAUUGAGUUUUAAGAAGAAUUUUUUGUUUGUUAAAAACCAAUUCAAACAAAAUCUAAAACUAAUAUUAUUAUCUAAAAGACAUAAUGAACAACAUAAACCAUAAACCAAAGUGGUAGUGACAACCAAUAUGUAGCGUCAAUGAAUAAUUGAAAAUAACCUCAUUUUCUAAUGACCUCGAACCUAGAAGCUCUAAAAUUCUUGCCUAAUUCCUUGUGAUGACUUUGGUUCAACCUUAAUGGCGAGGGCAAAAUUCUAAAUAAUUUUUGUCACAACUCAUAAAUUUAGAAGAAAAAAAUGAGAAUAAAUGGAAUCCCUAAUGAGAAAUUGUUAUUUUUCCCCUUUAUGACAAAAAUAGUAACCUACUAGUAUUAUUAAAUAACAUGGAAAUUAUUAUUUCAACUUUAAUACCAUGUAUGACAUAACUUUAACAACCUUAAUUUAUAAGAUUAUUUAAUUUAAAAGGAUAAAACAAUUACAUAUUCAUAAGAAUCGCUUCUAUUUUUUAAAAACAAUAAAUUCCAUUUUUUGGACAAAAAUACCCUCCAUUGUUUUUAUCAACAUUUCACAAUCAAACACUUAUUGGAAAAAAAAAAGUAUAAGGGUAGCUAUAUUAAAAUGAGGUUAUAAUUAUAAUACUCAAUAAGUGGAGAUUUUUUUUCCAAAUAUUGGGAUCAUCUUCUCCAUUUGACACAAAUAUUUAUAAUUUAUAUUAUAAUUACUCUUAUAGUAAGAGAGAAAGAGUAAUUUCACAUGAAAUGGACCCAUAAACAUAGAUUUAUUAUGAGGCAUGAUACUAUAAUAAUAAUAGGAAAUAAGACGAGACGUGAUACCAUAAUAAUAGAAAAUAAGAUAAGUAAUUCAAUACUUAAUGAAGGUCUGAAAUAAUUAUGUUUCUCAUUAAAUGAUAUUAAAGACGAAAAAAAACUUAUUAAUUUUUAUUUUAAGUAUUAAGAUUAUUUAAUAAAAUUAACUUAAAAUUUAUUUUAAAUUAUCAAAUUGAUAUAUUUAUUUUCAUAGAUUAUAACUAAGGUAAAUGAAAUCAAGUAAUAAUGGAUGUCAUGUAGUGAAAGAGAUCCUAGAGGCAACGGGACAAAUUGUGGUAAAAAAUGUCAAAUAAAAAUACGAACUUAAGAACAAAUUAAUUGUUUGUACUUAUUACUUAAAGUUGUUAUUUAUUUUAUAUUAUUAAAUUAUUUUACUAAAUAUGCUUAAUUUAUUUAAUGACUUAAAUUAAUUUAUUAGUCACUUUAGGCUAUUAAAUCGGGUUUACCAAUCAUAUCGAAUACAUUUGGCUAGUAGGCCAAGACUCAAGAAUAUUGCUAUCAUAUGUUUUAUGUAUUAAGGUGCCAAGAAUAAUUCACCACAAAAUAUAUGAUGAGUUGAUAAGUAUAGGAUACAAUCUAAAAUAUGCACUUGAUUUCAUCAUCUAAAUAAAUGCUCUCGGCAAAUGGAUCAUCCUAGCUGAUACCAGAGCACAAGCCGCCAUGGACAGGAGGCAACGGAGAAACCCUUCUGCUUCUUCUUCUGCCUUUUCAUCUCCAGCUUCAUCCUCAUCGCGUUUCCGCUCAGAGAAAUUCUCCUCGAAUCCCCCAAAAACUAGUAACUCCCUGGAGGAUGCUCACCAAUUGAAAAGCAAAUGUGGGAAGCCACAAAGACCAAAGCAAGAGGAGGAAGGAGAGCAAGAUCCGAACAAUCUUCUCUCCUUAGUUGGAACUUGCCCAUUCAUGUGCCCUGGUAAAAAUGCGUGCUUAUUUUUCCAUUUUUUUAAAAUUCUAUUUUCCUGUUAUUCUGUGUUUGGUUUCCGAGAAAUUGGAGGAAAACAGUAGAAAAGAGAAGUGAAUCUGGAGUUUCUGUGUCAUUUUUGUGGCUUUUACAUAAAUUUUACAAAUAAAAUUGAUAUUUCUCCCCCUUUAUUAGAUACCAAUCUGCAGAAGAUGUAGGAAUCCCAAAAAAAAAUUCGCUUUUGCCUUUACUUCCCCCAAAUCUUUCAUAAUGGAAAAUGGACUUACCACCUCUUUUAUCACUUUUCCUUUACCAUGUCAGGUUUACAUGUAAUCAAACACUGUAUUUGGAGUAGGGCACUUAUUCUAAUGUCAAAUGGUGUUGAAAACUUGAAUUACUGGAUCUUAAGACUCCAGAAGAAAUUUGAUUGUUUAUGAUUAUUGCUCCAUGAGAAGGGAAAGGGAUUUCUUUUGUUUUUGCUCACAUAUAUGGCCAAAUUGAUUUAUCUCCUUCUCAUACGAACAAAAUAAGGACAUUUCUUGUCUUGCUGCCUUUUAUGCCACCGGUUCCACAUGCUGAUGUGACAACCCUUUUGCUAUUCUGUACAAAUGGUAGGAAAAUUCUGGUAAGACUGGUGGCCAGCCUAUCAUGUUCAGGGAAUAAAUUCAUUGUAUAUCUGGAAUUCACUCUAUAUCAGCAUAGGGUGUUGAUACUGAUUAUAAAUGACAAAUUCAAUUUAUUAUCCUUACAUUAGGGAGUGCUAAAAGGAUGCAAAUUGUUCAUGUUAUACCCAAAGACAUACAAGUGAUGCUAGAGAUUUUCACAAUGUGGAUAAUCAUAGAGUAGAGAUGAACACUAUGGAGUCUUUUGGCAUGUGUUCAUUCCAUGUACGGGAACAUGCAUUGGAAGAUUAUGUUUCCUCCUCCCUUCCCCUCCCCAAAGUUAAUACUAUGUUGUCAUGGCAAGAACUUUGGUGACAUGCUUCUGAGUGGAAUAGCCUCCUAGAAGUCCAUUUAUGUGGCAGUUGGCAAGUUCUUCCGGUCAAUGAGAACUUUGUGACUGUCUGAUUGUUGUACUAAUCAUCAUCAGAUUUUUUUUUAAGUUCAAGUUGUAAAUAGCCUUUCACAGUUGAAGGUAGCGAUGAAGAGGCCUGUUGACAUAAUUAUUUCUUCUGCUUGAAUGGAUUAAAAUCAGAUACCACACCUUCAGCCUAGAAAACUAUGGACUUUCCUAUGUACCUGCAAUUGGCUGAAUACUGGUGUGGCACUGACUAAAGGCUCUCUGAUGCUGUUAUUAAUUUCCUGAGCAAAUUAGAGAAAACAGAGAGGUCAUAAUGUGAAUCAGUUACCUCUUGAGUAGGGAUGAAGGCUUUUUAUAACUUUUUACUUUCUGGUUAGGCCUUGGAAGCACUUCUGUGAACCAUGAUUUUGUACUGUAAAAUUAGAUGGGAUGGAUAGGUCACCUUAACUCUACUUUUGGAAGUGAUUGGGGAGCGCAUGACUGUAUGAAUAUUGAUGUGUUCUCCCCAUACAGAGCCCAACUUCUUUUUGAACUAGGAAGCAUGAAGGGUGGGUGGAUGUGGGCUGAGGAAGGAAGAUUUGACUUGUGUGCCGCAGGCCUGCGGUACCAAUUUGUUCCAGAACUUGAUAAGGCCCAUAAACUGGUAGGCAAGUUUCAUUAUUUGGUCACCACUGAAUUUUGGCAGUAUGGCCACAAGGAAGGUAGGAAGGAGAGGGAGAAGAGAAAACCCCAAUUGCCAAUUGCAAGCUUCCGGUUGGCACAGUGCUCAUUGCUGACAUUUUCAUUUGAUUUUGACCUUGCAACAGAUACAGCUUAACAUGAUGGACCAGUUUUUCACAAUCUUGUGAUUCAUUACCCAACUUCUAGUAACAGUUUCUCAGCAGAUGACUCACCUAUGACAGGCUGAUGAUGUCUGCACACAACUUGAAAGGUAUUCAUGCCAAGGUGUGAAAGGUAAUAUUGUGACACCAUUUUGCCUAUUCCAGAAAAUGUAACAAAUGUAUGGCUGGUUCUUGACCUAAAAAUGCUGGCAUUGGUCACCAAGUGCUAGGGUGAUUCUUGACAAAAAAUGUUCGUAUUGUUCAGAACAAUGAUUUACAACUUCAGAUUGGCCAUCCAGUUAACGAUGAUAAUCACUUGUUUUACAAAGUUCAGUGUCAUAAAAGCAAAAUAAUUUUGUCAACAAAUAUGCGGAUAACUUUAUCAUAAUUACUACUUAUGGAAGUUAAGGAUAAGUUGGGUAAUGUGAGAAAGUUUUGGUCAGAGGAUAUGAGGAUAAAUUUGUUGCAAUUGCUAAGCUUCACCUCCUAGGACUACUAGGAGAAACGUAUGAGCAAUAGAACAAAUUUACAGUCCAUCCCCAUUAGCUGCAUGGAGAGGUUGGGCUUAUUGCUGCUAUGGUGGAGGUCACCUUCUUGUAGACUUUGAAAUCUGCGAAUGAAGAGGCAGAUUUCUUAGAGGAAUUGGUAGGACUCCAAGCCCCCCAAAUGACAGGGGGGUGGGGAGGAUGGGGGUGGUGGGGGGCCAUUUCUAAUUUCAUGUCUUCUCAAUGUGGAUUUGAGGUUUAACGAGAUUUUUGGGAAAUCAUUAAGGUUAAAAGUAAUUGAAAGAGUGUGUCUGUGGAGAGCAAGAGGGGGAAAUGUUUGGUUCCCAACUGGGGUUGCUUCAUCUGACCGUUAAUCUCACAGCAAACACCGACGGAGCGUUGUUGUUGGAGGCUUCCAGGUUCUCUGAUCAAUUCUCUUGUUCUUUGUUUUCUUUGGGGAAGCGGGAAACCUCUCUUUCUUCUAUUCCUUCUGGGCGGGAUGGGGAAGGUGUUGCCAUUGCCAGGGUUUCCGAUCAGGGCAGUGGUUUAGAAGCCGUAGGGGGAGCUGUUAUGGGCCCGUUAAGGAUGAUAUUGGCGGAUGGGAGGGAGGCCGAGGUCUCAAAUUUGGCGGGUAGGGAGUUUGGGACUUUCGAGGAGGCGUCAGAGGGGGUUUCGAAAAGGGUCUCCCAAGAGGAUGAAGAAGAGAGGGACAAAGAGGGGGAACUGUGUUGGCAUUCUAGUAGCUUGGCUAAGUUCAGCCGCUAUCUUGGAAUGCCGAUGGAGGGCUUCGAAGGGGAAAUUUUGUUUUUGCUUAAAAGAAUGAAAGAGAAGAAACUUCAAAAAGGAAAGUUGAAUGGCAGAAAAAGGAAAAAAUUGGAGUCAUCAAAAUUCGAAAUAGAAUUGAGAAAGUUGGAAUGGACAGUGAAUUAUCUUGGAGGAGGAGGAGGAGAGGGGGGGGAAGUACGAGCAGGUCUAAAUGAAGCUCCGACUGCUCACUUGGAAUGUAAGAGUGACCAAUAAUUGUGAUAAGAGGAAGGUGAUCAAAGCGUUGAUAAAGAAGAAUAGGGUGGAUCUGGUUUGCCUAUAGGAAACCAAGAUUUAGGAAAUGUCAAUGGGCAUUAUCCGUAGCUAAGGAGUGGGAAGAUUCCUUGAAUGGGGAGCUGUAGAUUCAAGGGCACAGCUGGAGGUAUAGUGGUGUUUUGGGAUAACAGGGUGUUGGAUUUGGUUGACCUUCAAAAAGGAUUGUUCUCUAUUUCUUGCACUUUUAAGAGUUGCGAGGACGGUUUCAUAUGGACGUUUACAAGGGUUUAUGGCCCAACAUUGAGGAGGAAUAGGGAGAGUUUUUGGGAGGAGUUGGGGGCCAUUAAGGGGCUUUGGAAUGGGCCGUGGUGUGUUGUAGGGGAUUUUAAUGCCAUUCUAAGUCCGGAAGAGCGCAACAGAGGAGGGAGCUUGAAUUCAAACAUGAGAAGGUUCUCAGAAGUUAUAGAAGAUCCAGAGUUAAAGGAUCUGCCUAUGGUUGGGGGUCCUUUUACUUGGAUUGGAGGGGUGAAUAACCAGUCUUUUUCAAGGCUGGAUCGUUUUUUGGUUAAUGAGGGGUGGGACAGUCAUUUUGGUGAUGCGAGGCAGUUUGUUCUACCAAGACCUGUGUCCGAUCACUUUCCGGUUCUUCUGGACGGAGGGGGCCUGAGAAGAGGCCCUUCCCCAUUUAGAUUUGAGAAUAUGUGGCUGAAACUGGAAGGUGUUAAGGACCUUUUGAAGCAUUGGUGGGAGGAAGGUAGCUUCAGUGGAUCCCCAAGUUUUAUCUUGGCCGAAAAACUAAAAUUUAUGAAGGCUAAGCUGAAGAAGUGGAACAGAAACACAUUUGGUAGGGUUGAAUAUAGAAAGAAUUUGGCUUUGGAGCAGGUGGAGUUUUGGGAUACCAAGGAGAAAAUUAGCAGACUGUUGUUGGAAGAGCUGGAAGCUAGAAAAGAAGCGAGGGAAGAUUAUAAAAAAUGGGUCUUACUUGAAGAAAUCACGUGGAGGCAAAAAUCUAGGGAAGUGUGGCUGAAAGAAGGGGAUAGAAAUACCGGUUUUUUCCACAAGAUGGCCAAUGCUCACAGGAGGAGGAAUAAUGUGGACAGAAUUAAGAUUAAUGGAGCCUAGCUUACAUAGGAGAAUGGAAUUAGGGAAGGGAUUGCCAAUGCUUUUAGGUUGUUGUUGUCCAAUCCGGGGGAAUGGCGCCCUUCUAUUUUCGAGCUGCAGUUUGAGACUUUGGAGCCUUUGGACGCUAGUGCCUUGGAGAUUCAUUUUUCGGAAGAGGAGGUCUUCGAUGCACUAUUGGGCUGUAAUGGGGAUAAAGCCCCGGGGCCAGAUGGAUUCUCUAUGACCUUUUGGCAAUUUGCUUGGGAUUUCGUGAAGGCUGAUGUGAUGUGUUUCUUCAAGGAGUUCAAUGAAAAUGGCAAAUUUGUUAAAAGCCUAAAUGCAACUUUUAUGGUCCUAAUCCCAAAAAAAGCAGGGGUUGAAGCCUUAGGGGAUUUUAGGCCUAUAAGCUUGGUGGGAAGCUUGUACAAGUGGCUGGCCAAGGUCUUAGCUAAUAGGCUAAAAAAGGUGGUUGGAAAGGUGGUCUCCAAGGCUCAAGGGGCGUUUGUGGAAGGUAGACAAAUCCUAGAUGCAGUGUUGAUAGCUAAUGAAGCCAUUGAUUUGGUUCUCAAGAAUAAUGAGAAUGGCAUUCUGUGCAAACUGGAUAUAGAGAAGGCGUAUGAUAACAUGGACUGGACUUUUAUUCUCACAGUUAUGCAGAAAAUGGGUUUUGGGGAAAAAUGGAUCAGGUGGAUUAAGUGGUGUAUAUCCACUGCAGGUUUCUCCGUGUUGGUCAAUGAAACCCCUACGGGUUUCUUCCAAAGCUCCAAGGGUUUGAGACAGGGUGAUCCCCUUUCCCCUUAUCUCUUUGUGAUAGUUAUGGAGGUCUUUAGUGCUUUUCUUAAAAGGGCUGUAGAGGGAGGUUUCUUAUCGGGUUGUAGGGUGAAGGGUAGGAGUGAAGAAGGGGUCCUAAUUUCCCACUUGUUGUUUGCUGAUGAUACACUGGUGUUCUGUAAACCUUCACAAGAUCAAUUGACUUAUCUCAGUUGGUUACUUAUGUGGUUUGAGGCCGUUUCGGGAUUGAGAAUAAAUUUGAAAAAAAGUGAACUCAUUCUAGUAGGGAGGGUAGAGAAUAUGGAUGAUCUUGCUUGGGAAUUUGGUUGUAGACUGGGUAGCCUUCCAACCACCUAUUUGGGGAUGCCCUUGGGUGCUCUUUUUAAGUCAGUUACAGUUUGGGAUGGUGUGGAAGAGCGCUUCUGAAGAAGGUUAGCCAUGUGGAAGAGACAAUAUUUAUCCAAGGGAGGAGGGCGACUCUUAUUCGAAGCAUGUUAUCGAAUUUACCCAUCUAUCUCAUGUCAUUGUUGUGCUUACCAAGCUCAAUUAGACGGAGAUUAGAGAAAAUCCAAAGGGACUUCCUUUGGGGUGCAAUUUGGAGCGAAAGCCUCAUUUAGUAAGAUGGGAGUUGGUGUGUUUAAGUAAGAAGAAAGGAGGUUUGGGGGUCAAAUGCCUUUCCAUUCUCAACAAGGCUCUUCUUGCUAAAUGGAAUUGGCGUUUUGCAAAUGAGAGAGAAGCUUUGUGGAAUCAAGUGAUUAGGGGGAAGUAUGGAGAAGAUAGAGGGGGUUGGUGCUCUCGGGAAGUGAGAGAGGCUCAUGGUAUGGGGUUGUGGAAAGGAAUAAGGAUGGAUUGAGAGUUGGUGAGCGAUAGGAUGGUUUUCAUUGUUAGUAAUGGGAGGAGGGUGAGAUUUUGAAGGGAUAGAUGGUGCGGGGAUUCUCCUUUGUGUAUGUCUUUUUCUUCUCUUUUUGAUUUGACUGUUGAAAAGAAAGCGUGGGUGGCAGAUUUUGGGACCCUUUGGCUAAGGGGGGUUUGGGGGGGGGGGGGGGGGUGGGAACCCCGUUUUUUAAAACUUUUCAAGAUUUGGGGGGAGAGGGAGGGGAAAAAUUUUUUGCGAAGGUUUCUGGUUAAAAAAUUUUUUGGGNNNNNNNNNNNNNNNNNNNNNNNNNNNNNNNNNNNNNNNNNNNNNNNNNNNNNNNNNNNNNNNNNNNNNNNNNNNNNNNNNNNNNNNNNNNNNNNNNNNNAAAAAAAGGGUGGGGGGGCAAUUUUUGGGCCCUUUUGGUUAAGGGGGUUUGGGGGGGGGGGGGGGGGUUGGAACCCCUGUUUUUAAGAGCUUUCAAUGAUUGGGAGGUAGAGGAGGCGGAAAGAUUUUUGCAGAGGCUUCAUGGUAAGAGAGUUAUUGAGGAUGUGGAGGAUAUGGUGUCUUGGACUGAAACUAAGAGUGGUAAAUUCUCGGUCAAGUCUCUUUAUGUUGCCCUUGAAGCGGGUUGUUCAUCUCUGUUUCCUUUAAGCUAUAUUUGGAAUGUGAAUGUGCAGCCCAAGAUUAGUUUCUUUACAUGGGAGGCUACGUGGGGCAAAGCCUUAACCUUGGAUAUGGUCCAGAAAAGAGGACGGGCAUUGGCAAAUAGAUGCUUUAUGUGUCUUGAGAAAGAGGAGACCAUAAACCAUCUGCUCCUUCAUUGUUCAAGAACAAGGGUGUUAUGGGAUCUACUUUUUACUUUAUUUGGGGUGUCUUGGGUAUUGCCUUCUUCAGUUAGAGAGACCCUUCUAAGCUGGAAUGGUUUUUUCGUGGGCAAAAAAUGCAAAAAGGCGUGGAGAGUUGCUCCUCUUUACAUUUUCUGGACGGUUUGGAAGGCGAGGAAUAGAUUGGCUUUCAAGGAUGAUAUGUUGUCAAUUUAGCAACUGAAACACUCUUUUAUCCUUUCUUUUUGGUCCGAGAUUAAGUUGUUUAUAGAUGAUUGCCCUCUAACUAUAGCUAAUUUUAUUGAUUGGUUGGGCUCUAAGUAGGAUUGGGUUGUUGGGCUAUCUUUGUUUUUUAGCCUUGUUGGAGGCGGGUGUAUAGGUAUUGUAUACCUUGAGUCACUUUUUUAGCGUUUCUUUUAUAUAUGAAAUCUUAUUUACUUAUCAAAAAAAAAAAAAAUGUAAUCGAAGACUUUCACAUUAAUGAGGUAAUGAAUAACCACUGAUACUUCUUCACCCCAAAGUUCCUUCACAAAAAUUUGGUAAGUGAAGAACCAUUUCUGAGUUGUGAAGCACCAAUUCCACCUUCAUUAUCUUGAUCUUUAGAAAGAGGGAUCCAACUUGAUUUGGGAUUUUAUACCUGUCAACCCAGUCACUAAUUUUUAGGAGAAUACUUCCAAUUUACCCUUGGGUUGCUUUAGAAAGUUUCUUAAUAGUGCCAUCUCUCUAGCUUAAGGGGCUUUUGUUAAUGGAAGGCAAAUACUAGAUGUGGUUAUCAUUAGUAAUGAAAUCCUAGACAAAUACUAGAUGUGGUUGUCAUUAGUAAUGAAAUCCUAGAUGAAAAAUUCUGUUCUAAGGACGAAGGGAUGGUUUUUAAAAUAGGUUUUGAGGAAGUUUAUGAUCACAUAGAUUGGGGUUUCAUGUAUGAUACAUACUUUGAAUAGGGAAGGCCUUGAACCUGGAUGGCACAAAGGGACUGGAUAUUUUGAGGUUGUUUUUCAAACUGCAGGCUCUUUAAUGGUGUUAUUGAAGCUGAGUGUUUAGCACUCGAGGAAGAUUCGGAUAUGGUUGUUUGCCUGGAUGUAAUGAACCUCCAUAUUGAAGGGGAUUCCUUUGUUAUUGUCUCAAAACCUUCUUUGAAGGCAAAGGUCCUUAGUGGAUUGCUCAUCAGAUGGGGUGGCUUCAUAAUCAUGCUAGAGACAUUGCUUGUUCUUCUCUAUUGAGGCCCAGAUCAGCUAGCCAGGUGCAUGGCUAUAUUUUUCUUAUAGGGAUGCUAAUAUCUGAAAAUUUUUAUUGAGAACACUUACUGCUCUUUGAUUGGUUUGAGGCAUGGAGUGGCUUUUCUGUUCUCUUCUUGCCAUACAUGCAUAUCAUCCCUCUUUUUUAUCUUGUUUAACUCAAUAAAUUCUCAUUUGUUAUAAGGAAAAAAAGAGAUAUUAUGUUACAUGAUGGAAGGACUUUAUUCUGUUAUGGAAUAGGCAAAACCUAGAUCUAUUGGCUAGAGCUAUACAGUAGGUUGUUGGGCUGUUCAGCAUUGUCUUUUUUUUGGAUAGGUUUGGCCAAUGCCCCUUGAUGUUACUUUUUGGUAAUGUAAUUUUCUUUGAUUUUUCUUGAAAAUUCCUCAUUUUUCAAGCUUGCUUGUAUAUCUUUCCUUCUUCCAUUAAUGAUUGUUUGAUUCCUUACUAAAAUAAAUAACAAAUUAUGAUGCAAAAGGAUUACGUUUAUGGAAAAUUUUGAGAUUUUCACCAUAUUAGAGUCUCUGAAGUUGGUACUUGUCUUGACACAGAUAAUAGGAAUCAUUUUCCCCCCAAACUACAUAAGACAUGUCUGCUACUUGGUAAUGUUCCAUUGGCAGUUAUAAACUCUCCUGUCAAAAGUGAAUCUGUUGUAGCAUUCCAAAUGGUGUAGUGUCGUACAUAGAUUGGUAAUUGAGGACUUUAUUAUGGAUUUUGUCCUGUUGUGGUUGUGCCAACAAGUUCUAUCCUGUUCUUUGUCUUGCUGAUUUGGGUGGUUGUGCAUCAUGUUCCUACAGCUGUAUAAUUAUGCUUCAGGAGCAUAGUUAUUCUGGUUUUACCAUCCAGAUGAUGGUAUUAAAGUAUUUGUAUUCUAGAUUGCGCAACUCCUUAUAUGGGAUAUUUUUGCACCAAAUGCUUAGUGAUCAAGAGAACUCUCAUAUUAAACACAGUCAUCUUCUAUUAAACUAAAUUCCUUAAGUAUGCAGUCUCACAACUACAUCAUACCAUUCUUUUCCUUUUUUAUUCCUUUCUUGCUAUUACAGGUUGGUUGCCACUAAUAUAGUAGAAAGCAAAUUACACGACCCUGCUUCCAUAAGACCUUUCUUAUUCCAUAGGUUGAAAUAGAAAAAACACUCGAUGGGACUAAUGUUUCUCUUUGCAACCAAGCAAAUUAAAAUGUUUUGAAACCCAUGCUGCCAUGAUCUUAGCUAAUUUGCAUUUUAUAUCUCUACCCCUUUCUAUUUACCAUAAUGAUGCAUGCAUCUAGUCAAAUUGUGUAUUUCUUAUGCUUAUAUUUAUUUCCUGAUGAGUUUAUUCUGACUCUUUGAUCAGGAUUUCUGCAAUCACAUUGCUUGCUAUUGAAUUUUCAAUGGCUUAAUAUGAAUUAUUAAUAAAGAUGUUGUUUAAUUAUUUCAGCAGCUUAUACUUGGUAAUUUCUUUUAACAACUCUUAUCUCUGAUGUUCAUUUGUAAUAUAUAGCUGGAGAAAGGGCCCAACGUGAACGCCUUCGGGACUUGGCUGUGUUUGAGAGGUUACAUGGAAAUCCUGGGAAAACAUCUCCAAGCCUUGCUGUCAAAAAGGUAAACCCUACAUCUCAUUCCUCUAUACCGCAUCUUAGCUUCUCAUCUUGCAUCGGACAAUGAUACUCUUAUUGAAUCAUCUUUACCAUAUCAGCCAUCAACAUGUGCACUUAUUGAGCGCUAAUUCAGGCACUGAUACUUGUGCUUUUGUUUUGUUUUGUUUUAUCUUGUCUUGUUUUGUUUUGGAGGUGAUUGUGUUGGAUGACCUAUAUCUGUGUUAGACACCAAAGCCUAUCUUAAUGCUACUGUAAAGUAAGACUAUGCUAAUAAGCUAUUGAUCUGUUACAGGGUUUAUGCCAAACUGAUUUUUUAGUUUCUCUAGUAGAAAACUUGUUUUUUCCCCUGUUAUAUCGGUGCUAUUGUUGGAUUUGUGUUUGUUGUUGAUCAAGCAUUUGCUGAAACCUUUUUUUUUUUCCUUUGCUUCUUGAUGUGCAAAGCAUUAUUGUUUGAAUUUUAAUGAUCCCAUUUGAUUCACUAUUCAAUAUUUUUAUUUGAUAUUACAUCUAUCUCAUUUGUUUUCUUUUCUUAGUUUGUUUGUUUGUUUUUUUUUUUUUUUUUUUUUUGAAUUUGUGACAUUUGAAUUUGAUGGAGCCACCAUUAAUUUAUUUUUCCUUAUUAUUGUGGGGUGUGCUUUAUUUUGUUCAAUUGUUGUUGCACUAUUAUUGUCAUGUAACUUUUCUUUUUUGUUUUGUUUCUAUUGUUCCUAUGAGCAUUAAAUGCUUCUAAAAUGUAUGGAACAGGCUAAACCUUUCUAUAGUUUUUUUAAAAAAAAAACUCAUUUAUUAUCUAUUUUCUUGUGCUCAAAAAAUUAUAUUUUUUUAGUAAAAUUGAAAAUUUAGGGAGCGCUUAGGCCUCAGCGGCUCAACCCCUUGAGGGUUUAGGCCUGUCAUAGCAAGAUGUAAACCCCCUUGCCUCUUAUGCUUUUACCUUAUGAAACUAUACCAAGAAACAAACACCACAACUCCCUGCUGCCAUCAAAGGAUACUUCAAAGUUUGCUUCAAAUCAAUCUUAAGGCCAAUUAUCAUAGGCUUGUCAUCAUGUCACUAAAAUUGGUAUUGUAACCAAAGUCCUAUUGCGAAAUCUUCAAGUUGCAGCUCCUCCUUUUCUGUUGGCUCUUGUAUUGUUAGGUGGCCGCAACCUGUUGCUUUUCUUAUGCUUUAUGAACUACUCCAGUUAAAAUAAUGCUUCAAGUAGAUGCUUUCUGGAUCUUGAUUCUAGCAAGAGGCUUAUAUUGCAAAUUUUUUUGUGGAGUCCUAGAUAGGUUAACUAGGAAGACAAUAGCUUGCUUAAGAGGAUUGCCACCUCUCCUUUUGGGUUUGUAAAAAUUUUGGUUCUCCCUUGACCUUGGGAGUCCUAUGGUUUCAAUUUUGGAUGUGCUCUAGGUUGUAGCCUGUGUUAUGCUUUCUAAAUGGUAAUCUUCUUCUUGUUUUAGCUGGGAUGCUUUUGUUUAUUUUGCUCGUUUGUUUUCUUUGUUUCUUUAUUGUGGCUGUAGGAUCACCAAUCAACUUUUUAUUCUCUGCAAAAACUGUUUAUGUUUCAUAACGAAAAAGGAAAAAACAAAGGCAAGUUAGCCUAGAAUAGGUUUUAUCUUGUUUCUUCUUUUACCAUUAGUGUGGAUUCAAACUCAGGAAGAGGCCUUCAAACAAGUGGCAUUUGUGUUUUUUAAACAUAUAUCUUUAUUCAAUCAUUGUUAAGUGUUUGUUGUCUUGUCUGUUCUUUUGGUUGUUUUUGUCUUUGUCAAAGUGUAUAAUUAUAAUAUCCCACAUUGUAUAGAGGAAAAAGUUUCUAACGCUAUAUAUGUAUGAACUUUUUUUAAUCUUGUUGAUUCGUUUUUAAGCCGCGAGGGUCGUUUAGGCUCAAAGCAAAUAAUAUCCACACAACUGGGAGUAGGUUGUUACAAAUGGUAUCAAAGUCAAUCCUCGACCUUGGUAGGAGAGUUUGCUUGGCCUAAAAUGGGUGUCCGUUUAUUUGACCUUACAAUCCUAUGGGACACAAUAAGGACGUUGUGUCUGCAUGAGAGGGUGAUUGUAAUAUCCUACAUUACAUAGGGGAAAAAGUUCCUAACGUUAUAUAUCAUAGUUUUAAAAGGCUCAAGGCGCACCAAGGCGCAAAGUAGUCCUGGAGCCUGAGGCGCAAGGCGCAUCUAAGGCGCGGGCUUUAGUGAAGUGAGGCGCACCCUAAUUUACAUAUAUAUUUUUAUAUAAUAUAAUCAAAUUUAACAAUCAUUUAUUUGUCCUAAACACAUAAAUCAUCAAAUAUCAUCCAAAACUUCAAUUUAAUAAACAAAAAACAUAAAAAUAAAGAACUCCAAGCAUAAAAACAAAUCCAAAUCCAUAUUGCUAAUUGCCUAAUACAUAUCCAAAUCCAAAGUUUCCAAACCUAAAGGUCCAAAACAUGAAAUUUGUCCACAAUUCAAAAACAUCAUUAAAAAACACUUAAAUCACAAAUUUGUCCACAACAAGCAAUCAUCACUCCUCCUCUAAAUCAACAAAAUCAUCAUCAUCAUCAUUUCCAUCACCACAUUUGUAGCCUUCCCCAUCUUCUUCAUCUGCUGAAUUAACCAUGUCUCCAUCUUCAUCUUCAUCUAUUAGUGAAUAAGAAGGCAAAGUUCUAGAACUUGAAGCUAUCCCCCUUGUUGGUGGUAUUAUGCUUGAGCUUGCUCUAGCUCUAGCUCUAGUAUCAAACCUGGCCUCCUCAUCUCCAGCAGCUCUAGCAACAUCACCCCAUGUCAAAUUGUCAUCAUCAAAUACAAAAUCAUCUUGUGCACCUCCAUGAGAAUCCUCAUCUUCCAUUCUCCCUAUCAACCAUUCAUUGCUAUCAUCUAUAUCUUUCAAGGAAAUUGGGUCAAUGGUGUUACGUUCAUUGUAUCUUCUCUUCAAGGCUCGAUUAUACUUGAUGUACACCAAAUCAUUCAAGCGUUGAUGAUCUAACCUAUUUCUCCUCUUGCUAUGAAUCUGCAAAAAUUCAUAAGCUCAUAAAUAUAUUUUAAAAUUUUAACUUUUAAGUUACAUUCAAGACUCUAUUAGACUAUUACUUGUAAUUAUUUUGGAUUUGGUCACUCACAUUCUCAAAGAUGCUCCAAUUCCGUUCACAACCCGAUGCACUGCAUGUUAAGUUGAGGACUUUCAUUGCAAACUUUUGCAAAUUUGGAGCUGAAGCUCCAUAUGCAGCCCACCAUUCAGCUGUAGUAUAGAUAUUAACAAUUUAGUGAAACAAUUCACCUAUUUUAGCAAAAAUACAAUCUAAUCAUUUAAAUAAACAAAACUAAAUAACUAACCUGGUGCUCUAGUCUUUCUUGUCCUAACAGCUAACUCAUUCCCGAAUAGUCCUUGGGCAUUUGUGAACAAACUCACUUCGGCCACAACUUUUUCUUGCUUAGCAGGGUCUCUUGUUAGCCUUAAGAUGCAUUUAUACAAAUCACUCAUAAUCUCGGCAUCAUGCUCUAUUUCUGGCUUAUCAUAGAAGAAUUCCGGGUUCAAAAAGUACCCUGCUGCAUGCAAAGGCCGAUGAAGCUGAAUCUCCCACCUCUUAUCAAUGAUGUUGAAGAUUUCUUUGUACUUCUCUUCAUUUCCAUUAAAACUUCUCACAAUUGCAUCCUUAGCUCUAUUCAUGGCCUCAUAGAUGUAUCCCAUAGGAGCUUUUUUUUCACCAUCAACCAAACGAAGCACACGAACUAGGGGACCCGAAACCUUUAAGCAAAACACAAUAGUGUUCCAAAAUGAAGGCAUUAGAACUAUGUUGGCUAUAGUUUUCCCCUUCUACUCUUUUGCCCAUUUACUAUCUAACCAAUCUGAGCUUGUAAACAUCUUCCUCAAAUUGUUUUUUUGUUCAUGCAAUCGCGAUAAUGUGAUGAAAGCAGUUGCAAACCGAGUCUUAGCAGGCCUAAGCAAUUCCCUUUGUCCAGUAAACCGCCUCAUCAUGUUGAGUAGCCCUGAGCGAUUAUAAAUAUACCGAUUUAGUGAUAUAGCCCUCUCCAAUGUCCUCUUGAUGUUUGGUAGCUUUCCAAUAUCUUCCAACAUCAAGUCAAGGCAAUGUGCAGCACAUGGUGUCCACUACAAAUGUGGACGCUUUAAUUCUAACAACCUCCCUAUAUGAAAUUGUAGAUAAUAAAUUUACAUAAGUUCUCAAGAUAAAUAAUUCAAAUUUUAAAAGUAAAUAAAAAUUCAAGAAAUAGUAUUUAUUACUUGCUAUCACAUAACUUGAGUGAUUAUCUGUUAUAACUUGAAUAACAUUCUCUUCACCAACUUGCUCUACCCAUUUGUCAAGUAAUUCAAACAUCUUUUCUCCCGUCUUAAUCAUUGAAGAAGCAUCAAUGGAUUGCAUGAACAUGGUUCCCUUUGAACAAUUAACCAAAAAGUUCACCAAAGUUCUCUCUUUCCUAUCGGUCCAUCCAUCCGACAUAAUUGAACAUCCAUUUUUCCCCCAUUCCACCAUAUGAUCUUUCAUCAAAUCUUUUGUGAGAGCCAAUUCUUUCUUAAGGUUAGUAACUCUUACCUCAUGAAAAGUUGGUCCCUUCAUACCCACACCAUAUUGGCCAAUAGUCUCAAUCAUUGGUUGGAAACUCGGAUAUGUGACUGCAUUAAAUGGAAUAGCAGCCUCAUACAUCCAUCUUGUGAUAAGCGUGCAAGCUCUUUCUCUUGCUUCCUUUUUGUAGGCAUCAUUGAUGGUAGUUUGAUUCAUCUUUCCACUCCUUUGAUUUUGAACAACCAUCUCUGCAUUAGGAGUGAAAAAAUGAUCCAUAGGACCUUUUUGUCUUGGUUUUUUUGAAGAAAACGUCCUACCACUACUUCCUCCUCGGUUACUACCUCCACUAGAAAUGUUGGUGACAUUCGUUCUACUAUUAAUCUCCUCACCAAUAUCUUCAUCUUCCAAACCAAACAAAUCUUCAUUAACAUAUUCGCUCCCCAUAUUCAUUUGCUCUUUUUGAUUUUUCUUGGAACUCAUAUACUCUUCCAUUUCUUCUCUAACAUGUUCCGGACAUUUUCUAAACUUUUUAGCAUUUCUAUAUCCACCAACAAGAUGUUGUUUGUGUCUAUAGAUGCCUCCUUUGGUUACUUUCUCACAAAAAAUGCAUAUGAUGGUGUUCAAAUCUUUUUCAUUAACCAAACGACCAUAUUUCCACCCCGGAUCUCUUCUUCCACUUGCACUAGAGUCCACUUGAGUUUCACUCUCAUUAUCCAUCUUGCAAACAAAUUAUCUAUACUCCACAAUAAAAUAAUUAUAAUUAAAUUAAGAAAAAAAAUUGAAAAAAAAAUGCAUAUCACAUUAUCAAAUAUCACAUUAACAACAAAUAUGCAUGAGUGCUUUUUAUUUAUUUAUUUUUAUUUUGUAAAAUUUUCAUGUCAAAAACUCAAAAUAUAAUAUUUAUUUUUAAAAAAAAAAAAUUACCAAUGAGAGUUAUGAGGUAAGAAUGGAAAAAAAUGCAGAAAAGUGAAGAAAAAAGAAAAAUACCGAGGUUCGGAAGGUACGUGACUAUUUCCCCUAUUUUUCUUCUUCUUUUUCUUCUUCUUCUUCACUUCUCCAGCACAGAAGAGGCUAAGGCAAAAAAUGGCAGUGGUCUCGGGUUGAGAAAGACCAGAAAAGGGGGCUGGAUGGAAGGAACAAGUCAAAACGGCGUCGUUUUGGUCCCUGUUCACUUAAAUGAACAGGCUCCAAAACGACGUCGUUUUGGGCCCAAAAAAAAAAAAAAAAAAAAAGCUAGGGCUGCGGGGCGUCUCUGCAACCCGACUGGAGGAGGAAGAAGAAGAAGAAGAAGAACAAGGAGAAGGAGAAGGAGGAGUGCGUACCUGGUCGGACCGUCGGAGGCGACUCGGGCGAUCGCCUCGCGCCUUGCUGGAGGCGAGCGCCUUGCGCGCCUAAGCGGCGCCUUCGUGAAGGGGCGUCGCCUCUCUUCAGGCGAGGCGCCGAGGGUGGCGUCGGGCCGCCCCGAGCCUAGGCGCGCCUUUCAGAACUAUGUUAUAUAUAUAUAUAUAUAUAUAUAUAUAUAUAUAUAUAUAUAUAUAUAUAUAUAUAUAUACUCCUCUUAACCUUGUACACGUAUUUUAAAGUCAUGAAGACCACUUGAGCAUAGGAUGGAUAAUAUCUAUACGGUUGGAUGCAGGUUGUUACAAUAAUUACUUUUGAUUUUCCUUUCAUAUGUUUAAUUGCAUAACAUUAUUAUAGCAAAAUAUUAAUCUAUCAUAAUGCAACGUCUUGUAAAGCUUAUGUUGGGUGUCAUGAUUUGAUCUCUUGUCAUUUUUAUUAUUCUGAUUCAACAUCAUCUUAGCUUAUAAUCAUUUAUACACUUGAUGCAUGAGAAAUGAAGAUGCUAUAAAUUGUAGGAUCUUUUUCUCCAAUUUGUUCCUUGAUAUUUUAUAAUGCCAUGAAAUGUCUAUAUUUUGAUGCAGAAAGCCGUUCACACUCCAUCUCUCUCACUAGUUUUGCAGAACCAUUGCCACUAAGCACAUGCAGGCGUCAGAUGUGCGGCCACUUCCAGUGUUGGAAGAGACUUUGAACUACCUAUUAAACCUGUUGGAUGCCACAGAACAUCCUUUUGAAGUGGUUCAUGAUUUCGUCUUUGAUAGGACAAGAUCAAUAAGACAAGAUCUUAGCAUGCAGAAUAUCAUUAAUGAUCAAACAAUUCAUAUGUUUGAAGAAAUGGUAUGAAUUUCUUGAAACAUAAUCUCAAUUACCUUUUUUUCUGAGCAUUCAUCUCCUCAACAUACAAUAAGUUAGCCAACCCAUUGCUAAACACUCUCCUAGUUGGAGAAAAUAAUCAAAGUAUACAAGAGAUAAAAUGUUGAAUAAUUGAGUCAUUAUCCUCUCUUUUUGCUUUAUUGAAUAAGAUAAUUUAUUCGAUGGAGUCCAAAUGAGGUGAAACUGUGAUCACACAACUUGAAGCCUACUUUACAAUGGAUAAAUGAAUGGUCUGAUUUUGAAUCUUUCUUGGCACAUUAGUUAUUAUCCAAUCCAUUCUAAUUAAAUUAUCCACUAUUAAGUGUCUAUUUCCAGUCACCCUCUAAGUUAUGAAAGACCCAUAGAACCAAAGCAACUCACACCACCUGUGAUAGGAAUUGGUGCUCUCUUCCAUAAUGUCAAGUUUUCCAGUACACUUGCUGACUUUGUAGAAUAUGCCUACAAAAAGGGCUGCCACCUCCUAAUUCCCAAUCAUAGAAGUUUCUUAACCAUAUUUCAAAAGUUGUAUUUCCUGUUCCCUCUCUUAAAGUUUUUUAAACCUAUAUAUCUUUAUCCUAGUAAUUCGGAAAAAUGAGGAAAUUAUUUAACAAGAACUCCAUCAAUUUGUUCCUCAAAAUUUUAUAUAGUUUCUCUCUCUCACUUUUGAUUCAAAUUCUUGAAGCAAAGGAACAAAUUCAUGGCCAGUAACAUUUUUAGCCAAGCAAUAGAAUGCACGACAAGCAUGUAUAUGAAUGAAUUGUGUUUUUUAAUGAUAAUAGAUCAGAUAUUUUAAUCUCAUCCUAAAACCUUUGAGUUAACUAAAAGCCGCAUCUUAUGUUCUGACUUGUGGUUUGUUUCAUAAUAUAGGUGAAAUUUCAUAUUAUAUCCCACCACAAGCUUCACAGUUGUAGCAGCAAGCCAAGUUUUUCUUCAGUUCAUUACCUCAAUAUGGAGCAGCUGAAAAAGUGUCUAAUAUCUCUAUAUGCUCUAUACAAAGAAAAUCGAAAUUCAAAUUCUAUUUACAAGAAUGAACCUGAGUUCUACUCAUUUCACGUUCUUCUUCAUCUUGGCUCUAACAACCAACCAUUGGUGGAUACUUGCUUCCGUUGUUUGUUUGAGUUCAUCUUUUUCAGUAUCUCUUGCUGCCUUGUACUGGUUUCUGAAUAUGUUACUAUUUCUGUUUUGAAGGGAGAGUCACUCUCUUUGUGGUUGGGUCGUGUACCUUCUCUCAUUUUAAAGUCAAAGGAAAUGUGUUUUGCUCGGAGACUUUUAAGGUGACCGUAAAGCUAUUAUAGAUUCGACUUGCAUUUAAAUUGUUUAUAUUCAUUUUACAUUUAACUCAAUGUAGAGUGGUUCUGUUUUCCAAUCGAUUUUUUUCUCUUCUUUUAGUACCCAAUGUUAAAAAUUUUGUUUUCAUGAACUGAAAGAUCUGUCUUUUCUUGUAACAGAUUAUUUCGGAUGGGCAAUUAUAAGCGUUUCCUUUGUACUACAGCAACUGAGGCAUCUUAUUUACAGUACUACAUAAUUGAACCUUACAUCAAUGAGGUUGCUUAAAUAUGUUGAUUUUGCUAGAUUUUUCAGUUUGAAAAAUAUAUGCUUCUUUGUUCAUUUAUUGUUUUCCAAUUUCAUUUAUGAGAAUAUAUCUAAAAUCUAGACUCGAGUACUUGUGCUUUUGGGUUUUAUUUUUCUUUCAUUUUUGUUAGUAGUUGUACUUCAUUAUUCUUAAAUUUCUCACAGUUGUUUCUUUAUGUGGUUUAUUGCUCCUCACUUUCUUCAUUCAUCUGAAGUGUUCAAAUUCAAUUUGCUUGUUUCAUAAACCAGGUCUUAUUUAGAAGUUCUUCUCAAUUGCCUUUUUUAGUGCUUUUAAAGGACAUGCCUGAUUUAUAUAUAUUUUUGUUGGUUUUCUUUUGACCGUAAAAGGUUCGAGCAUUGGCAUUGUCAUGUGUAAAUUAUUGUGGCUACAAACUUCAUCCGUAUCCAAUUGCACACUUGUCCAAACUCUUGAUGAUGAAGGUAUGAUUGCAUUUACUAGCAUUAAAUUGCUAAAAUUUGUCAUCCAAAGUUCCAAUAUCUUUUGAACCUUGAAGGCUUCAUUUGCAUUUUUGUAGGAAUUAGAUGUGGAAUCAUUUUGCAAUGCUUGUGGUCUUGAGACCAGCACUGAUGAACGGGGAAAUAAGUUCUUAUCAACCAAGCAAACAAACUUCCAUUAUCCCAAGGAAGUCUUUCCAAGCUAUUGCCUUCUGGGUUUGGAACACUUUUAGAGGUAACAAUCAAUUGGAACUAGUUACUCUUUCAAACUUCUUAUUGUACAAAUAUAACCUGCAUGUGCAACCAUUUCUGAUCCCAUAAUUUCAAGAAUUUAUGACACCUUCUAGUGGUUAGUUUUUCUGGGAAUAGAGUAAAGCAAUCUAUUCACUCCCAGAAACUAUCGUCAAAGGAACAGUAGAUAACCCCGCAAGACCAAAUUUAUGUGUGUGCAUGGAGAUGCAUGUUUUCUGCAUCCCAAUCAUGCAGUGUUGUGCCAAAUGGAAUAAUAGCAGCUGAUGAUAAGUGGUAUUUCUAAAAUCUUCUAAGAGUAUUCCAUCUAUUGUAAUAUUGUUUUCUCAAAAUUGUCUUUGAGUCUUAUAUGUAAAUAUUAGACUUGACCUCUUGUAAGCUAUCAACUGAUGUUGUAACUUAACUUGAAAGGGAAAUUCUAUAAAUUUAGCCUUGGUUUGGCUGUUGGAAAGCAAAGAAAAAUUAGGUUAAUAGUGAGUUGAUUUCUUCCCUUCCCAUGGAUGUAAGCACAUUCUUGAAUCAUGUUAAUUACUUUUUGGUUUAUUUUGUUGUUUUGUUGUUUUGUUGUUUAUUGUUCAAUUGUCUCCGCAUAACAAGUGGUAUCAGAGUUGUUUCCAACACAACAGAUGAUUCCUGUGCUAACACAAAGUUUGAGGCUAAACGUAAGAUGGUAAAAGUUUCUAGAAUAUUUCCCUAUGACAACUGCCAAUAAAGGAUGUACUUAACAGAAAGUUCAUAAGGUGUUACAUGGCAAGUUGAACAAAACCAAUAGCUAGAGAUAUCUGAAAUAUUUGGGGCCACUGAUCCAACAAUAGCAGAGAAUAACACAAGAAGAGACCCUCUAAUCACCAUUUUUUCUUUGAUUCUUCUCUACAAAGCAUCAUCUUCUUUAUACAAAAAGACAACCCAUUGCUGAGCCCACAUUAUUCUCUACAUAUCCCAAAAAAGCCCUCUAAAUUUUAGGGCAUGGUGCUCUUUUUAGGGGUAUUUUGGUACUAAAUUUGUGGUAGUCUCUCAAAUACCUAAACUACCCUCCAGAUUUUAAGGCAUGGCCCACUCUUUGAGGUGGUAUUUUGGGUACUAAUUUUUGUUAGGAGAGGUUUUGGUGUGGAAACUGGAGGGCUUUACACACGUUGCAUGUAUUUUCUUUUGCAUGCAUUACACAUAGAUUGGAGUUUAUGCAGUUACUCACUUUUUGUUCGUCCAACAAUACUAUAGUGCCACGUCACCAUAUGAUGGGCUCUUUAGUCUUUUCAAACCCAAAAAAAAACACUAAAAAAAAAAAAAACUAAUACUAAAAGGAUUGCUAACUAGCUAUGUGAAGAUGAACCUCUAUAGCUAGCUUCUUAGAGGGACCAUAAUCGCUUAGGCCAGGGAAGUUUGAGGUGAUAAUAUGUCUGUGAUGCCCUUAGAUGUUUUAGGCACAUGUGCGUUACAUUAAUGUAUUCAAUGAGUCUAUAACCUUGAUUGACAGGUCCGAGUAAUCUUUGAAAUUUCAUUGUGGUGGGAAGGUUCCAUGUGAACAACACUUGCACAUGGGUUAGUUAAUCUUAAGAGACGGGGGAAGCUCAUCUAACAGCACACAAUGUGCGAGCUUUGAAAGGCAAUCGGGUUAACAUUUCUGAAUUGGGACAUGACAGCGGACAACAACAUUAGGUAGUCCAAAGAUGUCGUCAUAUUAAUUGUUAUCAAUAUUUUUAUUUAUUCAAUAGAGAUUGAGGAUUAAAAAAAUACCACAAAAAUUAGAAAAAACAAAAUUAAUUACAUGGCUUACAUUUCAAAUAUUUAAUAAAAUAUUGUAUGAAAGUUGAAUAUCAUACACUAUUAAAUGGUUGGAUUCUCUUCUUUAAUUUUUUUAAUUGUCUCAUCCUAUUAAAUUACUCAUCUAAUAUUAAUUUAUUUUAAAGGUGAAAUUAAUUAUAUUGUAAAAAACUUUUAACUGACCAGAGUUUGUGCACAACAUCUAAUAUAUACUUAAAUAUAAUCCUCCAACUAAGAAAUGAAAUCAAAACUUAAAAAUCAUUUAUAUAUAUAGAUAUAUGUUAUCAAGUUUAGGUAGUGAAGCAAUUAAUGUGGAUAUAAAAUUAAUGCCAAAACUUUUGAUUGUUCCUUCACAUUCUCCACAACCAAACAAAGGAUAUAAGAAAAAUAAAGAAAGAAAUUUAGGGUAGUUUGAUUUUUGUUCUCAUCUUGUUGUGAAGUUAAUAGAGGAAUGCUUGGGUUGGUGCUCAAUAGUUAAGUGACAGCAGGGUAUAAUGAUUCUUCCAAUCGUGUAAAUAUUAUUUGUUUUAAUUUCAAUGGAUCAUCGUCACUUUAAAUUGCAUCCACAUGGUUAAGAGCAACUCAUAUGUAUAUAAUAUCAUGAAUUUCUUCUUAUUCGAUACGGAAUAUCAAAUUAGGUAUCUUUCAAUUUUAGGUAUUGUGUAAGUGUUUCAACUCAAAUGACUUGGCUUAAUGUAUACUCAAAGCCUUGACAAAGGAGCGUAUAUGUAAUAAAGUGAAAAUUAAACCUUGUCGCCCUUCUAUCUCUAGUACUCCAUUAUCCCUUAAACAUGUGCAAAAAAAGAUAUACACCUUUGAUACAUUAAUUAAAAUAAACGAUAGAAAAAGAGAUUUUAUAUAUCCAUGUACAUAAUUUGAUUAGAUUUGUUAUAUAUGAGAGAGAGAGAAAAAAAAAAAAACUGUUUAGAUUAAGGAUCUCAUUAAUUAAUACCUAGAAAAUAUAAAAGAAUAAAAAAAGAUUAGAAGGUGUGAAUCAGAAGAUAAGACUACAUUUUUUAAUUAGAUUCAUCGAAAGAUGGCAUAUUGUAUGAACAUUUUUACUCUACAUAUAAAAACUUAUAUUAUGGUUGAGAUGUAUUAAUUUGUCAUAUUUUUGGACAUUUAAAGUAAUGAGUAAUUACACUAAAUUAAAUUAUUGACCUUAUUAAUCAAUACCUCAAAAGUAUAAAAUAGUAAUAAAUGAAUAAGACAAACUUCAUCGAAAUAUUUUUAUGGGCACAUUACGUAAAUAUUCUUAUUUAAUAAAAGUUUAUAUGUCAUUAAAUGAAUAGAGAAUUUUAACAUUAAUUGCAGUGCUAAGUAGAGGAGAUCUCAUAUUUAAGCUGUUGAUUAAGGCUUAUUACUUAAUAAUUUAAGUUGACUUUAAGUUAGAUUAUAUUUAAGUUAUUUACGUAAAAUUUAUUAUUUAUUAUUUAAUAUUUACUUUAAGUAUUAAAGUUAUUUGAUAAAGUUAAUUUAAAAAUCAUUUUAAAUUAUCAAAUUGUCAUAUUUACCUUCAUUAAUUUGAUAACUAGAUGCAGAUAAAUGAAACAAAAAAAAAAUUGAGAUUAAGAAUAAGUUAAUUAAUUUGAUUUAACACUUAAAAGUAACUUUAAGAUAUAAUAUUAAGUUAUUUUAUCAAAUAUAUUUAAUCUAUUUAAUAAUUAAAUUAAGUUAUUAAGUUAAUGAAUGAUUACCAAACACCUUAUAAGACCCAAAAAAUCGAAUGAGUUUUAAUAGUUUCCAGGAUGGGCAUGACUAGGUGGUGGUUCAAUGCUGAUUAAUCAUAAUUCAAUCAAGGCAAAAUAUGUAACAAAUACAUGUCAAACUGCACCAUCCAAAUGGGCGCCAAGAACGUUACAUUUGACAAAUGCCAUUAAACCUCGACAGCUACCAAUUACUUGAAGCUCAUUAACUUCAUCUUAAUUUGAUCCAAAUUGCAGAAACAUGUGAAACUCCAUGAAUCUAUGGUGCUAUGGUGGCCUACAUUCAUAUAACUGGGGACACUUUGGUUUACACUACAAUGACCCCAAACAGGGUUUGUAGAGACUUUAUCAAGAUCACUAGCUUCAAAAGACUAAGGAAAGAAAGAUGUUCUCAAAACUUGGAGUCAAAUUGCAGAUAAAGACCUAAAACUCCCACUUAACGUGUUUGAGGAAUUGUUGUUUCAUGGGGAUAAGCUGUUUGGUUUGUACAUGUCUCCUUGGUGAUACUUAGAGUUCGGCGAAGUAUACGUAUCCUUUGUGAUCUGGUUUGUAUAUGGGCAGAUGAAUGUUGAUGCCAGGUUCAUAUAUGUUUCUGAUAUAUAUCACCCUGGAAGGAUCUAGAUCAAGGGGAUGAGUUUCAAAAGCUUGAGUAGGUUUAAGAUGUUCCGAGAAUUGGUGAGCAUGAUAUAUAUCAAUAUGAUAUUGCAGAAGACAACAGAGCUUCUGAAAUUAAUAUGUCAGGUUCAAUAGUGGGAAAUCUUAUCAGCUGUCACUUACUGUAAUCGUAUGCUCUCAAUAUUCAUUUGUUGAAGAAGAAAAAAAAAAUUGCUUUCACACUAUUCAAUUACAAGAGAAUGUUCAAUUAUAGAAGAAAAUAAUAUUCGCUAGUCUCUUUCAACUUAAUCAACAUGCAGAGAAAAGCAGUGAAUAAUAACUUACAUACAUUGUCUCUCUACCCCUACUUGUUACUCAUCAGCCAAGCUUAUGGUAAUAUAAGCUUGGGUUCAUCUCUCUAUGCCACUGAUGAAAACUCCACAUGGGCUUUGCCUUUCUGGUGAUUUUGCAUUUGGAUUCCGACCCUCUCCAAGUGAAGAGGACCUAUUCCUUCUUGCUAUCUGGACUGCAAAUGGAAGUUAACUGGUGCCAAGAGGAUCAAAAGUUUGGGCUUACCACCAAUGGACAGCUUGUUCUCUAGAGGCUAAGAUAUAUGGAAGACAAAGACUGGUAAUGUGAGCAGCGAACCAGUGCAUGGUGCCAUGCUUGGAGAUGGAAAUUGUAUACCAGUAUAUGGGAGAGCUUCAAGCACCCAACUAAUACCAUAUUGCCAAUCCAGGGAUUGGUGUUGGAGCCUACUGUGCAGUUGCUAUUUUUGAGGACCUGAGGUUUGCAAAUGGAACUGGAAGCUGUUGGAGGAAAAGACUACCUCUUUCAAAUGGGAGGUUGGAUCAAACUGCUGUUUCCAGAAGUGCUCUAAUCAAGAUAUUGAAGUCCAGUGAACUAACUUCAGGCAGAUGCAAGCAAAAUAAAGCAAUUCUAAUACUCUCAGUCCUCUUAGGCCCCUCUGCGUUCUUCUUCUUCGUUUCUCUAGCUGCAAUUUCACUAGUUUUCUACUGCUUGAACCUCAAAAAUCUGCAGCUUUAUCACAGAAUCCUGAGUACAAGCGAUGGUAGAAGCCUUUGGCACUGUCUAUAAAGGGAUAUUACCAUCAGGUUCUGGAAAUUCUGUUGCUGAAAAGUUGGAGAAGGUGGUGGGAGAAGAUGAGAAAGAAUUCAAAGCAGAAGUGAAUGUGAUGGGCCAAACUCACCAUAAGAAUCAAGGACACUUGCUGCGUUACUGUUGUGAGGGUGAACACUGACUACUGGUGUUUUUUUUUUAUGCACAAUGGCUCUUUAUCAAGCUUCCUUUCUGGAGGCGCCCGAAAGCCCUCAGAACACAACUCUUGGAUGAUUCUUUUACAGCCAAAGUUGCAAACUUGGACUGGGAAAGCUUCUGAUAAGCAACCAGACUAGAACACUCACAGGCAUCAGAGGGACUAUGGGGUAUAUUCAGACAACUCGGGCAGCCUAUGUCUCUUAUAAUAACACGUUAUGAAGCAUCAGCUCAAUGCUGGGGUUCAAUCUGCAAAGCAAGGGAUUCAUCAAUGUUUCCUUCAAACUAAAUAAUAAGGAACAGAAAUGGAUCAUUCUGCAUUUUCAGUGGUGUUUGUUAUAGCAUUUAUACAAGAACUCUAGGGGUUUCUAUGUAUAACUUCAUUCCCAUUUUGUAUAAUCCAAAUCUCUUCAAUCGAUUAAAUGUAUAAAUGAAUCCUAUUCAUUGUUUGGAGUAACAACAAAAUUCUGGAAGACUGGGAAAGUUUCAACACUGGAGAGAAAACAAAAUGACAAGACCAUAAAUUCUGGAAGAGGGCUUUGCUUUCUAACCAUUACCAUAAUUUUAGAGCUCAACCCGGAUGAGUAAAUUAUAUUUCAGAAUGUUCAGGAGAUAAUUCUAAAGUGAUGAACCUUCUACUCACAGUUUCUUGUUCUUCUUGAACAGAGCAAUGAACAUCAAUAGUUCAGCACCCAGGAAUCUCCCCUCUCCAAUUCCUCCACUGGGAAAAGUCACCUUUCCAGUUAAGAAAAUCUUCAGGAUUAAUUUGAGCAAAACAUCAGAGUAUACAUCAAGAAAGCCUUGAUCAAAAUCAAAAUACAUCAAGAGCUGCCAUUUUCUUCUAUUUCCUCUUCCUUGAAUGGAAUGCCUUUUGGACUGAGGUGAUCAAUGGUAACAGUCUAACACACUCCUUAAGCUUUGAUUGAGGUCAACGGGGAUUGGCACAUUUAAUGACUUUGAAAUCAUAGCUGUGUGAAGGGAGGCAAACAUGAAUCUCAGGAUAAUCAACAAGUCAACAACUAUCAAUCAGUAAGGAAAAGGAAAAGGAAAUACCUUUGGAUAUUUACAAAUAAAAAAUUUGAGAGAGUCCAGCUGCUCUGUACAGAAAGGCUUGAGCUUAUUCCAUGGCCAGGCUUUAGAUGGUUCUGAAUUACGGAUGAGAGGAUUGAGUUUUCUUUCAUUCUGCAAUAAGAUUAAAAACAUCAAUGAAACACUAAAAGUUUAUAUAUAGAAGCCCUUUAAAGAUGAGAAUUGGUAAGAGAGCUCACCCAUGGUCUAGUAAAACAACAUCUGUUAGAUAAGUAACCACCAUUCGAUUGUCCAGCUAAUGCAUUUAGACAGUCCAAAAUAGCUAAAGACAGUCCAAAAACUCAUUUGACUAAUAAUUUUCUAAAAGCAGUAACAUAAAACCUGGAUGAAGAAUCCACCCCUCUACCUGACACCACUUCAAUACCAAAUAAAAUGUUACGAUGACCAUUUAUAGUCUUAAGAGACAGUGGGUGUUGUUUGGGCUCAAGACCAUCAAAAUUGGCACAGAAACAAGUACAACAACUAUCUAAUAAAGAGAUUUAUGCAUGUAACAAAUGCAAAUGAAAUAUGAUACAAGAAGUUCAUAGAUUAAACAAAAAUAGAUGGCAAAAUAGAAGGAUAAGGUCACAGACAGGACAAUAUUAAAAGAAAUUAUUAUUUUUCCGACCUGAAAAUCGAGGCAUUUAGAACAGUACAAGUUUGUAAGUAGUCCAUGGAAACCAGGGAACUUAUGCAGAUGUUGUAUUCUAUUGCAUAAGGCAAACACUCAAUACUUACAAGCAUAAUCAUGCCCAGAAAGCCAUGAAUCCCUUUUUGUUUUGCUUUUUUACCUAUUCUCAUCUCUUAUUGCCAGAAGUGCCCAGGAUGAUACAACCUCACCAAAUAAGUUAGAAACCAGCCCAUUCAGCAGGUUGAGUAGCCAGCUUGCCCUCAAUCUUCUUUGAGUCAACAAACAGUUGGGCAUUAUUGCCUCCAAUGGAGGGUCUGGAAAUAUUAGAGCCGGCAGCAGGGGUGGCUGUAAAACUCUCUGUUCCAAAACCCCAAGUUUCAGGGCCAGA
rnacentral:lncRNA from 1 species